UCUGCAUCUCAGUUAAAAUACGUCACAUUAUUCCCAACUAUGUACUGUGUAGCAUACAUUCUCAUAAAAGUUCAAUUAGGCUCAAUAAUAGGAUAUAGUUAACAGGGCAAUCUUACGAGUCCACCUAUAACUACUGUUAUGCCCCAAAAACAUUGGAGAUAGAAUUCAGAAGCUAUACCCUGAUAGAUCCAGGACAUGAUUUGUAAGUAACUCGUGUAAUUAGCAUUGAAAUCAAGACAAAAAGUAAAUUCUUUUCUGAAAAUCAAAACAAACUUGUUGGGGAAAAGUGCAAGCACUUUUUUCAAAACGAUGAAAGGAAAGUAGUUUGAAUUUUACCGCUCGUACAUCACAGGUAAGCAAUAAUUUGGAGGGUGGGGGUGUAAAGGCAUGUACAAUACUAAUUUUGAAGUUAUUAUGCCCAAGUUUUACAUUCUUGGGAAAUAUUACUCGAAUAAUGAAGUAAUUAAUCAAUUAAAUUGGUUACUAAUAUGACUAAAACUGCUUUUUCAAUAUAAAGACCUUUUCAUCCAUAUAUUUUAUGCUUUUUUUUUUGACUUUAUAAAGAUACGUGUUCUAUUAAAGUACUCAAUAUUCUACCAAUAAACAACAUUUGUCUAACUCUGACAAAGUAGCCAUAGUUAGAAGUUUAGGCACAAAUUUGUCAAAAGUUAAAUUUUGGGAUGAAAGCUACACUUUGACCUGGCCUCAUUUUUCUAGGCGGUGCAAGUUGAUAAUUAGUCUUACACAUCAACCUAGUGUAGGCAUACUAAUCAUAAUCGGAAAGAUUAUCUCUUGAAUACUAUUAAAAUAUGGGAAGGACAUUCUAAUUUCCAUAUAUGUUCAUAAUUGUAGAAACCAAUUUGAAAAUAUCUCAUAAGGGAGGCCAAAAACUAGAUAGAUGUUGUAAUUAUAUAAACAGAAAAGCAAUUUGAAGAGAUUGUUCAUAUUCACAUUGCAUCUUUGGAGAAAGGAUUUUGAGCAUGAUUACCUCUAAAAUGUCUCCAACAUUGACUAUGAAUGCAUUAGGAAGUGGUACAACAGGAACCCAAGCUCCAGCCUUUUUGAUUUGGAGGCCUUCCACUUCAUUGACUUGAAGCACUAUGGUAAGCCCAGUAGCAUCAGAGUGGGGGCAAAGGCCCAUUACUAGCUCAGGUUGAGGGCAUAGAGGAUAAUAGCCCAUCCUCAAUGAUUGCAUCCCUUCUUGAAAAAGCAUUGUCAUAUCUUCAAGCUUCAUUCCUAAUGCUUUUGUCAUUUGCUCAAGGACCUUGAUGGCAAGGAUUUUCAAUUCCCUUGAGUACUGAUCUAGAGUUUCUCUACAAAGUUAAAAAAAAUGUAAAUAAAAAGUAAAGAAUAUCCAAUAUAUAAUAACAAUGCACAAUGCUUUAGAUGUUAACUAAUUUUUUAUGCAUGCAAGGAUGGAUGUUUUAUCAUCAUCUCACGCUGACAUGGCUUAUUAAUUUUCCUCAUAAAGACAAUUAAGAAGGUAAGAUUUAAGAAAGGGAUAAUUUCAUAAACCUCCUCUAAGAAUUUUAACAAUUUCACUGAGCUCCCUUAAGGUUUCAAAAAUUACACCUACCUCCCCUAAUUUGACACUUUUGGCAAUCAAACCUUUGACUUGGCCAAAAUUUUUAAUGAAUAUCCUAAAAUACCCUCAAACUUAUAACGUUUGAAUUACUUUCCAGAACAAUCAUAAUAUAUUUAACACAAAAAUACAGAAAGAGUGUGAAGUUUUUAACACCAUAUUUAUUAUUUGAUAAGCAAAGAUGACAAUAGUUCUAUCACUAUGAUAAACUACUUUUAAUGGCGAUUUACCAGGGUAUGUAUUUUUUAAUUUGAAAAAGAAAAUACCGUCAUAAUUCUUUUAAAGUUUGUAGAAUUUUGGAUUGGUGGAAUUAUCAUAGCUUGGUAGCAAUUUUGGGCUUUUUUUUGGAGUUAAUGUAGCUUUUGGUACCCAAAAAAAUCAGCAAGUAAAAAUUAGAUCACAUUCAAAGUCAUAAAAAAUGUCACUAGUAAAACAUUUAGGUUGUCAAUGUUUAUAUUUUAUGGUUUUAUUGGCAAAAAUAUAAAAAGGGGGAAUAAGAAUAGAAAAAGAAAAGAAAAAUAAUUAUUAAUACCAGUCUUUGUAAAAGUAUAUCUAACAAGAGAGUUUUAUUAAAAUGUUUGACCUAAUAUUGUCAUUUUAUGUGGGCAAAGGAGGUAAAUGUUAUUUUUAUAACCUCGAGGGAGCUCAAUGAAAUUAUUAGAAACCUGAGGAGAGGUUUUUGAAAUUGUCCCUCUAAGAAAAGCAAGAGAGGAUAUAUUUUCCUGUAUGAGAGAGAGAGAGAGAUGAUAUAAUUUAUUUUUUGUCAAUCGUCAUGAUCUACUCUAUUCAUACUCUAACCUAUCUAGGGGGAGACUCAACUGAAUCUAUUGGGGAAUCGACGGGGAUUGAAUCACCAGUGGAUCAAACUAUUUCUACUCUAAUCUAUUUUAGAGGAAGACUCAACUGAAUCCAUUGAAAAACCGACGGGAAUUGAAUCACUAUUGAAUCAAACGUACGCACUUGUAUGGAUUUGAGAAAAUCACAUAUAGUAGCAAAAUGAUGGGGAUAAGAUUUAAACCUUUAACCUCCCACUCCACCAAGACUUCAAAUCAUUGGGUGGCCAAUAGCCAUAUGAUUAAAAGACGAGAAAUGUUGGAAAACCAUUAAGAAUGACUCCAAGGUAAAAAAAUAAGUAGAAAAGGCCUAUCAUGUGGAGGCUUUAAGAGAGAUAAUGAUCAAAAUAUUCAAUCGUUAGGACACUUUGUGGCUGAUAAGCUGUCCUUUUUUUUCCUUCGAAGGAGUGGCGGAUAAGCUGUCGUGAUCAUUACACAUGGAAUUUUAUUGAAGUGAUAACAUUUGAUGUUUAUGUCGUACGUCGGCCCCUAGACAGUACGACUUCCAAAUAAAGGCAUCUACAUAAUUAAGAAAAAAAUAUAUUACGUACACCCGGAUAUUCUCUGCUAUAAUUUUUCUUUCAUGUAACAGCAUUUGGCUUUAUUAAUGCCUCCUCAGUUUCAAUUAUUUUUCAAAAUUUUUUUUUCUGAAUAAAGCAUUUUAGUCAUCAAUGGAAUACUUUUUAUAAACAAAUUGUGACCUAGAAUAAAGAAUAAUUGAGUGGUUAUCAUUUUUUUUGCCCCUCAACAACAAAAUGAGACAUUUUUUUGUUCGACAAAACCAAAUUCACAAACAGUGAUUAAGAUGCUGCAUAACCAUUAUCUACAUCUUUCUUUAUUUACUGUUCUUUCAGAUUUAAGACAAAGUACUUAAUUACCUCAUCAAGUCCUUUAUUACUUUGCUUUUUAGAAGGGAAUUAUAUAGUUCAAGUCCUUUAUUUCAGUGAUGAAGAUUUAUUGCGUACUUCCGUCUACCAAUUAAUCCCUGAUUUCCAUAAAAUAAAAUCAAUGCAAUAUUUGUAAUCUAUUGAUUUCCCCUCUCCUAAUUUUCCCAAAUCUCUAAUUACAACCUUUAAUUCAUAAACUUCAAUGCAAUGUUGGUAUUACAAAGAUAAUCGACAUUGCCACUGUAGAAAUAAAGGAGCAGAGGACAUAAGGAAUAAAUUAGCAAGCGGUAGUAUAUAAAGAACCAAAUGAACCACCACUGCUAUAAUAAAGGACCAAAAUGUUCAUAUUUCCAUCAAUUAAAAUACAUGAAAGAAUCAAGCCGCCACACUUAAAUAAUGUCUCUUAUUGUAAAUCCAGUUUAUAACUCAUAAAAAUCAUCAUUUUAUCUCUUUACAAUUUCAAUUCUAGACUUUCAGUUUCUUUAUAUAUAUCAAGAUGUUGACAAUUUAUGUAAAAGAAAAUAGAAAGAUUACAGGUACGGUGAUUUGCAAAGUUACAGACUGCUACUAACCACAUAUUUUCUUAACCUAUUACUAGUCUAUGAUCAUCUUAUCCCUAGCUUUUAAGCAUUUUCACCCACAAAAUUUUAAAAUUUUAGACAAGUGUAGAAAAUUUUAGACGCUUAUGACUUUCAAAAGUUAUACUGUGUGUGAUGUUACUAUAGUCCUCAUGUGUUUGACAACACAAUUCAUCAUUUAAAUUUAAUGUAUUUAGAUUUUAAUAUAUUCAGAUACAUUUGAUAACUAAAAAUUGAACAUCUGAAUUAAUUAAGUGCCAUUAAAUUUUUUAGGCAAAACUUGCUAUAAAAAAUAAGUGAUAAACUUUUCAUUUAUCACCGAAUGUGAUAUACACCCAAACGUAUUUGAUUUAAUACUUAAUAAUUCAAUAAUUUAAUGGAUUCAGAUUUCAGAUUUCAGUUUUCAAACUUUAAUUUUAUCAAAUGCACCCUAAAUACAAUGAUAUGAAUGUGUGUGUAAAUUUUCUUGUACCUGAAUGGAAGAGGAAGGUUGGGAAGUAAAUGAGGUUUUCUCAAGUGAGUUGGCAGAGCGACCAUGAAUAGCAUGUCACCCCAGUUAAGUUUUUGUUCCUCCGAUACAACAAAGGCCUGUCCAUAUCCUUCUACAUCGCCCGGUUCCUGGGCAAAUCUCUUCUUCUCUUCAAUCGUCAAAUUGAAAAACUUUUGCAUCUCUAGUUUCAGUUUGUCCACUAAUGAAGAGCUCACUCCAUGAUUAAUCAGCUGGUGACAAAUUGUACAGUCACUAAUUAUUUGGUGCUGACUAUUAUAACACUUCUCCAUUUUAACAGCAGGCAUGUAUAUCCAUUUAAAUUAGAUGAUUGUCCUUGUAUAACAAUUCAAAGAAGAUCCCAGGAAAAGCAGGAAAGAAAAGGAGAUCACUCCUAUUACAUUCUAGUCUUGCAUUAUGUACUACUACUAGAGAAAACCAAAUGAGUUCAUAAAUUAGGGUAGGCAUGCUUGCUUUUGACAUAAAAAUUCUGGAUAAUUACAAGAAAAGAAACAUUUCAAUAUGAAAAAAAAAAAACUUGUGGCAAGAUAUAUCAUUUACCUACAGUCCUGAAAAGUCAUAGUUAUUAACAUAAUAAAUAUUUCAGAAUUAUUUUAUUCCCUUGAAAGUAAGUUAAAGUUGUGGUAAAAACCAAAUUGAAAUGACUAGUAGAUUUUGAGCAAAUACUAUAACAAUCAGACUCCAUUAUUAGGUUAACAACAAUACCUAAUAUAUGCAUAUACAAAUACGAAAUGACAAACCUGGAAGAAGCCCCAUUCUUUGCAGGCAAAAUGCAACUUUUCAAGCUCAGGAUUCACUGAUUCAUCAGAAAGCAGCCUUUGCAUGUCAAUUACUGGGAUUUCCUCUGUGGAGACCCCAUGAAGUUUGGUUGGAUCAGGUCGUAUGUAUCGGGGUGGAACUGAUGCAAAUUUCUCCUUAGCCAACUCCUGAACAUAGGGUACUUUUAGAGAGCUUCCAAAAUUUAUCAUACCAGAUUCCAUGUUUGUGGUUUGUGUAAAUCUAUACCUAUAUAUAUAUAUAUACACGUAGCUCCAAGUUGCAAUUGAUAUCAUCAAUUCAUGGAACGUCUCUGGAGUGAUGUAUUCCUUUAUCAAUUUGUAUCAAAAUUGGAUUAGUCCAUCUCCAAAAAUUGAUGACUUUAUUAAAGUAGACAACAUCAGCCUCAAGAGAGCACAUCAGUGCCCAGCAUGUCACAAAAUAUCAGUGUCAAUUGCACUACAAAAUGUAACCUAAAAGUCUUCACGGAACGUCUCUGGAGUGAUGUAUUCCUUUAUCAAUUUGUAUCAAAAUUGGAUUAGUCCAUGUCCAAAAAUUGACGACUUACAAAAUAGGGUCCACAUACUUUGCUACGCAGAUGAGGUUGCGAUUGUUCAUUAUUAAAGUAGACAACCAUCAGCCUAAAGAGAGCACAUCAGUGAACAGCCUGUCACAAAAUAUCAGUGUCAAUUGUACUACUAACACAAAUAUUUAACCAUUAAGACAUUGAAAAUACAAAUAAUAAUAUCGUACCUAAUAAUACAGCAAGUUUUAUCACUUAUUAAAAAUUGUGUCUCAAAAUCAAUCUCAUCUAGCGAACGUUCGUACUAAAACUAUUUAAACCAUCAAUUGCAAUUACUCUAUCAAUAGUAGAGAAUCUUCAUCCAAUUUGAGAAUUUUCCCAAACUACAUAUAUACAAUUAAUAUGUCGUUUGGAAUUUUGCACUGCAACUAUAAAUGGAUUGGUUUUAGGAUAGAAUUUUCAAUUUAACAUUAUUAUCCAUGGAGCUGUUUUGCUUCUUAAAUGAAUCGUAUACAUCAGAGGUGUUAGGUUCAUGAGUAAAAAGAUUACAUCUCACAUUGGCCCGAAAGAUGAAGAACGAGUGGUUAAUAUGUAAGUAAGGACCCAAAACCUAAUGACUUAAGCUUUUGAGUCAAAGUUGGGUUCCUAACUUCCAUAUUGAACUCUUUGGUGGGCUCUCUCGAGAUAUUUCCCUCUAUCAAGAAUUGGUUUCAUACCAAAGCAAUUGGCUAUGAACUAUUUUGAGCCAUUGGUGGCAACUGGGGAAUUGCAAAUUGCAUAGUUGCAGAAAUAUAUGGAUUUUUUUAUUCAAUUAAAUAUGAUGACAGCAGGUUCAAGGGUAGAUCCUUCCUACAAAAGCGUCUCUAAAUAUAGUGAUUGUAUAUUGACAUUUUGUUUUAGUUAGAAAUACCAUAGUAUGAGCUGAUCCUAGAUGUGUCCUUUAACAAAUAUGUCCUAGCUUGUGAGACAUGAAUCAGACUACAAAAUGCCAAAAACUUAAUUUUCAAAUAAUUGCUGUAAUAUGAAAGAGUAUUACUACAAUUAAAAAUCAAACAAUAUUAGAAAAGCUUCAAGUGAACACAAAUACUAAAGCGUUAUCAGAAUUGAAUCUCAAAGCCUGUAUCAUAAUCACUUAUCACUUACUCCAAGCAUCGUCUUCUUCCACCUUACUUAUCAACAAAAAAAAAAAAAAAAAAAAAUCAGAUAAGCUGAGUAAAUUAAUUUGAAAAAAAAAUCCCUUCACAGGAGAUAAAAGUAAGAAUUCUUGUAUCAAAUGUUUUUCUAAAAAAAGAACUUUGCUGAAUAUUUAGUGCAAUAAUAGUGCGAGAUUUAAGGAUAACAUUCCCUAGACCAAUAAACAACAAUUGAGGAAAUUUGAUGUCUCCAUAAUAAAAAAAAAAAAAAGAGUUCUGAGAACAAAAUUUUCUUUUACUUUCCUGCAAACAAUCCAAUGAGGUUGCCCAUGUUAUCCCUUCUUUUUUUUUUUUUUUUAAGUUUUGCAGAACUUCUAAAGGUUUUGUAGUCUAGAAACAUAAUAGAGAAUAUAAAGAGAUGGAAUGAUUCAUGACUUCAAAGUAGAGGGGAAAUUUUUUUUUUUUCAGAAAUGUGCCAAAUGGAGCUUUUACAGUCCCAAAAAAACACAGAAUCGCUGAAGAUGCACAUAUGGCAAAACUAUAAGUAACAUAGAACAAAAAAUGGAGAAAUGCCAACAAAAAAUAAUGAAAUUAUUGUUCUUAAUAUGUUUAUGAAGCUUUACAAUUGUAACAUUAGAAGAAUCCAAUGUAGAUAGCCAAAAGAAGAAAGAAUACGUUAGAUUUAUUAGAAAACAGAGGAAAGUUGAUCCAAAAGAAAAGGCCACAUUUUUUGGAUUAUAGUAAAUCUUGCACUUGCUUAUACGAUAUGCGAGCGUAUAAUUGCUGAGCAUAUAAACCACAGAAAAAGAAUUCUAAACAUAGGAUAAAAACUCAAGUCAAUUUGUUUUCAAGUUUCAUUUGCAGUUUGUCUUAAAUGUGUUUGGAUAUGUUAAUACUAUCUUUGGACAAUAUUUGUACUAAGCAAAUGCCAUCAUAGCUACUCAUUUAUGAGCUUUAUUAUCCUAUUUUGGAUGUAGAAUUUUUUUAUACUAAUAUAACUAUGUUUUCAACCAUGUUAAUAAUGUUUGUGCAAAGUGCUUAAAUAAUUAAGAGAACUGUUAGCACAACCCCUCCUUUAUGUCUUAUUAUACUUCAUGAAAUGCAGAAAGGUUUAUGCUUGAUUUGACAAAGCUGUGUUUUGCAAAUGUAGAUAACUUAGCAAAUACAUAUUUUAAGAGAGAGCGAGCUUUACAACAAAGGUUGAAUAAGUUGAGAUUUAUAAGUCAUUUUAAGCUUAACAACUUAACAAUGAUAUUCAUCACAUAUACAAUUUUCCUAAAUUUGACCCAUUUUUGACAUUUUCCAAAAACCUUAUUUUCUUGCUAGUUGAAUUUCUCUAUACUUCAUGUGUAAUUCAAUUAAAGAUGCUAUACAAAUGAAAAAAAAAAACCAGUUUCACAAAAAACAGAACUCUGCAGAUCGUAAUGAGACCAAGAGUUAUUUUGAAUCCCUUAAAAAAGAAGUAAUAAAGCAACAAAUUGAGGAUACCUUAAUAAAAUGUUGAAAUUGAAAAGGCUUGAGAUAUCUAGAUGCUCCGGCUGUCUUUAUAACCUGAAUACAGUAUAGAAAUUUAAGUAUUGGAGUCAGCGAAUCAGAUAUGUCAAGUAAACCACAGCAAAAAAAAAAAAGGGUAUAGAAUUAUAAUAUCACAACACAAGAACUUCAGAAGAAGCAUCCUUUAGCAUACUAAGAAUCAAUAAAACUCUAAUCUGUCUACAAAACCUCAAAAUCCAUCAAAAUAGAAACCUAGACAAAUGAAUACAUCGCAACAGUUGACAUUUAACAAUUGCAGAAUGAAUCAAAGAAAAAGAACCAGAGGGAAUAGUUCAUGGAACAUCUCCUCUCUCUUUUGCUUUUGCUUUUGCUUUUUUUUUUUUUUUAUUUGUAAAUGUAAAACUUCUCAAGGGAUAUUCAUAGUGGUGGUUGUUUAUGGAGGGGUUUCAAAUGGUGGACCGCUCCUUUCCAAAGGAAAAAGAUAAAUGGGAGGGAAAGGGAAAGAAUUAGGGAUAGAUCAUUAGAGUGGUGCAAGGAUAAAAGCAUAUGGCAUGUUGCACAAACACUUAAAUGCCUAAAGAUUAAACAUUCGUCAAAUGAAAAAUUAGGCUGUCAUCAUCCCCAAUACAUUGUAAUAAUGUCUGUCUACCAUUAGCACAAAAUUUUCGUUUAAUAGCAUAGGCAAAAAAAGCAGGCAAACAAUCAAGGCUUACGAAACCUUUUGUACAAUGUACAACACAUACAUGCAGCCAACAAUAAGUACUAAUAAAAAACCUACGUAAUCCACAGGAAAACACAAACCAACCAUAAAGGAUAGCCUCAGUCUUUCAAAAAUAACAUAUCACAAUCUCAGCGCAGAGAACACACCAUCAAUCCACACAAUGUUUGUAAAAAACCCAAAUAACCAAGGGCUAUUGACAAAAUUACCAUUAAAACUGGGGUCAUGAUUUCAUAAUUGACUCGAGAACACAAUAUACAAACCUAUAACGUUCACUGUAUCUAAGGUCAUGGAACAUUUGCCUUGCACAACCUCCAAAAGCUCAGACUUUUCAUCUAACCACCUAGGCCCAUAAGACAGUCAAUUUUUGGAAAACAUGCGAAAAAAAAAGCCAUCACAAGUAACUUAUUCAUUAAGAGUAGGUAUGUCAGGAAUAGAAGAGUUAGGGAAAAUCAAAACAUGAAAAACACAAAAAAGUAGAUAAUUAAACAGUGGAGACGGAUCAAAAAAGGGUUACCUCAAAAAUUGAUCACUCUAUAUGAACCCUAUGCAAUCUUUCAACAUUGAAUAACCAGUUGGUCCUGAAAAGCAAAAUCAAAGAGUAAGUUUAAUGUAAAGGCAACUUAGUGGUACAAGAGAACCUAAUUUCAUAAUAUUUUUUCUAAAACAUUCCAUACAUGGGAAAGAUUAAAACAAAUAAGCAAACAUAGGCCACCUGGCACUAAAUUAGAAAGCUAUCUGCCAAAAGACGGCAAAGGCAAGAGCUUUAAUGCAAGGCAAUGUAAAUGAAACACAUGCAAAUCAUCCACCAAACUAUUUAAACCUAAAAUAUGAACAAUAUGUUAUAGAAUCUAUGACCUGAAAACAUAGAAACCAAAAAAAAAAAAUCAGGAGCAAGACCAAUUACAGUAAAACUGAUGCUGAAGUGGAAGAGAACUGCAGAGAAGACAACAUACACGAAAACAGAGAAAAAGCACCACUAUACCAUAAUCCUGAAUAGGAAAUCGAUGGUCUGUCAAAACAAAGAAUUUUGAAAUUAAAGCCAAAACCAACAAUUGAGAAAAACUUAAGAGGCUUAUGCAAGUAAAUCAAUGGUCUGUCACUUCCCAGAUCGAAAUCUAGAAAUGAUUCAAAAAAUUACUGCAAGGCAAUAGAGCUUCCAACAGCUGCUUCAACGGCAACUGAUUGUGCUCUUUGGACCACGAACUGGAAUCUUGAACUUGAAUCAUAUGCCAUUCACCUAUUUUUUUCCCCCAAAGAUAGCUUUGAAAAAUUAAUUUGCAAAUCUUGAUGAAUUCCUAAGAUUAUCAAAAAAAACAAUUUGCGCAUUUCAAUAAUAAGAAGCCUACAAGUGAAAAAAAAUACUAAAGUCACAACCUAUUACCCUCAAUUAGAGGCGGUAAAUCAACCCACUUAACUAGAUUUACCCAUACCCGCCCAUGAAUAGAUGGGUAUGAGUAUCUUAAAUUUUUGUAUAUGGGUAUAAAUGGGUUACCCAAUAAUACCCAUUUAAUAAAUGGGUAUUAUUGGGUAACCCAUCAAACCCAAUUAACCCAUUUAAAAUUCUCUUCCCCCCAAGUCUCUUCUUUUUCCCUACCUUUUUUUUGUCAAGUUUUUCAUUUUGUCAUGAUGUUAACAUUACUAUUAUUAUUAUUAUUUGUUGGUUUUAUCUUAUUAUUUUAUUUUUUCUUAGUUUGUUAAUUUGCUCAUUUUUUAGCAUUACCAAUUUAUGAUAAAUUUUAGUCUAUUUUCUUAUCUUUAUAAAAUGAAAUUUUAAAUUUAUAUAUGAAAAAAAUAUUAGGGGUUCAAAAUUUUUGGAUUAAGUUUUUAUAUUAAUUUUUAUAGUACUUAAUUCAAAUUUUUAUAUUCGUAUUAUUCAAUUAUUAAAUAAUAGGUAAUUUUGUGAUAUAGAGUAUAAAUGAAAAAAAUUGGUAAUUAAGUUUAUUGAACAUUAUAAGUAAAUAUUUAAAACUAAUGAUGGGUACAAAGAGUGGUAUAAAUUGAUAACUUAGUUUACAAAAAUGAAUUUAAAUAAGUUUGCAAAAAGUUAAAAUAAAUGAGUUAUAAAUGGGUAAUUGGGUUACCCAAUUCAUUUUUUGACUUACCCAUUUAUACCCAUCUAAUUAAAUGGGUAUAAAUGAGUUGACUCACUUAUACCCAUUACCCAUUUUACCCAACCCAAACCCGCCCAAGUCACCAAUUUUGACACCUCUACCCUCAAUCUUAGUAAGCAUGGAACUCCUAAAUUGUUACAUCCCUAAAAGAUAAUGAGCAAAAAAAAAAUACAAUUUAUUGUCUCAUGAAAUUCAAUCGAGUAAAAUAAUAAGAGUUCAAAGAGGAAAUUUUAUACAAAUAAUUAUACAACGAAAUUACUAAUUUGUAAGGUGGUUUAAAAAAUAUAGGAAAAGAAAAAAAGGCUUACCUCUCUGUCGAGAACAUAGAUCUCAUGAAACUUGUCAUGCCUAGAUGAAACCUGAAACGGGAGUAAACUAUGAUCGACAUAGAAAUACUAACGAUAAAAAAGAAAACAAAAGACAAUCAUGUACAAAAAAAUUUCCAAGAUUGCACUUGAAGGGAACACAUAUCUAAAUUUUCAAUUGCACAUCUAAAAAUAAAUCCAGAGAGCCAAUAUAUACAGAAAGAUAUUUAUUUUAAAAAAAAAGAUGGCAAGGAAAGAAUUCAAGGAAAAAUUUAGGAACUGAUUAUCAAAGGGAAAAAACUUUGAUGGUCGACAAAUUCAACAACAUAGAUUGAUACUUCUAGUGGGAAAAAGGGGAAAAAAUAUAGAGGUGAAAGCUAAGAAACAGAAAAUCUAGCUCCAACCUUAAGGAUCUUGAGGCCGGAGGAGACUCUUGAUACUCUGAUUUCUUCUGCACCACUGAUGCUAUGAAUUAUAAUGGUCUCACACUUUCAAAGUGAAAUCAUAGCGUCGCACCCUCUCUCUUUAAAAAAAAAAAAAACAUCUUUUCUGCUUGGACCACUGGCUUUCCGUUCUCCUGCUUUUGUUUGCCAUUUUCUAUAUCGAGUUGGUUGGAUGUAUUAUUAUGAUAAAGAAGAUGAAAGGAACAAUAUAAGAGCCACAAACACGGCGAAAAUGACAGGAAAUAAAAAAAUAAAAAUAUAUAUAUAGAAGUAAGUCGAGAGAGAAAAAAUGCAAGUCUAACCUUAGCCCUCUUGAGGCCAGAGGAGACCCGUAAUACUGUAAUUUCUUCUACACCGGGAAAAAAUUUACAUCACAAAUAUAUACAUAUUAUAUGAUAAAAUUCGACUAGUAAACCCUCCAAAAAAUCCAAAAGGCUAAAGAAGUCUUGAUGAUGAGAAAGAAAAAUAGUCUUACAAGUAAAAAAAUCCAGACCAUUGUUGUUCUUCUUGUUGCUCUCGGUCAGAAUAAAAAACAAAAACCAAAGGAAAAAAAAAAAGAGGAAGAAGAUGAGAGAAAUAAGGUGAAGAGUUAGACGAAUCGACAAUAUGAUGAAGAAAGGAGAGGAAAAAUGGGCAUUUCCGACUCCUCGGUCCCCACCCCAUCAGGUAAUCACGAUAAGGUUUAGGAAAAGAACAAUAAAAGGGCACAAGCAUGGUCAAAAUUACAAGAAAGCCCAACCAAACAUUAAUAAGCGGGCACACAAAUCUCCAAAUUUACGGGUAAAACCGGACCACCAAGGGCAUUAUAGAGAAAGAAAAUGCAAAGUCAAUAUCAGAAAAUUCUGGAGCCACAAAUUUGGCCUUUAUGCCACACUGGAAAGACCAAAAUACCCCAUAAAGUCAUCAGAAUUACCAUCGAAACCGGCCCAUGCUUGCACUGUAGCCAAUGGUCGUUCCCCCUUUUAUAUGUUUUAGAUUAGAUUUAGAUUAGAUUAGAUCAGAUCAGAUGUGUGUGUAUGUCUGAAUGCGCAUGCGAGCAAGCAUAAAAGGGUAAAAUUCAAUAUUUUGCUCCAAAGUCCACACAAGACCAAAUAAUACAUUUUCUUCUCACUAAUUCAAUUGGAUCAAUAACUAUAGAAAACCUUUGAUUGUUUUUAACGCCAUGUAAUCCCACAAAUAGAUGCCAUCAUGUGGAUGCCAACACAUGAAAAACUAUGUUUUUAGACUUGAACUGAGUAUCAACUCGAUCGAAUUCAGGAGUUAGGGGUUAAUGGAUUCGAUCGGGGUUAAAUCAGAUAACGUCAUAAAUAAAAUUAUUUAAAAAUUUAAAUAUUGUAUGUAAAAUACUUAAGCACAUGUUAAUAUUAAUAAAUGUAUAUUCAUAUAUAUUUGAUAUUUCAAAUAUAUUUAACAAGAAAAUACAAAGAACUUAGAAUGAUCAAGUAGCAAUUUAUAUUAUUUAAUGGACAUUAACAAGUUUAGAAUUAAAAUUAUGGACUUAAUUGAAAAAUAACACCAAACUUAGGACAAUAUUUAUAAAGUAUGAAAUAUUUGAGGUAUAUUAAUAAUUUUUAACAACUUAGGGGUCAAAACAUAAUACUGACAAUGCUUUGACUUUUUCAAAAAAAAAAAACUUUGACACCAAUAGAUUCUUCCAGUUUUUUUGGUCUAACUCAGUCAAAUCUGAUUUUUGACCUAAUUUGACUGAAUUUCUAUCUAUUCGAUUUUUUAGAAUAACACAUACUAGACACUUGGCCGAUUUUCAGUUCGAUUGAUUGAACCAAUAGAUGCGGUCCAAGUUUAAAAACACAGAUGAAAGACACACGAAAAGAUAAUGCUCUUAGAAGUGAUACUUCUUAUGUCUAGCUCAUUUGGUCCAUGGACUGGAUGAGGUUGGACAAGUGUAUUAGGAAUAUAUCAUAAAAGGGCUCUGUUGCAUUUUGGGCUAUAUUAAACUAAAAGACAUCUGGGGACAAGACGGCUAUCAUUGGGGUGGACGCAGAGGAACUAAAAGCUGGAAUGCGUACCAUCUCGCCAAAGAGGACACAAGGGGAUGAGGGCAUUACUGCUUUCAAGUCCACAUAGAUUGGAUAUUCAAGUUGAAUGUCAUUCCCUCAAAAGUAAAAAAGUUGAAUGAAUCAUUGGACAUCAUUUUCGUGAUUUUAAUAAUGGCUUAAGUCAAAAGACAUGUAGUAUGCUGACUUGGCAAGAGUUUUUUUUUUUAACCUCUUCUAUUUUUUUUGUUUGCGAAUGGAAACCCCGCUAUCACAGAUUAUUGCAUAGACCCUGCCACUUAGACAGACCUUGGGCAAGUACCCCUCCCAAGUGCAAUGAAGGUGGCUAGGCUUGUCAACGGGUCAGGGUUCUGAUCGAAACUGAAAAUUCUGAACCCAACCCGUUUUUAUGUAGUAAAUUCAAACCCGACCCGUAUACCCAACGGGUCUUGAUCGUAGAGUUUUGGAAUUGGGUUCGAUGGGCUGUGGGUCAGAUCUAGGUCUAUUAGGAAAAAAAAUCCAAAUUUAAACAUUUUAAAAUUAAAUCCAAAACCAAUCAUAAUUCUAUCUCCAAAAUUAAACAAAUCAAAUUACAAAACUAAAUCACAAAUAACUCAAUAGUCAAUACAAAACUAACCACAAAUCAAUCUACAAAAUCAUUACUAAAUUGUUAAUUUGGUAAAAGAAUAUAUUUAGAAAUAUUUGUAUUUUAUAAUUAUUAAUAUAUUGUUUGGAUCCAGGUUGGAAUCCUAUAUUCCGUAUCCAACCUAUUUUUUGUUAGAGUAAACGGAUCCGGGUAUUGGACUUAUUUCUCAACCCAUAUUCGGAAAAAAUUAUCGGGCCUGAGCCGAGUUCGGAUCCAAACCUGACCCAUUGACACCCCUAGAGGUGGCCAACCUAGGCCAUUGGCCCCAUUUAGAUAAGUGGGGAAGACCUUUUUUUUUUUUAUAAUAGGGCACAAAUAAGAAACAAAAGCAAUUUUAACACAUAUAAAAGUAUUUGGGAAGAGAAGGAGAAUAAAUAUACAAACAAACAUUUAACUAUUUAUUAACUCAAAACUCAAUCAUAGCAAUAUCAAAUUGUAACUUUUCGCUUACGACAAUUUACGAAUUUAAACUAUGAGACUUUCUCUCAAAUUUACCCUCAAAACUCGACUCAUUUUUUCAAGUAAUAAUCUACUACUCUAGUAGUAUUUAUGCAUUGUUAAACUUAUUAAACAAAUACAAGUAUAAAACCGAAACUUAUGUGGAACUGAUUUGAAAUCUCCUAAACCAAUGUGGGAACUAAACAAACAAGAUACCGAAACAAGAAACUAGAAGAAUUAAAUAACUAAAUACUAAGAUAGUUGGGUUUAAUAUCCUUUAUUGCCUUCCUUAAACCAUGCUAGUUAUUGUGCUCACCUUCAAUGUCAAUUUGAACUUGAAUCUCUAUGGAAAACUCAGUUGCAGUAGACACAACAUUUAACUCCAACUUAUGAUUGAUUUUUAGUUUCAUCUUUACACAUAACAAUGGUCGAAACUUAUACUUUUUGAACAAUUUCUUAUCUUGAUCACUUAUGUCAAAAAAGUUAAACAUGUUCAUCCAAACUCCAUUCAUUACUCCACAUCGCCAAUAAAAUUUCCCAACACUAGAAAAUCAUAGUUGCCACCUCCAAUGUUUUUAACAUCACCAUAUUUUUCCUUUAAUUUUUUCACACUAACAAUCGCAUCUUUCGCUUCAAAAAAUCAUCAACCACAAUGAAAUCAAAAUCUCUCUUAUCACAAUCUUUAGUUACAUUUUCCAAAUCACCAACGACUUCACUUUCUUUCUCAACCACAUGUGAAAUUUCUUUUUCAGCCACAAAUUUUUCAUCUUCAUGUGUACCCAUAAUUUCUGCAAUUUCUUCUUUCUUUGACUCAUAAAAAAAAAAAUUUCUCCUACCUCAUCACAAAAUUCUUCUCCACCAUGACCAUAGAAAUUCAUCAAAAUUUUCCAAACCUCCGUUGCUGUAUUUACAUCUAUUAAUUUUUUGGCUACAUGCAAUUGGACUUGGGUGUUGAGAUAUUGGAAUGCCUUGCAAUCUAACUAUUUAUUCUUCUCUAACUCUUAAACUGCUUGAUAAUUCGUAGGUUCUAUAGGUUUCGUGAACCACUUUUAGACAAAAUCCCAAAUUCCAAUAGCUUGAAAUUUUUUUUCAUCAUCCAACUCCAAAUCUCAAAAUCUUUUUUACCAUCAAAAAUAAAAACAUCACAACGUGAUGAAUAACAUUGAUCCAUGCUUCAAUUUCAUGAACAAGCCCUAGAAUCAAAGUCCAAACCUCUAAUACUUUGUAGGAAAAUAGCCCAUAGGAUAAAUAAUCAAAACAAAUCACACAAUCGAAGAAAUAGCAUAGCAGCGAAAUAUUUAUAAACAAACAAACGGAAUGGGCUCAAGAAAGAAAUGAAGGAAACUAAUUCCUAAACUAAUAUGAAAACUAAACAAACAAGACACCAAAACAAGAAAUUAGAAGAAUUAGGAAACUAAAUACUAAGAUAGCUUGGUUUAAUUUCCUCCAGUUAGUGAAACUAGUUAGGAAAGGAGUUUGGUAGUCAUUCCUUUCUUAGAGUCAAUCUUUCCCCCUGCAUCUCUUUCUUUUUCUCUCGUUCUAAUCAUUCCUCAUUCUUGAACUAAUUCUUUCCUUCUCUAGUUCAUUUUUCUCCCAAAUCAAUACUUAAUUUGGACUCCAAUGUUUGAGUCCAUGAUAGUUGUUGGCAUGAAGCGGUUGGCUCUGGCUGCUCGAAUACCCCCUGAUCAUGGCUGAAACUACUUGUUUUAAGUCUUUGAAGGACCAGGUCAAGAAAUAGAAGCAAGGUUGAACAAGGCUCUGGCUUCCAUAGGAAAUUUUUAGCAGCAGUUAGACUCCAUGAAUAAUUUCCAGCAACAUUUUCAAGAUGAGUAGGAAAGUAAUGGCAAGAAGAUGGAGUCCAUGAUUCGUAAUGUGCAUAAGAAAUUCAGCUCCUCUAUGAUGGUGAUGUCUUGUAAAGACAAUCAGAAAGUGAUCUGCGAAGAAGAAAAUUUUGGGAUUCCAUGUGAGGACUCAUGUUUUAUUCUUAAAAUAAUUAUUUUUAUAAUUAUUUACCCUAGUAUUGGUUAAUUAUAUUAUCGUUACAUGAAUCGUUUUAAUUUCGCUUUAUCGCGCGCGAAUCGAAAGUUCACGUAUUUCGCGUCAAAAUGGUUAAGUGGAAAUUUAAGAAACUUAUACUAGGCUACUAAAAAUGAAUAAUUAUAGUAUUAAAGGAAUUACAUUUGAGGAUUACGUCACUAGUGCAACAAACAACAGAGAAAAGUGGUAGUACGGGACACUAUUCGCGCACUAUUGCGAGUUGACUUUUUCACUUUUAACUUGGCUUCCUUAACACAGUUCAUCCACCAACCUUCACAACACACAAAACCCUUCUCUUCCUCUCUCUUGGUUGGCUGAACACCCAAGGAAGAAAGGAGGAAAAAGCUUCACAUCAUCUUGCUCAAUUCUUGCUUCCAUUGCACUUCCAAAUUUGCACCCAACUUCAAAACUACUUGGAGAUUAACUUUAGCUUGGAGGAAGACAACAUCUAGUGGAGAUUCUUGGAGGUUUUUGUGGUGAAAAUUUCUGGUUUCUACAAGGGUUAGAGGUAAACCCAUCAACUCUUCUAAUCUUUCCAUUUAAUCGAAGUUUAGUGGUUGAUUUUGCAUAGGUUUGAAACCCUAAGCAUGAAAUAGGCUAGCGGACUUGAGGUGUUUCAUUUCUUGCUUUAAUUGUUAGGCUAGCGGUCUUGAGGUGGAUUAUAGGUAGCUGGCUUGAGGUGCAAUUAGUUGAUUGUGGUUGUUUACGUGUUAUUUGAGAUGAAUACUGUUAGAAAGUGAAGGAAAAAUCGAAGGAAAGUUAGAAGUGCAAGCCGGCCAAAAUUCUGUCCUUGUUGUUCAGUGGUUGUUUUGAAUUUUUGAUACUUGUUUUGAUGUGAAAUUGAUGGUUGUAUGUUUUAUAUUGUGUGUACAAAAUGUCGUCGGAGUUUCAUUUGGUUGAACAAAACUAGAGUUUUCGAAAAAGAAAAAAAUCUGGAAAUGGUAAUCUGGCAGGCGAACAGUACCUCUUUGUUCGAAUAUAUCUCUUUGUACAAAAAUUGAAAUUGAGUGCCAUUAGCGGCAUUCAAAACUAGACAUUCGUAGAUUUCUAACGGUAUAAAAAUCACCUGCUAGUCCAUUUUGAGUCAUCCGUAGUGAUUCGUCAAAAUUUGCUGCCCUGUUAUGAAUAUCUGUCUGAGAGGAAAUGAGAAACUGCAAUUUGUAGCCUGUUUUUGAACCAAUUGUGAACUGAAUUUGGAAACAUUUCCUUCUGAUGAAUUCAAGCAAUUUGAACCUAGUUUCCAACGCCACCAACCAUUCUUAAUUUGAACUUGUAUUGAGUGAGAUGUGGUCUGAUUUCCAAAGUGCAAUAAAGCUGGAAAACUGGAAAGCUUUUCCUUCUUGCUGGCCGACUGGUCUAGUUUGUUGUGGGAUGUUUUAUUUCGAAAAUUUUGAUCUCAAUCAACCAUCAAGUGUUUAUUAAAGGUUCCUAGGACCUUGGUUUCAAAAAAUGGAUCGAAUUUGGGCUCAUUUCAUUGUGCAAAAUGUUUGGAAAAGAAAUAAAAGUGAGAAGGCAGAUUAGCCUUGAAACAUAUUAUGAACAUUAGUCAUUUUGUUAACUGCCUUCCCAUGCAAGUUUUUGCGUGAAAUUUGAUACAAGGGUAGUUCACAUAUAGAGGUUUAAGUGUAUCAAAUUUGGUAUUAUUUCAACAACCUUUCGAUAUCCAAAUGAUGCUACAAAGAUAGCCUUUUAAAUCUGGAAAUUCACUGUUCUAGUAGUGAAAAUUUACCGACUUUAAACUGCUAUAUCUUGAUACUCAAGAUUCCGAAUUUAGUUCCGUUUAUCAUGUUUGAAACCUUGUUUGGAAAUUUUAUUGUGUUAUGAAAUUCAAAGGCUGAUUCACUUUUUGUGAAUUAUGCCGAAUUUCCAAUGAUUGUUGAAAAAUAAGACUAGUUCAAAACUGUCUUCUAGGAACUGAACCUUUGAGCUGAAAAAUGAAUGCUUUCCGUGUAGAAUCUUGAAAAAGUGUCUUCUAGGAAAUUUUAGUACUCCGAACCAAGAUUCCAACGUAUAUAGUUUCCAUUUUUAGACCUACCGAGUGCAAGAUCUGAUUUUUCAAAAUUUAACGCGCAAAACUGAAAUUUUCCGACUUGAUGAGAAGUGAGUUUUUGGAAACUUUUCCCUAUCCUUUGAUAUUGAUUGAUCGUUUUAAACUCGAUUUUAUGGAGGAAAUCAGUUUUUUUUUAUGUUAAUAAAUUCUCACUUUUGAACUUCGAUUUUUGAGUGAUUAAGGUUCUCUUUUGAGACAUGGACUUAGUCUAAAUAAGUGUACCUUCGUUAUUGGUUAAUACAUGGUUGCGAGUAAAAGUACUUGUUAUUUGUUCAGGCGUUCAAGGAGAUUUUCAAGAGAAUCUUGAAGCGGACGCCUAAAGGAUUAAUUGCUCGCUCACUCACUUUUGUUUUGACUUGGUGAGUGUCAAGUGUAUGAAUUGUUGUCAAAUACGUGGAUUAUUGCUUGUGUAUUAUGUGAAUUCGAAUUGUUGAGAUGAGUGUGUACUUUGUCGCACUCGUUCUCUUUUUUCAUGAAAUUAUGAUUAAAUUUCACUAUGUGAAUUGAUACUCGACUCGUGUGAAUUAAUAUUCGACUCAUGUGAUGUGAUAUGGUUGUGAUUCGUAUUUGUGAUCAUCGAUUGGAGUGUGGUCUCCUCGACUUAUAUUCGUAUUCGGGGGAUGCCCAAACUUGUUGGCUAACUUUACGAAUCGAGCCAGCAUGAGCUUGGUCGAUAAGCUUGGCAAACCAUGAGAUAUUCGUAAAGCUUGAUCUAUUGGAGAGAUCUUGCUUGGCAUACUCGCGUAAUAUUACCCUAAUAUACUCGAGUCAUAUCAAAACCUUGAUGAGCAGGCCCGGUAAGGGGGUGUAACGGUGACAGGAUUUGAUACUUAUGUGGUUGACGAAGUGUCAACAUGGAAUUGAUCAAGACCUUGACUUGGUUACGUGGAAUUUAGCUCCUAAGAGCUACAAUAUCCUUGAAUUGUUUCUAUUUACUUUCCCUACUUGAAAUGCUAAAUACUCGAACUUUACAAUUUAUACUUAUUGUAUAAAUGUGAUUGCUACUUGGACUAUGUGUUUGCAUGUGUGUUUCUUGGCCUCACGAGCAUUUGCUCACCCCGUUAGAUUUGUUUUCCUUAACAGGAGCUGAAUUGGAAGGAAUUAUAGAGAAGCCAAUUUGUUGGACUUUUGAUUAGGGCUUUGAAUGUAAUUGUUUAGACAACUUUUGGAGGUUAUAUAUUUUGGGAUUAUUGAUGUACUUUUGGUAUCUUGUGAUAUAAGACUUGAACGUUUUUUCUAAGGAAACAACCUUUCUUUAUACCUUCAACUUUUAGUAUCGACAGUCAUCCUUAAGUUUGAAUUGAAUUUGUAUCGAGUUCUGGCAAGAACUGAGCAGGCAUCCCGCCGAUACCCUUUGGUUCGUCUUAGGGAGAAGUGGAGGCAACACAUUCCCACCUCUUAGAAGCAACGAAGUUGCUGUCCACCAAUGAGCCUGGAGCGACUACUAAGGAGAACUGGAGUAGGAUUCCUUUUCCCAGUUACUCUUAAGGUUGAAUUACCUAUGUUCUUUGGGGAUAAUCUCAGGGAAUGAGUCAGAAAAUGCCAUAAAUUAUUCUUGUUUUACAAAUUUUUUUGAUUAAAAUAGAAUGAAUGUGAUUGGAAUGUAUUAUGAGGGAACAAAUAACUAGUUUCGGGGGGUCAAGAUUGAAAAACCUAGCUAGUUUGUCUUGGAAGGAAUUAAAGAACUAUCGUGCACACAUUUGUUGACAGAGGAAAUUUGGAAAAAUUCAAUAAGUCGCAAUAGAUUGGUAAUUUAGAAGAAUACCAAGAGAAGUUUGAACACUUGAAAACUUUGAUGCUCCUCGAGAGUAAUAAGACUCAGUGAACGAUAUUCUGUCUCCAGUUUCAUUAGCGGGCUUAGAGAAGAAAUUAGGCACAGUCAAGAUGUUCAAACCUGAGAUUUUAAUAGUAGCAUUUGAUGUAGACAGAUUAGACAAGGGGGUAGGCAGAAUGUGGACUCCAGAUUUGAAUUAUAUAAAAUCAAAAUUGGCCAUGGUAUUGGAACUAAUAGCUAUAGGCUCCCUCAUUAUCGAGUUGAAAAAGGAGCUUCUGCUAAUCAAGAUUCUAGUCCUAACAUCAUAUAGAAAAUUUCACCAUCCAAUACCAGAGGGAUAAUAAUUUUUGUUUCAAGUGUGCCAACAAAUUUGGAGCAGGACAUCAAAGUAAAAUGAAGCAGCUGCAUCUGAUGGCAGAAGACGAAGAGGAGGAAAUUGAGUUUGCAGAUGUCCAAGGGAAGCAAGAUAAGGUUACUAGUAAUAUUGGGGUUGUGGUAGACAUGUCAUUUCAUAUUUUGUCUUCUGGGCUCAAAAGAAAGACCAUUACUCUACAAUAGGUUAUGAGAACUGUAGUAGUGAACGUAUUGGUGGACACUGGAAGUUCUGAUAGCUUUAUCAGUCACAGCUUGGCAAAAGAUUCUGAUGACUAAGUUACUAAAAAUUUGGUAUGUAAGCUAAUUGUAGUCGGAGAGUAAGUGCAUUCCACAUGACAAUUUGGGCUUUUAUAGGUAAAUGUUGGAAACAAAAUGUAAAUAUUGGAAGUCUAGGGAGAGGACAGAUCCAAUCAAAACAAAGCUUAUUCACCAUUUUGUUCCCCUGAGCUUUGGAUUUGGAGGUACUCAUACUUUACCACCUUAAACCUUAAAAAUAUGCACCUCACACCACCAGAAAUCUAGCGAAUAUUUGAAAUCUUACCUUUGUCAAUGUUUGAAAUCUUAACUUUGUCAAGAAAAUUGAGUGUUAUGACAAUAUUGCUCUUUUGUUGAUGAAAUUAUAUAUAGUUUACUAUUAAUGCCCUUUUACUGGUGAAGAAAGUGAUUUUUUUUAUUUAUUCUCUAUUUAUUCUCCUUUAAGUCUAGAUGUAAUAUAUAUUAGUCCUUAUUAAAAAUUUAGUUAAGUAAUUCAUAGUUGACUAAUCUGACAAACAAAAUAUAACAAAAAUAUUCUUCUAACAAUUUACAUAAACUAAAAGAAUAAAAUAUUACGUUGUUAAGUAGUAACAAGCUUAAUAUUAUAGCAUGAUUUCAAAUGUUUGCCAACUUUAUUUAUUGUUAUUACUAUAUUAUUUUUUUAUUACUACAUUAUUUAUUAUUACUAUUAGAUUUAAAGUCCAAUAAAUUGAAAACAAUGUAUAAGAUAAAAGAACAUUAAUUCAACAUGAAUUUGAAAAGACUUUAAGGAUAUUAAAUUGAAAAAGCUUUUUUUGGUUUUAUUAAUUUGAUUUUUGUAUAUUAGAUACUAUAGAGAAGAUAUAAAUUUUUUAGCAACAAAAUGGCAAUAAUGAUAAAUUAUUAAUCAUUUCAGAAAUGAAAGGGCAUUAACAUCCUUACACUCACUUUUUUCCUUAUGACGUUAAUAUUUAUAUCUUUGACUAGUUUUCAAGGGGCCAAGCAUACAAUUUUAAGGCUCGUAAUAGUAAAGUCAAAAGUGUGCCUACCCCCAAAGUUUAGCAGAGCAGAGUGUGACUGGCCCUUAGAACAAACAACGAUGGAGCAAAUUGAAAAGCAUGUACUUGUUAAUGGGGCAAUUCACAAUAAAGCCUUAUAUUUAUGCGAAUACUUACCUCUACGAUAUCAGCAACGUUGACUAUAAAAGCAUUAGGAAGUGGAAUAAUAGGAACCCAAGCUUCAUUUUCCUUGAUUUGAAGACCUUGUACAUCAUUGAUUUGAAGUAAAAUGGUGAGGCUAACAGGAUCAGAGUGAUGGCAGAGGCCUGUGACCAGCUCAGGUUGAGGACUUGGAGGAUAGUAAGUGAGCCUCAUGGAUUGCAACCCUUCUUCUAAAAGCACUUCAAUUCUUCAUGCUUCAUUCCUAAUGCUUUUGCUAUUAGGCUGAGAAUCUUCAAGGCAAGCCUUUUGAGCUCUAUAGAGUACUCUUGAAGACUUUCCCUAUGUAGCAGAACCAGGAACAUUUGAAGGAAUAUAAAGGUAACUAGAAUAAAUAUCGGUUUAGUAUCAUAACAAAAGAAAAGAAAAGUAAAUUUUGCGCACAAACUUCACUGUUAGUUUCAUGUUUUGCAGUGUUAUUGGAUUGAUUAACAUGCAAAUAAACUAUAAGGAGAACUUAGCAUACCCAAGUCUAAGUAUAAAUUUAGAUGUAUAUUAUAAUGAACUUAAAAUCAUAAUUGAUUUGUUUAUUUUCAAAUUGCACAGUGAAUGAAGAUAUUUCAAUAAAUUUGAGCUCAUUGUAACCAUUUGUCAUAGUGAAUUGGUGAUUUUUUAUUGUUCAACUUCAUCUUUUAAAAUAUCAGUAACAUUUUAACCUAAAAUAUCUUAGGCCAUCCCUCUUCUAUCUUUCUUCUCUUUAGAAAAAGUUCUCUAACUAAAACUCUCAUUCAACUCUCUCAUGAGAGAGAGAUCAGAUUUUUCUAAUCUCUCUCUAUGUGAGAAGCUCUCUCUAUAGUUUCUUUUCAUUUAUGUGAAUAAAAUAUAUCUUAAGAUUUUCUAAUGAGAGUUUCUUCUGAUAGGGCAUAAUUUGUUAUUAAUUUUAUGGUUAAUUUUCCUCUUUGUCCUUGCCAAAUAUUGUUUUAAUUGUUGAAAUAUACUUAUAUUUGGUAUUUGAACCUAAUUACAGGAAAUGUGUGGCGACCCACUUCCCCCUAAGGCGAACCAGAGGGUUGGCGGGCCGUCUGCCUAGCUCUCGCCAGGACUCAUGCAAGCAAGCUAGCAAAAAAAAAAAUCCUUCCGAAGUAUAACCUAAUCUAUUACAACAUCGAUUCUCCCAAAAUAGAUCAAUUUCUAAAAUCACAUUAACUUCACAGAUAACAGUACUAUAAGAUAGCCAAACGUCGAAUCUUAAAAUAGCUUCCCGAUUACAACCCAAGAAAUAAGACAUACAAUUCAAAUACGUUCGUACAAGUCACAUACAAACCCAGGGUUUACACCUUUCCAGCUUCAAGUGGGAACCCGAAACAAAAGCUACAUUGUUCAAUUCAAACUACAUGCUUAAAGUACAAGUAGAUCUCAAGUCUUCCUCAGUUGUCAAAACCUGUAAAAGAAAACCACAACGUGGGAUGAGCUACACAGCCCAGUGAGGUUCCAAGACGCUCUAACAAUUCAAAUAGGUCAAGUAAGUUGUGCAUAUCAUAUGGCAUGUUACACAAUGGCAUGUUACCAUGAGGUGAUAAUCAUUACACGGGUAAUUGCUACCUUGAAAACACAUGUAGAACUAGUACUUUUGGAAUGAAUGGCCAUAUAAAUAUAUUUUCAUAAAUUUUCAGUCAAACAAAUAGUGGCUCGUCCGACUAGAAGAACAUUACAAGGAUUGCUUCAUCUCAGAGGUUAAUGCUCAUGAGGAGUCUUACCCGAGAAUGCCAACUAGGAGAGCAAUAAUAUUAUUAAUAGUAAAGCAAGCACGAAAGGAUACUGUGUUCCAGUGGAACUUUGUCGGUCAUCGGCACCUUAUAACUCCUGGAUCCCCACGGUUGACUGGCCAUCACCUUAUCCCUCCAGGGGUAGUACUCGAGUAUACCGAAACGGUUGUCCAGGGCUCCAACCUACCCGACCGAGCCCAGUCCUGGCUCGAGUAGGUCAGUAACCGAGGCAGGGCCCAAGUUCAGCUUAUAGCUUACAACAUGCACAAGUAACCAAAUAAUUCGACAAAAGGUAAACUCAUCAUUUCAAUAGGUCGAGUGAGAUAAAGUACACACUCGCCUAACAAUGAUGGACAACUUCAUGUAACAUGUGAUUCAUGAUAAUCAAAUACUCAAGUGGACACUUAGCACGUAAGCAAUACAAGUUGAUUUCAUGGGAGCAUGUGAUUCACGGUUAUCACGAAGUCACGUAACUUGGAAAUCGAGUAAACAGAGAAUCAAGUUAUCAGGUAGUCACGUGAUUUGAUAAACUGUUCACGGUUAACGGUUCACGGUUGACGGUUAACGGUGGAGUAUUGACGGUUACUUGACAGGUAUUUGCCAUGUUAAUAGGCCAUCAUCGGCCGCUAUCCCUUUUUAAUCUUGUGAGAGUCGAGGAGAUUCACUCCAGUGACGUUACUAUAUUUAGAUUCAUGAGAAAAUGUUUCACGCAAGUCACCACUCGAACGGCUAGUGUGAUAAAGUACACACUGCGCACUUCGAUGGAUCGGAACUCAUUUUCCAAAAUGUCACAUAACGAGUCACAAGAGCACUUUAACCAAAUAAGCAUAAAACAAGCAAGCUAAGCACGUAUUGUGUGACGCCUCGAAAAAACUGAGUUUGAGAACCCGGAAAUUUUCUAAUUUUCUAGGGUUUAUUUUUUUUAACGCCCGCCUUUUCUACAUUUUCUUGAUUAGAAAAAUUUCCCAGAUAAAGUUUAUAAGCAAAAAUAGUUUUAAAAUGAUUUUUCUAGUAUCGGUUAGUUUUUGAGAAAUUAAGAGCUUAUACUGGACGUGGGACCCGCUAGUGUGAUAUAAUUUUGGUGACUAAGUGAAUUGUGUGCUAAGUGUUAUUAUUUUACAAGGUGCUAGGAAAUGAUUAGAGGGUGGUUAUAUGAUGUAACCAUUGGAAGGCAAAGGAUUAAAGAAAAUACUAGAAGGGCCAAGUGUCACAAACCCAUUGCAAGUUGGACCUUUGACUAAGACCAUGAUUUCUUCUUCUUAUCUUGACCAAACCUUUUGUUUUCAUCAUUUCUUCUUCUUGUAAGCAUGAUGGACGAAAUUUUGAGAGAAAGAGAGAGAAAAUCCAGCAUCUUGCACCUCAAUUUCUUCCUCCAAUCUUGAUUUCUAACCGAUUAAAUUGCAAAUCACUCCAUAAAACUUGCUAGCUAAGGAAGAUUGAAGCUAUUGGUGGAGUUGUUUUGGAAGAAAAAUCCCUAAGCCAUCACCUUUCUUGAUAUUUCAAGGUAUCAUGUCUAACCAUCCUUUCUUUGAUCUUGAUUUUGUUAAAUUAAUGACUUGUGAUGGCUAAUGAGAUGUUUUAGUGGAAGAUUAGCACUUGAAUGCAACAAUUUCAAGAUUAGGGUUUUCAAUUUCCCAAAUUCUGUCUGACACUGUUCAUCAUAGUUAGAGGCCGAAUUGGCCUUAGCACAAAACAUGAAAGUUGUAGAGAAUGAGGUUUUAUAGUUGCCUACAAAAUUUCAACUCAAUCCAAGUUCGGUAGCCUGUGAAAAGACCAAAAUACCCCUGCUGCCCUGUUUCUGUCCGAACCUGGAAAUCAGCUUUGGUAAUUGGUUAGUUUGACUGGGAAUACUACUGAUUUGGUUGUUGAUGUCUUCUUACGAAUUCUAGCCUUGUAUCUUAGCUUUUAAAUGGCUUUGGAAUUACCUGAUUUGGAGUUGUGUGUGCUGAGUUAUGACUGAAUGAAUCAGGACUGCGUCAGUGAGCUUCGAACUAGAAAAUCUGGGGUUGUUUUGGAACAUUUGACCUAGUUAGGGUGAGAACUGGACUGAGUGAUCUUCAUGAAAGUUGUAGGUAAUGAUAUUUUAGAGGUUCCUGCAAAAUUUCAGGUUAAUCGGAGUACCGUAGCUUGAGAAAAGAUGGAAUUACCCUUUCUGUUCUGGUUUUACCCGAAUGUAAGAAUUGCGCCUGUAAUUGGUUGUUUUGGUCCGGAAUGCUUCCAAAUUGGUUGUUGAGGUCUUCUGAUGAAAUUUAUCCCUGUUUCUUAGCUUUCAUAUGGUUUUAGAAUUUCUGGAUUUGGACUUGGAGAGCCUGAGUUAUGAUGUUUCCGCUAGAAUGCGUUUUGGUGAAUCUGUUUUUGUGAUUCUGAUGUAGUAUCUUGCAUUUUUGACCUGGUUACACUCGAAACUGGGUUGAAUGACCUUCUGUAAUAUUGUACCCCUAUCUCUUAGCUUCGAAACGGUGUAUCUUGUACCUUCAUCCGACAAUUGUAGUGCCUUUGGUACCAUUACCGCAAAAUGACGUCAAAACCUAUUUUUCUGGUUUUGAGCUUAACUUUCAUUUCCGGACUUUUUCCUAACUUGACUUGUCUUUGUACUACUUGGAGCUUGCUGUAUGACUAUUGGAUGAACUUGUUGUUGUGUGUGUACCUUUGGGACUGGCUGAGGAAAUAAUGAAGCCAUGAUGGCUGGAAAAGUUAACAAAUUUAGGGGAAGUGCUGUCCGAACUUUGAAGGGACUUGUUUGCAUUGAGUUUGUGAUUUAAGACUUGGAUUUGGGCAAGGCAAUGAUAUAUGAUGGAUGGUUUCUGAGCCAUGGAGGUGAGUGACCUCAAACUACUUCUAAAGUUAUUUAUGAACCGUUUCUUACAUUAUUUACUUUUGAACUGUUUCCAAAGUUACUUUUGAAAUGUUUUCUUGCAUAUCAUGUGUGCUGGCAUUUGAGUGUGCCUUGUUUGCUAUAUUUCUUGACUUCAUGACUUGUAUUUUGGUUGAUAACGUGUUAAGCGCUUAUAAUGAUUUCCAAAACGAGUUUUCGAGGCGAGUGUGUACUUUAUCGCACUCGAGCUCGAUAAAUGUGAAAUUUUCGAUUGAAAUGUUACUUGCGCAUGAAUGUAAGUCUUUUGGGCUGAACUGGCCAUUGCCCAUUGUUACCGGUCGUCUUGAGCCAGAAGCGGACUCGGUCAGGCGAUUAGGAACUUGGGUGAACGUUUGGUAUACUCGAGUAUUACCUAUGUAGGUUGGUGGAGCCUGGCCAAAAGCCAGGGACGGGGUGAAUGAAAUGAAAUGAAUGACCAAAUGAGCGAGGAAAUGUCAGGAGAAUGAAUGUAUCCUUUCAUGAAUGUUACUAUCGCUUUCCAUUGUAAAUGUUUCUUGAAUUAUCGAUAAUCCAUAUUUACUGUUUUGCAAAUGAUGUAGUUGUUUCCGGAUUUAUCAUUUAAUUUAUGACAUCAUUGCUAUAUGACAUCAUUGAAAUGAACUAUUGUGAAACCGAUUUGAUUAAUGAUUUUCUGGUUACUCGCUGAGUUUUUAGCUCACCCCAAAAACUAUUUUAUUCCCCUCCACAGGGCUCGUGGCGAAGGAAGGACUUGUAGUACUUGUGCACGUGUAUGGAUGGCCUAAACUUUGUACAAUUUUGGAUUUGGAAUUAUUUUAUGUAUAUUUGGGAUUAGUUUCCGCUGCAUUUGUGACAUGUAAUUAUUGGAGACGGAUGUGUAUUUGUGGACCAUUUGAUGUAUACUUGAGAUUUGUAUUGUAUUUAUUUGAUGACUGUAGUGAACGACUGAGUCCCGGCGAGAGUUGGGCGGGCGACCCGCCGAACCCUGGGGUACGCCCUAGGGAGAGGUGGGGCCGUCACAUAUUGAGUUUACAAGAUCAUUUGAUAGGGUUAAUCAUUUAACCAAUUCAUGUCGAUAUGCAAUGCAAAUAUAUAUUUCUUAAAUAGGCAUGAGUAUGGUAAAUACUUAAGGAUCAUAAAAUGAGCAUGUUCUAGACUUACUCAAUUACGUAUUCUUAUAUGGAACACUCACCUAGCAACAAGGGCAAUAGGUUCAAUUUUGAAGUUCAAGCGUCCUCUGUCGGAUCCUCUUAAAGGUCCUCGUGUGCGCCUGAACAAAUAGUAAUAGUCUAUCAUUUAUAAUCCCUACUAUUGAUGAAGAUCGUAUCAUAGUACAAUCUUAGGAAAAAUCUCGUGAAACAAGUCUUAAUUAUCCUAAAUCGAGACUCUCAAGCGGGGUUUCAAAGUACAAGAGAAAUUAGGUCUACAUCAUGAAAAUCAAGGAUAAAACAUUUGAAUAAUAUCGAAGGAAUAAGGAGUACUUGAAAAACUCCAUUUCUUUGGAAUUCGAAAAAUUUCAGUUUUGAUGCGAUACUUUGAAAAAUCGUAACUCACCUUUUACAUGUCAAAGAUUGGAAAACUUGAUACCGUUGGAAACUUCCUUCAAAAUACUAAAAGUUCCUAGAAUACACUUUUUCAUGAUUCUAAAUGGAAGAUAGUCAAAAUGGGCUCAAAGUUACUGUUUUGGUUCAUAAGGUAGAUUUAAGUUGGUUUUUGGCCAACUUUGAAAAUUCGGCAAAAUUCAUUUGAUUGGAACUAGCCUUUGAAAUUUGUAACUCAAUUAGUGUUGUAAACCAAGAGUAUAACAAAAUAGACAGAAUGAGAAACAGAGUUUUGAGCACCAAGAUACGGUAGCUCAAAGUUACUAAAAUUUUCUUGUUAAACAAGGGUUUUCGAACUCAAGUCAUAAACUUUGGUAAUUUAUUUGAGUCAUGAAACGGUUUCGGAAUAACACCAUAAUUAGCAGUAUAAUACUACCAUAUAAGGGUUAUUCCUAUGUCAAAUUUCAUAGAAAAAUAUGCACAGGAAGUCACUUAACAAAAUCACUCAAGUUUCCAAAAUUUUAAGGCAAGGCUGCCUUGUGUAUGAAAAUUUCCUUUUCUAAACUUUUGACUAAGAGAAAAUCCUCUAAACAUGGUUCAUUUGUAUAGGAAAAAUUUAAAGAACAUUCAUGGUACCUUUGGUGGUUGUUUAACACCAAGAAAUUUAAUUAUCAAGUCUAUACCAAGCCUUGCAUCAAAUCUGUCCAAAAGUUAGGAUUUCCAAGAGCAGGGCAGGUUCCGUAUUUUGAUCACCACUCACUCAAUUCAACUCGGAAUUGAGCAUGGUUGGUGGCGUUAGAAAAUACAUUUGUAGGGUUAUAAUUUCACAGAAGAAAUCAUUUUCAAAUUCCAUUCACAAACAACUCGUUUUUGAGCAUCAAGAUACAAGUCCUGUCCUGUCUCCUAGAGAGAAACGAAACAGGACAGUGAUAUUCAAUCGAAUGGUGUGGCUUACUCAAGUGGAACCAGAACGUGCAUUUGGUACCAAUGGAAAGCUAGGAAUGUCUAGUUUCAAAUGCCACUUAUGGCACUCAAUUUCGACAUCGGAGUACAGAGUUAUGGCCAAAACAAGAGGACUGCCUGAGUAUUACGAGAACAGUUUUCCAGAUUUGGCAGAUUUUAAAACUCAACAUGCACUCACCCAAAUCACGUAAAAUUUUGAAGAAAAUUUAAACACAACCUAUAUUUCACAUUUGCAUCAAAAACAAGUAAAUUAGACUUCAAGAAAGUACACUAAAUGCACGAAAAUAGCAGAGCAGAAACGGCUUCAUCACAUGCAACUCCGCAUUUGACUUCCUUUUAAUUUUUGCCACUUAACUCUACUAAAUUAGCACUUAAUCAACACAAUCAACAUCCAAUCCUAGCUAAUCAGAUCAUCCAAGUCAUUGUGGGAUUUCAUAGAGCCCACUCACCAAUUUUCCAACAAGUUAAAGCUGCCCAUGAGAAUCCAAGAGCUCAUGAGUGAAAUUUAUCUUCCAUAGAACAAGAAUUAAGUGGUUGAUCAUUACUUACUUACUUAGAGAGCCAAGACAGAAAUUUUUUUCGGCCCCUUAGAUGCUCAAGACAACCGUGGAUAGCAGCCCUCUUUCCUAGCAUAAUUCUCACAAAGAAAAUUCAUAUUACAUGCUGCAAAUCCAGUUCCAUACUCUCCAACUGUCACAGAAUUUUUUUCCAGCAUAGGGUCAGUCAUUAAACAAGAUUUCUUCAGCCCACAACUCUUAUAAACUUCAGAUACAUAUAUAACAUACGUUUCCUAUCAUUGGUUUCCGCAAAUUUCAGUCCAAACAUGGGAUAACAAGCUGCAACUCAACAACAAGCUCUCGGUUCCUGCAAAUUUCAGUCCAGCAACUAUUCAAUCCAAAAUCAGAAUUUUUUUCCUCGGUCGAAAGCCCAUUUUCCUUGCUAAAUUCUAACAUGCAGCUUAAGUACUACAUAUAUUAGUUGAGUGAGAGUUUAUUGCAGAAUUUUACCUCUUGUUUCUCUUAGAAUCUGAAAUCGCAGACCGCUCUAGCUUUUCUGCUUCAGCUAGCACCGAUCCUCUUUUCCUUUUGUUCACUUCAUUCUCACUCGAUUGAAGCUGAUAGGUAAAGAAACUAACAAGUUUGCUCUCCCUCCCUCUCACUUCUGCUCACGGUUUUGAGGUUGGAGAAGUAGUUUAGCUCUUGGUUUCUUCCUUUGCUCUUAACAAAUUGUUGCUAAAUGAUUCCACCGAACUAUCCCUUUGUAUUAUUUGGUGUCUAGCUAAAUGAUCUAUUCGGUUGCAUGGUAAUUCUAACUAAAUCCUAGGCUAUUUGGUCAUUUGAUAAUAUUUUAUUUACUUGACAAGGACCUGAACUUUUAUUAAGUGCAUGUGUUGUCUUAAAACAUUAUCUCAUCUAUUUUACCAAUCUGCAAUUUUUUUUUUCCUUAAUUCACUCGUUAUUUCCUAAUCUUAUUUGUAUCUCAUAAAUUCUCACACAUUUAAUUUUUUUCUAGGAAAUCAAUAAAACAAGUGGCUUAGCACUAAAAUAUAUUUAAUUAAUCUAUGAAUUGGUAUGUAAUAAUUUCCAAUGGCGGAAAUGGAGAUAAUACGGGCAUGGUUAAUUUUGAAAUGGAGGAGGGCUGAUUUAGUCUUUUAGCAUCUUAUUCGACCUUCCACUUAAGUCCUCAUUCGUAAGCUAAUUCAAAAAUUUUACUUCAAAGGCAAUUUGUUAACCUACUAGUAUUUUAAUCUCGCAAAAGUUCAAUUAUCUAAGUUUUUACGUCCUAAGUAUACUUGUAUCGAUUUUGUCUAAAAUUAUCAACUGCAUUUUAAUACUAAGGUUCCUAUUAACCCUUAACACUAUUAACGAUUAAACUUAGCUAUCGGAAUUUAAAGAAUUUAUUUUAAGGCAAUAAUAUUAAUCUAACUCUGGAAAUAUUAAUUUAGUAUAACAAAACCAAUUAAUUUAAUAUUUGGCACAAUUAUAUUAUUUUUCACAUAAAUUAUUAUUAUUAUUUUUUUUAAUAACUCAAGAGAAUAAAAUAAAUUCAAAAUAUAUGUAAUUCCUCGAAUCGAUUGUUAACUGCAUUCGCGUAUUUACUAUUUUCACUUAACGAGCCUUCAGAAAUUAAAUUUCGAAACGAAUCGUUUUAAAAAUAUAACUAAGCUAUGGAUAUAUUUAAUUAAACCUAAAAAUGUUAGAAAAUAAUAAUCGGAGAGAUCGGGUGAGUAAAUACUUAUUUGAGCUAGUAAAAUAAAUAAAGUAAGCAAAAUUUUCGGGUUCUCACAAAAUGGAGCAGAAAAGUACUAAAAUGGGUGACUUUCUUGAGAAAAUGCCAUGCACGUGGGAAGCUUUUGAGAAUCCUUGCAAAUCCGGCUCUAAGAUGUGCUAAACCAAUGUCUUUCCUUUCGUGACUAGCAGUUUACUAGCAUUAGGAAACAAGAAAGAAGGAAACUUCAGUAGUUGUCUUAUCUCUUUGUUUUCCUUAUUCGGUGGAAAAACCAACGAGAUGAGGGACUAGUCAUUGUUUAGAUUAGGGACAUUCUUCUAUUAUUCGUCUUCGUCCCGAGGCCACAACACAGGAUAUAAUUCCUUCUUCAUGCCUUUGCUCUUCUUGCGUGAAACAUAUUACAUUGUUUUAAGAACAAAGUUUGAUAUUCAUGAAUUAUACUAAUUCGCGUGGAAAUUUCUCUAUGAGGCGUGGCUAAGUUCCUCAUCUAGUUGAAGGUCAACUUGAAGACUCGGUUCCAAACAUCUGCGAGAUCGAAUUAUUUUACUUAUUUCUUUUAUUCAUUGGUAUUUGUACAUUUUCUAACUUAACUUCUUAUGAUUGAUUUGUUAUUUGAAUGUCAAGGGUCCGAUAUUCAAAUUAACCUAAUAAUCUACUGCCAGAUUAAUUGAUUGAAUCUGUAAUUGUUCAAUUGAUUAAUACCAGUGGCGACUAGCGUGAUUGGUUCCAUGUUAGGGAAACACAUAAUUUAAUUUAAACAAAUCCUCGUAGCGUGUUCAUUAGUUAGAGUUGGGCUUUUCUAAUUCUUAAUGCAAUCUAGAAAUUAAAUCCUACAAUCGUACUUAGGAUUAUUUUUUUGUUAGAGAAAUAGCUAACGGUCGUACCUUGACUAUUGAAAAAAUAAGGAAAGGCUGGUUGUUUAUCGCGUGUAUAACAACUAUAACCAAUCUAUUAAUGAGUAAUUGAAUUAUCUUUGCAUCGAUGAUCAGUUGAAUAAACCAUGUUUGAAAAGUUGCACCUUUAGCUAGAGUUGUAUUGAUUAUUAAUUAAUUCUUGUUUAUUUCUAUUAGUUGUUUUAUUAGUUAGUUAAUUAGUUAUUUUAUAUUCUCCAAAAAUCCCUCAUACUUCGGACUCUGGAAGAAACGAAUUAUCUCCAGUCCCUAUGGAUUCGACCCUACUCACCGCUAUAUACAAAAUUUGUAUUUUUCUUGAGUAGGUAAUUAUUAUUACAUAGAUUCGACACCUGUCAAUUUUUGGCGUCGUGGCCGAGGACUGGUGCAUGAUUAAUUUGUUUCUUUUUGAGUUCAUCUUAUUUUUAUUUCUAUUUUUUUCUCUUAUUUAUUUUUUUUACUAGUUUACGGUUGCUGACAUUUCAUAUUUUGGUGAUAGACUGAAUUUUAUUCCUACGAAAGGAAAUGAAGCUUAUGUUUUUUCUGAUGAUCAAUAUUCAGAUUCACUAAGCUUUCUUAUCGACAAAAUGGUUGCUGCAACUUGUGGGAUUUGUUAUGCCAUAGAUCAUUGAACCAGUAUGUGCUCUAAAUAUCAAGAUUACCUAAAUGUCUAUCUCAAUAAGUGUGGAGUUUUUUUACCCCAAUCUCGAACGUGGCAUGACCCUUAUUCAAAUGGAUAUGAUCAAAGAUGGUGAGAGAACUCCAACUUUAAUUAUGGACCAAACCCAAUCGAUUUUCAAUAUCAAUAUCAAUAGCAACAGCCAUCAUCUGUCAGAAUUGCUCACAUAGACUAACAUCAACUUUGAAGAAGAUGAAAGUGCAAUUAUCCGAACAAAUGACAUGAAACUGCAAGAGUUUCAAGAAAACGGAUCUAAAGAUGCAGUUGAAAAGGAAGUUGAAGUGCAAGAAAUGAAACCCCAAUAUCAACUCGUCCAAGUAAAUGAAUCCUGUGAACAAUCUCCAAAUGCGGUGACAUUUUCUCCAUUCCUUGAUCAAUAUUCUUCUGACUCUUAUUAUUCAAUUUCUAUUAGUGAGAUUGACUUUAUUAUACCAGAAAAUUUUAAAUUUCAUGACAAGAAUAAGUUAAGGGUGGCGAUGGCAAAAUAUCUUGGACCAAUAAAUGUGCAUGAUAGAGGAGUGAGUGGAGAAUUCAGAUUAUUAUUGACUUGUUUAGCGCCAUCUACUAGUCCAUGGAAGACCGUAACUCGUGUGCUUAAGGAUUAGUCUAUUUACGAGGGCUAUCAGGAUUAUAUAGAGAAUGAAAUACUGAAACGAGCAACAAGAUUUUAUCCUCCCUGAACAAACAUGAUAAUGUCUAGCAAAAAAUGUUAAAAAAAGACGCUUUUUGGGAGGCAACCCAAAUAUUGGUUUUGUUUAUUUUUUUUCAUUGUUCAUUGAUUUAAAUUUGUGAUUUCUCACUUGGGUACUAAUCGAUCUUGAUAUUUUCCUGUACUAUGACCAAGACAGGUAAUCUUGGCGUGCCCACGCAAGGAGGGCACGCGUUAAUGUUGCAAGCCUCAACCUCAUCGUCAGGAGACUUUUCCAAAACAUGGCGUGCCCACGCCAUAUUGGUAAAACCUCAACUGUUUGCAACGCAGGUAGGUCAAGGAAUUUGGCGUGCCCACACAAAGAGGGCAUGCGUUAAUUUGCAAAAAAGUCACCCCAAGAUCAGAUUACUUUUUCAAAUCUUGGCGUGCCCACGCGAGGAGGGCAAGCGUGAAAUUGCAAAAAGUGACUUGCAAGGUCAGAUUACUUUUUCCUGUCUCGGUGUGCCCACACUUAACGCAGUGGUUCUAAAAAUUUUUUUUUUCUUUUCUCUUCCUUUCCUUUUCUUUUUCCAUUUUCAUUCUCUUUUCUUUUUCUUUCUUCCAUCCUUCUCCAUUCGAACUCCACCACUGCCAAGCAUCAACUUACGUCGAGCUCUACAAUCAUUUGCCCCUCACCCGUAACUGUCCAUGGCCCGUACAGUUAUCAGGGAAGUUUCAUUGUCCCUUUUGUUUCGUAUUCUAUUCUUUAUCUCUUACAUUGGAGAUAAUGUAAGAUUUAGGUGUGGGGGGAGUAGUAUAUUGAUAAUAUAUUGGAAAAGUACAAGUGUAGGUAUUUUUGUUGAAUUUUUUGUUUGACUUUGUCGAAUUUUAUCUAAUUUUUGCCUAUCUUUAUAUAUACUUGUGAGUGUUCCUGAUAAACGAUAGUUAGAUGUCUCAAAUUUUUCUAUUGUUAAGAUUUUAUACGAUAAGGUGUUAAGUAUAACAGUUAAGUUUAAGAGUAUCUCUUUGGUGAAUAUUUGAGAUUUUGUGACUUUUGCACUUUUUGGUUUCUCUAAGUAUUGUAAAUAUUUGUCUAGCAUUUUUAUGCAAAUUGAUUCAACUAUUAAUCUUAGUUCUCCAUAUUUAAGAAAUGAAGUGGGCUUGUGUGAUCUUUAAUUUUAUUGUUGAUGUUUAUUUGAAUCAUGUUUGGCUAUACUUUGCUAGUAUCGUUGCCUAGUAACUAAAGGUCUUCAUCACAAGUGUCGAUUUUCGCAUCAAAAAGCGACGAUAGAUAUGAGUAUGUGGUUUUUAACUGAUGAUGGCUGAGUAACCGGGCUCCUACAUUUGGCCAAUGUCGGAGUCCGUGUCAAAACGCUUAAAUGACUAAAAACUAAACGUUUUCCCUGCAAAAAAAAUCAAUCAAGUGUAGCGAUAUUUUAGAAACAAAUGUGUUAAUAGUGAAAAAUGUGGAAAUGUUUGAAUGAAUUGUUAGCUCGUUGAUUCAUGAAUUUUAAUGUUGAGAUUUUGCUUAAUAGUCGAACUAUUUGCUUACGAAUGUUAGUUGAAUAUUUUAUAUUCUUAGAUUAGUUAGUCAAAAUUGGAAAAGUCUUUGAUUUUGAAAGAUAACCGGAGAGAUAUUUCUUGAAACUUAAUCACUAAUGCCUGACAUAUGUUUUAAUUGUAUCUUGGCAAUAAAAGAUUUGAACAAUAGCUAUUGUUUGAAUUUGAUUGUUUGAUUUAUUGUUCUCAUGCUUGAGAACAAGUACGUACGGUUUAGGUGUGGGGGAAUUGAUAGGGCAUAAUUUGUUAUAAUUUUAUAGUUAAUUUUCCUCUUUGUCCUUACCAAAUAUUGUUUUAAUUAUUGAAAUAUACUUAUAUUUGGUAUUUGGACCUAAUUAUAGGAAGUGGAGCAAAAAAGUACGAUAAAGGAUGACUUUCUUGAGAAAAUGUUGUGCACGUGGGAAGCUUUGAGAAUCCUUACAAAUCCGGCUCCAAGAUGUGUUAAACCAAUGCCUUUCCUUUUGUGAGGACCCGUAAAUUUUCUUUAUUUCAUAAUAUGUUAUUUUCUUUUCUUGCAUGCAUUUUCUUCAUGAAACCCUAUUAUAUUGCUUUCUUUGUGAUGUUUAUAAGUAAAUAUGGUUUUGAAAUCAUUUUUCUAAUAUAACUUAGUUCAUGAGAAAUAAAGAGUGUAUAUUGGACGUGGGAUCCGCUAGUGGCGUUAAGUGUGAUAAAUUCAACCAAUUAGGUUACAUUUUGUAUACCGGGAUUAAUUUACUAGGUGUUAAGAGAUAAGUAGAUAUUACUUAGAUGGUUUAAUCUUGUAGAGACAAAAGGAUAAGCUUGAAUCAUUAAGAGAGCCAUGUGUCGCGAUUUGAUUGGAUGGUUGACUUGCCUAACUUUUACCUAACUUUCUUAACUUUACUAAAAGACCAAAUUUGACUCAAAUCAUCUUCAUUUCAUCUCCAUCUUGGCCGACCUACACCUUAAGAGAAAAGGAAAGAAAGCUUCAACUAUAUCUUCCAUUUCUUGCACAAAUCUUGAAAUCCAACCGAUUAACUCUUGAAUUAGUCCACAAAAUCAACUUGCUAAGGGAGUUCGAAGAACUUGGUGGAGUUGUUUUGGAAGAAAAACCCCUAAGCUACUACCUUUCUUGAGGAGUUAAGGUAUUUUGCUUGGAACUCACUCUUUGUUCCUAAUAAUGGUCAAUUGGUGACUUAUGUGGUUAACUAGGUGAUUUUAUGGAAGAUUUCAUGGAUUAAAGUGAAGUUAGUUAAAUUUCUGAUUUUUUUGGGAUUUCUCUGUUUUCAUAUGAUGAUUAUGGUUGGCCUUGGAUUGAUGGCUCUAAAUCGUGUUAAAUGCAUCCCCUGUGCGUUAAUUGCGGAAAAUUUCAGCUUGUGCGGAAAAUUUCAGUGUUCCAAUUUGCUCGGUUCUGUCCAAUUCUGUUUGACCAUGAUAGAGGCCGAAUUAGGCUUCGGUUAAAACAUGAAGGUUGUAGAAAAUAGUGUUAACUAGCUGCCUACAAAAUUUCAGCUCAAUCCAAGUACUGUAGCAUAUGAAAUGACCGAAAUACCCUUAACUGUCCAUGAGCCCUGUUUCGCGGACAGAUUUCUGUUUUCGUGGAGUUUUCCAUUUUUGACCAUGAAAAUGCAUGAUUUGACUUUGGAUGUCUUCAUAAGAAAUGUAGGUUUAUGUUUUGGUUUCGAAACGCCAUAAAAUACACCUCAAUCGGACUUCGGUAACUUGAGUUAUUGUCAUUCAAUCAUAGUAUGGUUAACUAGUCUGAUUGUGAGAUUUUGGUUCUGUAAUUUGGAAAUUUGACCUAGAUACACUACGAAUUGGAUUGAGUGGUCUUCAUUAAAGUUGUAGCUCUUUGUAUUAGGUUCGAAAUGGUAUAAAUUGCACCCAAAUCUGAUAAGCGUAGCUUCAGUUGUGACCGAUAUGCUAAGAGACGUUAAACCUGCUGUUUUGCUUUUAUCCUUAAAACUUGAUUUCCAGUUGCAUUCCUAGACUUGCUUUGUAUUUGGAUGAACUUGAGCCUAGUUGAAGGGCUAUUUUAUUGAGAUUUCUUAUGUGUUGGAUUGGAUUGAGUUGAGGAAAAAUAAUGAAGUCAUAAAUGGCUGGAAUAUAGCAAAAUACAGAGGGCAUGCUACCCAAAAUUUUAGGGCUACGGGAUUCCUUCAAAUUGAGUUGAUCUUAGUAAAAAAGAAAGGAUUUUGGGGUUGUUUGAGCCCUAGGUUUUCAUGUUACCUCUUCAUUUCCAAAAAUCAUGUUUUGUACCCUUGCAUUAGUAAUUAUUUGGCGAGGCAUACGACUAGUAGUUGAGCCUCACUUGUGCAUUCUGUUUACUUGAUUUCGGACGUGAAAACUUCAAUUGUUUUACUUUGGUUAUUUUAGGGUUUCUUGGCGAGUAAAGCCACUUUGGCGUGAAAACUUUUGAAGUAUCUGUACUUGAACCGGUGAGUGUAUCACUCCCCUGAAUUAUUGCUAAACUGGUUAUCUGUACUUGCAAAUUGCUAUUUGAAUGUCUUUCCUGACUGUUUAUUUUGUACGAAACGAGUGUGUACGUUAUCACACUCGCUCUCUGGCUUGUGUGACUUGUUUCCUGUAUAUACUUGAAUCUGUUACCUACGCCUGUUAUAAUGUCGUUUGGAAGUGCAUCCAACGACCUUCCAGUUAAAUCUGAGCUCAACCUCAUGGGGAGUUGAUUGAAUCGAGCCAGCAAGGGCUUGGUCGAGAAAAUUGACAAGCCAUGGGUGCCUGUCCCUGGGUGAAUCUAUGGGUAUUGGAGACUCUGGAUUUCCGAUAUACUCAAGUAUUACCAUCCCUGUUCCUGUUUGGCGUUCGGGCCCGAUAAGGGGUAUGUUUGGUGUACGGGAUUUUGGUGUUAAAGUGGUGUUCUACUGGACUGGUUCCUUUAUUUGAACAUUGACGGAGGGUUAACGAGGUUGGAUCAAGUGUUGCAACGGAGAUUUGGCUCCUGAGAGCCGCCUGUAUCCUUUAUAUUGUGGUGUUCAUUCAUUUCUCGUAUUUGAUAUGAAUAUGUGUCUUAAAAGUGAUUUCUCAUGAGUUCUACUAUUUCUACUGUUUAUACUUUUUGUACCUCAUUGAGCUUUUAGCUCACCCCGUCUCGUUAUCCUUGUUUUCCUUACAGGGAACCAUCUUUUGGACCAAUGAUUAUUUUGAAGAAUGGAUUGAGCUUGUAUAAAUGCCCUUUUGUAUAGCUCAUCGGAAGUUGGAAACCCUAAAUGUAUCUUAAUACAAUGUUUCCUUUUGGUUUGUAAACUUACUACUGUAUAUAUUUUAAAGUGUUUCCUCAUGUUUAUGUGACCUAUAUUUGGGAAUGUACAUUCUCUCAUGUUAAACAAAGUGUACUUGUACUUGGUUGGAUGUUGACGUGGUAACGCCUCUUCCAUUUCAUUUUGAUUUUCAUGGGAACGCUGUACCAAAGAUUGAUUGUAUCUUUUACUUUGACUCAUUUGGAGUUCUUUUGAGCGUUUGGAAGGGUUUACAUAUGUUCCAGAUCCGUAGUCCCGGCGAGAGUUGGGCAGGCGGUCCGCCGAACCCUUUGGUUAACCUUAAGGUGAGGUGGGGCUGUCAUAGGUGGUAUCAGAGCCGCUUCGCGUGGUCUCUACGCGGAGUGAGUUUGGGGCCAAGUGGUGUUAUGAUCCUGAUUUCAUGAAUAUGUCUAAGUGCUCGUAUGAGUAUAAGUUAUGAACCGGGCAUGUUAUAAGUGUAAAAAUCUUUAUCAUGGAACUUGAGGAAGAUAGAUAUGUAUGUCGGGUAGAAAUCUAUAAUAUGGAUGAUUUACUCUUGGGACCGGCCGAUUCGAGUUGUGAAUUAUGUUAUUGUGGAUUCUUGUACUUGAGUAUCAAAUAGUGGAGAGCGCGAGAAUAAGGGUCUGUAUCUUGAUUGAACCUGAGGUAGGUUUGGAUGGCAAAGGCCAAGGCAUGGAAGAUUUCACAUUGGAUCUAGUAAUUAGACUGGUUGAGGGGGUUUGAUAUGAAAGUGUUAUCAUGGACUACUCUUGUACUAGUUUGGCUCGGGUUUUUUCGAGGGUGGCUAGAUUGUAAGGAAUUCGUACCUAAGACAUGUUCCCUUUUGAUAUGACCGUGAGGACUUGAUAAGUGUUUACUUGAUUUUGAGCUAGUCUAGCUACAACCGUAGAGGUACUUUCUGCCCCUCUUGUGAGAUUCGAUAAUCAUAGUUUGGCUCUCGAUAAACUAACCUUGCCUAUAUUUUCUUGAUAUUUAUCCCUUGAUGUCAAAGUAUGGACUUGAGUCGAUUAUUAUUAUGUCGAGAUCGAGAGUUUGGAAUUAGGUAUAGAAUGAGGUAUGGAAAUUUGAGAGAAAGGAUUUGGCCUCUAUACCUGUAUGCUUCUAAGUUUAAUUUUUCGUGGUUGGAUUGGGAGUGAGGGAACUAAACAGUUAUAUGGUUAAAGUUCUAAGUGUACUUAGUUACUUAUUUUGAUUCUCUAAUUUGCCUGGCAGGCUAUCACUUGAGUUCGAGCGAAUCGAUAAGAUAGCACAUUUGACUGAUAUGUAUAAGGAGAUAGAGAUUCUUCGAAAGGAAGAAGAGUUCCAAAAGAGAUUAGCUAAGCACUGGGAAGGGCAAUGGAAACAGGAGUAUUCGGAGAAAAUUGAACUACUGCACAAGAACAUAGAGUUGAAAAAGAAAUACGAAGAGGUUCCGGAAGAGGUACGAAGUAAGUUUGAAUUAGUGCCUUCGUCUAGUCAAAUGGCCUCUCAGGACAUUCCUAAUAAUAAAAAUGAAAGAGGUGAAGGAAGUGCUCGCGACCACAAAGCGAAACGUAAAGAGAUGGAUGGAAAUGGAGUUGCCAUGAGGGACAAGGGGAGGAGGAAGAAAAAGAAUGGACACUUCAAGAAGAAAUGUGUGGCUACUAAGUGUGAAACGUAUAACAAAAGUCGUACGGGAAUAUGUUAUGUGAAAAUUGGUGCAUGCUUUAGAUGCGGCCAACUGGGACACCAAAUGAGGAACUGCCCAGAACAAAUGAAUUUUGGGAUGGCGAACCUGCGGUAAUAAUUAAAGUCGGCAAGUAGUGAUGUGUUAGCUGAAAUAAUUGUAUUUAUGGACCUAUGUGUAUGCAACCUUUAUGUAGUGAAUAUGUUUCCGAUAAAAGUAGUGGACCUAGUACUUGAUAUUUUGAUGAGUACUAUUAAAUAUUGGUGAUUUGACAGUAUCUUUUCUUAUCUUUUAGUCUUGAUGUUAAGUGAAAUUUACGUCUAUGGUUCAGAAAGGAGAAACUUUCGAUGUCUUCACUGAUUUGCUUAGCAUAGCGUUUUAGUCAUAGUAUUAGUGUGAUUUCUCUCUAGAUAGAUUGUGGUAUGAGAAAAAUUUUGAGGACGAAAUUUCUUUAAGGGGGAGAAAGUGUGAGGACCCGUAAAUUUUCUUUAUUUCAUAAUAUGUUAUUUUCUUUUCUUGCAUGCAUUUUCUUCAUGAAACCCUAUUAUAUUGCUUUCUUUGAGAUGUUUAUAAAUAAAUAUGGUAUUGAAAUCAUUUUUCUAGUAUAAGUUAGUUCAUGAGAAAUAAAAAGUGUAUAUUGGACGUGGGACCCGCUAGUGGCGUUAAGUGCGAUAAAUUCGACCAAUUAGGUUACAUUUUGUAUACCGGGAUUAAUUUACUAGAUGUUAAGAGAUAAGUAGAUGUUACUUAGAUGGUUUAAUCUUGGAGAGACAAAAGGAUAAGCUUGAACCAUUAAGAGUGCCAUGUGUCACGAUUUGAUUGGAUGGUUGACUUGCCCAACUUUUGCCUAACUUUCUUAACUUUACUAAAAGACCAAAUUUGACUCAAAUCAUCUUCAUUUCAUCUCCAUCUUGGCCGACCUUCACCUUGAGAGAAAAGGAAAGAAAGCUUCAACUAUAUCUUCCAUUUCUUGCACAAAUCUUGAAAUCCAACCGAUUAACUCUUGAAUUAGUCCACAAAAUCAACUUGCUAAGGGAGUUUGAAGAACUUGGUGGAGUUGUUUUGGAAGAAAAACCCCUAAGCUACUACCUUUCUUGAGGAGUUAAGGUAUUUUGUUUGGAACUCACUCUUUGUUCCUAAUAAUGGUCAAUUGAUGACUUGUGUGGUUAACUAGGUGAUUUUAUGGAAGAUUUCAUGGAUUAAAGUGAAGUUAGUUAAAUUUCUGAUUUUUUUGGGAUUUUUCUGUUUUCAUAUGAUGAUUAUGGUUGGCCUUGGAUUGAUGGCUCUAAAUCGUGUUAAAUGGAUCCCCUGUAAAUUAAUUGCGGAAAAUUUCAGCUUGUGCGGAAAAUUUCAGUGUUCCAAUUUGCUAGGUUCUGUCCAAUUCUGUUUGACCAUGUUAGAGGCAAAAUUAGGCUUUGGUUAAAACAUGAAGGUUGUAGUAAAUAGUGUUAACUAGCUUCCUAAAAAAUUUCAGCUCAAUCCAAGUACUGUAGCAUAUGAAAUGACCGAAAUACCCUUGACUGUCCAUGAGCCCUGUUUCGCGGACAGAUUUCUGUUUUCGUGGAGUUUUCCAUUUUUGAUCAUGAAAAUGCAUGAUUUGACUUUGGAUGUCUUCAUAAGAAAUGUAGGUUUAUGUUUUGGUUUCGAAACGCCAUAAAAUACACCUCAAUCGGACUUCGGUAACCUGAGUUAUUGUCGUUCAAUCAUAGUAUGGUUAACUAGUCUGACUGUGAGAUUUGGUUCUGUAAUUUGGAAAUUUGACCUAGAUACACUACGAACCAGAUUGAGUGUUCUUCAUUAAAGUUGUAGCUCUUUGUAUUAGGUUCGAAAUGGUAUAAAUUGCACCCAAAUCUGAUAAGCGUAGCUUCAGUUGUGACCGAUAUGCUAAGAGACAUUAAACCUGCUGUUUUGCUUUUGUCCUUAAAACUUGAUUUCCAGUUGCAUUCCUAGACUUGCUUUGUAUUUGGAUGAACUUGAGCCUAGUUGAAGGGCUAUUUUAUUGAGAUUUCUUAUGUGUUGGAUUGGAUUGAGUUGAGGAAAAAUAAUGAAGUCAUAAAUGGCUGGAAUAUAGCAAAAUACAGAGGGCAUGCUGCCCAAAAUUUUAGGGCUACGGGAUUCCUUCAAAUUGAGUUGAUCUUAGUCAAAAAGAAAGGAUUUUGGGGUUGUUUGAGCCCUAGGUCUUCAUGUUACCUCUUCAUUUUCAAAAAUCAUGCUUUGUACCCUUGCAUUAGUAAUUAUGUGGCGAGGCAUACGACUAGUAGUUGAGCCUCACUUGUGCAUUCUGUUUACUUGAUUUUGGACGUGAAAACUUCAAUUGUUUUACUUUGGUUAUUUUAGGGUUUCUUGGCGAGUAAAGCCACUUUGGCGUGAAAACUUUUGAAGUAUCUGUACUUGAACCAGUGAGUGUAUCACUCCCCUGAAUUAUUGCUAAACUGGUUAUCUGUACUUGCAAAUUGCUAUUUGAAUGCCUUUCCUGACUGUUUAUUUUGUACGAAACAAGUGUGUACGUUAUCACACUCGCUCUCUGGCUUGUGUCACUUGUUUCCUGUAUAUACUUGAAUCUGUUACCUGCGCCUGUUAUAAUGUCGUUUGGAAGUGCAUCCAACGACCUUCCAGUUAAAUCUGAGCUCAACCUCAUGGGGAGUUGAUUGAAUCGAGCCAGCAAGGGCUUGGUCGAGGAAAUUGACAAGCCAUGAGUGCCUGUUCCUGGGGAAUCUAUGGGUAUUGGAGAUUCUGGAUUUUUAGUAUACUCGAGUAUUACCAUCCCUGUUCCUGUUUGGCGUUCGGGCCCGGUAAGGUGUAUGUUUGGUAUACGGGAUUUUGGCGUUAAAAGUGGUGUUCUACUGGACUGGUUCCUUUAUUUGAACGUUGACGGAGGGUUAACGAGACUGGAUCAAGUGUUGCAUCGGGGAUUUGGCUCCUGAGAGCCGCCUGUAUCCUUUAUAUUAUGGUGUUCAUUCAUUUCUCGUAUUUGAUAUGAAUAUGUGCCUUAAAAGUGAUUUCUCAUGAGUUCUACUAUUUCUACUGUUUAUACUUUUGGUGUCUCAUUGAGUUUUUAGCUCACCCCGCCCCGUUAUCCUUGUUUUCCUUAUAGGGAACCAUCUUUUGGACCAAUGAUCAUUUGAAGAACGAAUUGAGCUUGUAUAAAUGCCCUUUUGUAUAGCUCAUCGGAAGUUGGAAACUCUAAAUGUAUCUUAAUACAAUGUUUCCUUUUGGUUUGUAAACUUACUACUGUAUAUAUUUUGAAGUGUUUCCUUAUGUUUAUGUGACCUAUAUUUGGGAAUGUACAUUCUCUCAUGUUAAACAAAGUGUACUUGUACUUGGUUGGAUGGUGAUGUGGUAACUCCUCUUUCAUUUCAUUUUGAUUUUCGUGGGAAUGCUGUACCAAAAAUUGAUUGUAUCUUUUACUUUGACUCAUUUGGAGUUCUUUUGAGCAUUUGGAAGGGUUUACGUAUGUUUUGGAUCCGUAGUCCCGGCGAGAGUUGGGCAGGCGGUCUGCCGAACCCUUUGGUUCGCCUUAGGGUGAGGUGGGGCUGUCACACCUUUCAUGACUAGUAGUUUACUAGCAUUAGGAAACAAGAAAGAAGGAAACUUCAGUAGUUGCCUUAUCUCUUUGUUUUCCUUAUUUGGUGGAAAAACCAAUGAGAUGAGGGACUAGUCAUUGUUUAGAUUAGGGAGAUUCUUCUCUUAUUCAUUUUCGUCCCGAGGCCGCAAGACAGGAGAUAAUUCCUUCUUUGUGCCUUUACUCUUCUUGCGUGAAACAUUUUAGAGUUUUAAGAACAAAAUUUGAUAUUCAUGAAUUCUACUAAUUCACGUGGAAAUUUCUCUAUGAGACGUGGCUAAGUUCCUCAUUUAGUCGAAGGUCAACUUGAAAACUCGGUUCCAAACAUCUGUGAGAUCGAAUUAUUUUACUUAUUUCUUUUAUUCAUUAGUAUUUAUAAGUUUUCUAGUUUAACUUUUUAUAAUUAUUUUGUUAUUUGAAUGUCAAGGGCCCAAUAUUCAAAUUAACCUAAUAACCUAUUGCCAGAUUAAUUGAUUGAAUCUGUAAUUGUUCAAUUGAUUAAUACCAGUGGUGACUAGCGUGAUUGGUUCCAUGUUAGGAAAAUGAAUGAUCUAAUUUAAACAAACCCUCGUAGCAUGUUGUUACUUAGGGUUGGGUUUUCUAAUUCUUAAUGCAAUUUAGAAAUUAAAUCUUACAGUCGUACCUAGGGUUAUUUUUUGAUUAGACAAAUAGUUAAUGGCUGUAUCUUGACUAUCAAAAAAGUAAGGAAAGACAGGUUGUUUAUCGCGUGUAUAACAAUUAUAACCAAUCUAUUAAUGAGUAAUUAAAUUAUCUUUGGAUUGAUGAUCAGUUUAAUAAACCGUAUCUGAAAAGUUGCACCUUUGGCCAGAGUCAUAUUGGUUAUUGCUUAAUUCUUGUUUAUUUCUAUUAGUUAGCUAGUUAGUAAUUUUAUAUUUUCCAAAAAUCCCCCAUACUUAUCCCCAGUCCCUGUGGAUUCGACCCUACUCACCGCUAUGUACUAAAUUUGUAUUUUUCUUGAGUAGGUAAUUAUUAUUGCACAGGCUUGACACUUGUCAUCUUUUCUCCUUAAAGUUGUCUAGUGAGAGUUUUCUUCUCUUCUAAAUUUUUUAGUGGAAUUUUAAUCUCUCCUAAGGAUUCCUAGUAAGAAUUUUUUAUAAUUUUUUCAUUUUUCUUUUAUUACAUUUGAGUUUUUCAGAUUUUGAUUACUAGAUCUGAAAUUUCUUAGAUGUGUUCGGUAGAUCUCUGUGAGGACCGUAAAUUGCCCUAAUUUUAUAUUAUUUAUUUUAUUUCCUCGCCUGCAUAUCUCUUCAUUAUACCCCACUAUUUCGAUUUUUCCAGAGCUUUUAUAAGUGAGAAGAGUUUUAAAAUCAUUUUCCUAGUGUAAGUUAGUUAAUGAGAAAUUAGGAGUUGUAAGGCCCAAAGACAACCUAAGAGGGGGGUGAAUUAGGUUGAUUAAAAUCUUAAUCAAAUUUAUGCACUUUUUUUUUAAUAAAAAUUUACCUUCUUUUCUAGUAAUGAUCAACCAAGUAGAUUAGAAGACGAGAGCAAUAUUGAUCAGAAAAACAAGUAUAGAUAUGCAAUGAGAAUUUUAUUAAACAAAAAGUAAGAUAGAAUAUCAAACCGAUUGUCUACCAAGCUUUCCUCAAACUUGAAGACCAAUGACAAGGUUGAGCAACUUCUCUUUGAUGAAAGAUGAUCAACUAGAUGUACAAUGGAGGGAGCACUUCCUCCUUGCCCUAAGCCUCACUUAGUCAAGCUAAGAAGUUUUACAAUCACUCAGAUAACCCUCAACAAAGCUACACUAAUGAACCUUUCAACCACAAGAGAAAAGCUCACAAGAAAUUCACACCACUUAGAGAACAAAUCUAGCUUUGGAGACUAUUUUCUAGCUAAAAUAUCUCUUGAGAUCUUGUAAACAAAGUGUGCAAAAGUCCUUCCUUGGUUCAGAACAGUUUGUUUUUAAAGGGGACCAAAAAUGGGCUUCAUUAAUGCUUCCAACGGAUAGAAGGCAGAUGAAGAGUCAGCUAGCCGUUGGGGCUUUCGGACGUCCGAUGACCAAAUCAUCGUCCGAACCAAUCGUCCGAAAACAGCCAAGUUGAAGUUCGGACGUCCGAUGAGUUUUUAUCGUCCGACAGCACAGCGUCCGAUCGUUGGCAGAGAGUUGGCAAGUCAUCUUGGAAUUUUUCGGACGUCCAAUGCAGUUGAUAUGCGUCCGAGGUGUGUGUCUGAUCCUUCCGGACGUCCGAUGCUUCCUUAUGAGCGUCCGGCAAAGCUUCCUUCUUGAUGUUCUUUAUUCUUUCGGACAUCCGACAGAUUCCUUUCGGCCGUCCGACAUGAGUGUCCUGUUUUUGCUUCUUCUUUUGAUUGAUUUGCAUUUCAUGACAUAUUCGUACCUGAUUCUUUGAUAGGCAAAAACACUUAUAUUUGAAGAAAGUUAGAUAAACAUUUCAAAGUGCUGUGUGAUCAUCAAAACCAAGAAUAACAAAAUUGUCACACUUAAAAGACAGUAUCUUUGAUCGGAACAAAACAAUGACUAAAUUCGUUUAUAUUAUUCCAAUCUUGUUUGCCACAUCCAAAGCAUCGUAGUCUGGAGUCAAUUGAACAUAUGCUUUCUUUGUUCCAUCAGGCCUGAUCAAAGUGUUCACUUUCUUGGUAUGUAUUUCUUAUAUAAACAUUUCAAAUUACUUUGUGAUCAUCAAAACCAAGAAUAACAGGAGUGAAUAUUGGACGUGGGACCCGCUAGUGCGGAAAGUUCGGUAAAAUUCGGCCAAUUAGGUUAAGUUUUGUAUACUUGGAUUAAUUUACUAGGUGAUAAGAGGUAAUUAAAAGUUACCUAUAUGGAUUAGUAUUGGAGAGACGAAAUGAUAAGUGCUAAAUUUAAUAGGUGCCACGUGUCACUUUUUCAUUCGAGCUUGGACUUUGACCAUUAUUUCGUACCUUUACUAAUACUCAAUUUUGACCCAAACAUCAUAUUGUUUCUACUCCUCUUGGCCGACUCCCUCACUAGAAGAAAAGAAAAGAAAGCUCUCAACUAGUUUCCUCAAUUUCUUGCUUGAAUCUCACAAACCAACCGUUUAAAUUUCAAAAUUCUCCACAAAAGUGAGUUGCUAAACUAGUUUAAAGUAUUGUGUGGAGCCAUUUGUGAAGAACAAGCUCUAGUUGUCUUGUUUCUUGGAGUUACAAAGGUAAGUUGUCAAGGAAAUUCUCUUUUGUCCUUAAUAAUGUGGAAUUGGAGGUUUAUAAAGGUUGAAUAUGUUAGUUUGUGGAUUAUUUCAUGACUUAUGGUUGAGAUAUGCAAAUUUUCCUAUUUAUUGAGGAUUUUCUAUUUUAAUAUAUAAAUUAUUGUUUAGUCAUGGAUCAAUGGUUUGUUAUGGUGUAAGAUGGAGUGGGUAUGUGUUGGAAAUGAUUGGUUGUGAAAAAUUGUGGGUUUGAAGCUAAAAUUCCAGAUUAGGGUUCCAAACAGGCCUGUUCUGUCUGGAUUUUUUUGAGCAUGCUAGAGACCGAAUUAGCCUUAGGUUAAAACAUAAAAGUUAUAGAGAAUAAUGUUUUAUAGUUUCCUGUAAAUUUUCAUCCCAAUCUGAGCUUGGUAGCUUGUGAAAAAUUGGAAAUACCCAGACUGGCCUAGGUAGGAGUUCAGCGAACAGGGUUGUCAUUUCACCAAAUCUGACCGUGACUUUUCACCCUGAUCCUUAACGAAUUAGAUUUUGGCCAAAACAUGAAAAUUGUAGCCAAUGGUACAAAUUAGUUUCCUGCAAAAUUUCAGCUCGAUCCUAGCACUGUAGCUUGUGAACUGACCGAAAUACCCUUGACUGUCCUUGAACCCUAUUUCGCGCCCAGAUUUCUAUUUUCGUGGAGUUUUCAAUUUGUGACUAUGAAAAUGCAUGAUUUGGCCUUGAAGGUCUUCAUAAGGAAUGUAGGUAUAUGUCUUAGCUUUCCAACGCCCCUGGAAUCACCUCGUUUUGAUUUCGGUAGCCUGAGUUAUUGUCAUUUACGCAUAAGGCGGUUAGCCAGCCCGAAUGUGAGAUUCUAGUUCUGUGAAUGGCAAUUUUGACUUAGAUACACUACAAACUGGACUGAGUGUUCUUCAUCAAAGUUUUAGCUCCUUGUCUUAGUUUCGAAACGGUAUAAAUUGCACCCCAAUCCGAUAAGCGUAGCUUCAGUCGUGUCUGUUCCGUUAAGAGACACCAAACCUGCUAUUUAACUUUUGUCUUUAAAAACUUGAUUUCUAGUUGCAUUCCAGGGCUUGCUUUGUGUUUGGAUGAACUUGAGCCUAGUUGAAGGGCUAUUGUAUUGAGAUUUCUUAUGUGUUGAAUUGGACUGACUUGAGGAAAGACAAUGAAGCUAUGAUGGCUGGAAAAGUAAGCAAAUUUAGGGGGAAUGCUGUCCAAUUUUCUAGGCCGUUUGGUUCCUUUAAGUUUGAGUUGAUCUUAGUAAAAAUGAAGGGAUUUGAGGGUUGUUUGUAACCCUAGGACCAACUGUUACCUUUUGCUCAAUAGUCAUAUUUUAUUCUUCUGUACUAGUACUUAACCUGGAAAGACGUACGACAUGUAAUCGAGCCUCACUUGUACAUUCCGUUCACUCGAUUUUGGAUGUGAAACUUUCAAUUGUUUGACUUUGAUGAUUUUAGGGUUUCUUGGCGAUUAAAGCCAGUUUGAAGUGAAAACUUUUGAAGUAUCCGUACUUGAACUGGUGAGUGUACCACUCCCCUCAUUUGUUGCUUAACUUGGUUUCUGUACAUGCACUCUGUGAUUUAAUUAACUGUAUUAUCUGUUUAUUCCGUUUGAGACGAGGGUGUACUUUAUCACACUCGUUCUCUUGUCUGUUUGUCUGCCUAUCUAUUGUGUAUAUUUGAAUCUGAUAUCUAUAUUUGAGUCUGUUUGGACGUCGUUUGGAGGAUUGUAUCCAACGACCUUUCUUUAUAAUGUUGUAUUUUUUUAUUGUUCUUCAUAUCUGUAGUAUCCUUUCUUUAGAUCUAUUAUUUUAUAUUUGUAUAUAUUUGAUAAUAUAAUUUCUACCAUUAGUGUAAAUUUUAAUGAAAAUAUGAUAUUUUAUUAAAAAAAAUCAUCUUUGAUCAAAACACAAACGGAAAUUCUUUGCAGGUCAUUAUUUUUCUCAAUCUCACAAAAAGUAAAAAGAAAGCUUCUCAAGCCUUAGGUUCCGUUUCAUAAAACUGAAUCUGAAACUGAAUUUUGAAGUUUGAAUUCUGAAAUUUGAAUACUGAAACAAUUAAUUUGCUGAAUUUUAAACAUUGAAAAAAUAUAUGAAUGUCUGAAUUUUAAUACUAAACCUAUUUCUACUAUUUGAUAAAUAUUUAUAGUUGGAUGCUUAAUAAGUUUAAUUUGACAAUUUUGCCAUUAUAUCCUUUCAUUCAAAAAAGAAAUAGAAUCUAUAAUUUAAUUAGUUUAAAAUUGUUAGGUAUGAAAAUGAUAAUAUUAUUUUUAAAUCAAAUUAAUAUAAAAGAUGAAAUAUAUUAUAUGAGGAGUAUGGAGAAGAAGUGAAAGUCAUUAAAAAGGGAGAAAAGAAAAACUAAAAAUCGGUAGAUAGAUAAUAUUAUGUUGUUUAAUUAGAUAAGAAUUUUGAAUAUAAUUAACAAACAAGGGUAAAUUUGGUAGAUGAGAUAAGGCAGUUAAAGUAAUUCUAUUGAUUCUUAUCAGAAUUAAGCAUUCAGUUAGGAUUCUUGUGCUGAAAAAAAUACACACAGGUUCAGCACUGCUUAACAAGUUCAGGAAAUAGAUUUUCAUUUAUCAAACACUCAAAAUAUCUGAAUGUCUGAAAAAAUUCAGAUUCAACACUUUUUUAUAUUAUCAAACAGACCCUUAGUGGACUUACUAGCAUAUGUACAAUAGGUUAAUGUUUUGAAUUAUUCAUAUUGUUGUUCUAAAUAUAUUUUUCUCUUUUUAUUUGGUUUGGAAGAUAGUGGAUGGAGGGUGGCAGGGUAAUUAAUUUCUCAUUGGCAUUUCAGCUUAUUUUUUUGCUUGACCUUUCGUCAUCAUGUAUUAAGCCAUUUCUGGAUCUUUAUACUUCCCCAAACAAAAAUUUGAAAUGUUAACUUUAAAAAUUAUCACAUUAACAUAUUCUUUUAUUCUAUCUUUCUCAGUAGAUAAUUUUACAGAAAAUCAACUUUGCCUACUAAAAAAUCUCACCUAUCUGAUGCAUUAGCGUUCAAAUUUAGAUAGACGUGAAAACAUUAAAUUAAAUGGUAUCAUUGAAUUGCUUCAAUCAAAACCAUCUGGCAAAGUGCAUCAGUGGCCAUUAAAUUUUCAUGAAUGUCUCUUUUCGGCCAUCCAUUUUUUUUUUUUCAUUCAAGAAAGUUCAGUAACUAGUAAUACAGUUUGGCUAAAAUUUUAGCAUACUAUGUACGUUAGUUCAUGUUAAAAAUAGUUUUUAUCCUAAAACUGCAUGGUUAAAGAAUUACAAGACUAAAGAUAGAACACUUGAUUUAAAUUCCCCGUUUUGUGUGUGUUGUGCAUGGUUGAUCAAAUAUACCUUAGAGGAAGAGGCAGCUUAGGGAACAAAUGAGGUUUUCUUAAAUCUUCUGGUUGAGUGAUCAUGUAUAACAUGUCAGCCCAGUCAAGCUUUUGCUCCUUUGAUUUGACAAAGGCUUGCCCAUAUCCUUCUACAUCUCCUGGUUCUUGACCAUAUUUGUUCUUUUCAACCAUCGGCAGAUUGAAAAAAUCUUGAACUUCUGAUUUCAAUUUCUCCAGCAAUGAAGAGCUAACUCCAUGAUUAAUCAGCUGCUGACAGUUAUUCUCAUAGGUAAUAGUGUCUGGAUGGAACAACACAUAAGCAUAUGUAUACUUUCAACUGAUUUGCCCUCGUAAAAUUCAGGUAAAAGAUGAUUAAGUCAUCAACGGAUUCAUUUUUCAUAGGACUUUGAUUUCAUUUGAAGAUUAUUUCUUUUUUUUUUUUUUGAUACAAAAAAAAGUAGGAUGGUCUCAAACCUUAAAAAAGGUAACCAUAAAGUUUUGGUCUAGUGGCCACCAAGGGGAAUUUAAAGUUCAUUUCUAGGAUGUUGGUUAGGGUUCAAACCUUACACAAAAUCGACGGUUCAAACAUCGAAAUAACAACACUUGAUAAUUUAGUUUUGUAAAAAAGUUGUAUAAUCAAACUAUUUCAAAUAUACAAUAGCUUGUCACACAAAUAUAUGUUUGUCAUACAUUCAAUCCUUGUAUAUAUACCUGGAAAAAACCACCCCACUCCUUGCAAGCAGAAUGCAGCUUCUGAAGCUCCAAAUCAAUUAUCUCCAUAGCAGAACUAAACAAGCAUUGCAUAUCCACAACUGGUAUUUGGUGGAAAGAACCACCGUUAGAGAUGGUUGGAUAUUGGUCUUUGUCAGGGCAUAUGUAACCAGUUGGAACAGAAGAGGGAUUUUCCUUAGCCAACUAUUGGACAAAAGGAACUUUUAGAGAUCCCCCAAGCUUUCUUGUCUUCAGAUCCAUGACUGUGGUUCUUUUCAACUUCAAAGCUCUAAUUUUUGUAUCUAUCCACUGAAUCCCUAGUAUAUAUAUAUAUAUAUUUUUUUUUUUUGCACCAGAUGUUUCAUUAAUCCAACAUUGUUUAUGUGAGAACCUGAAAAUUUUUUUAUUCUUAUCUUAUUUUUCUGGUUUAUUUAAAUAAUUAUUUACCCGUUUUCUCCGAAUAGUUUAUUUCAACCAUUUUAAAUCCAUUUACAUGGAACAAUGUCUCAAUUAUAUUUUUAAAACGUCCUGUUAGUAAAUUUAAAUUUUCUGUGGUUUGUUUAGCAAGAAAUAGCAAAUACACAUUUUUCGAUGUAAUAUUCGAUUCGAGAGUACAAUUAUCUUGAAAAAUUAAGAAUGAUCAAUAGUAGACUAAGAAAAGUUAAUUGAGGGAUUAGAGGUGAGUGAGUUCAAAAAUUUCACCUUAUUGCGUGCGAGUAGAAAGUUCGCGCAUUGCGCGUAGGUACGAUUAAGUGGAGAUUUCAAAAAGUUAUACCAGACUCAUAAGAGUGAGUAAAUACAGUGUUAAAAGAAUUACAGUUGAGGAUUGGUGUACAAGUGAAAGGCAUUACGUACUACUUGGAGAUUAGUUCUAGAUUCGAGAAAGGCAUCAUCUUGUGGAAUUUCUUGGAGGUUUUGUGGUGAAAAAAUUUCUGGUAUUAUCUAGGGUUCAAGAGGUAACCCUUUACCUUCUUCAAUCUUUCUAAUUUCUUCAAGAAUGAAACUUAGUUUGCAUGGGUUUACAACCCUAAACAAGAAAUAAGUUAGAGGACUUGAGAAAUUUCAAUUCUUAUUUUAAUCUGUAAGCUAGCGGUUUUGAGGUGGAUUAUAGGUAGUUGACUUGAGAAUUAAAAUGCUUGAUUGUUGUGUUUAUGUGUUAUACAAGAGAUUUAUGGUUAGAAUCUGGAGAGAAAGUUCGAAGAGGUGUGAGAUGUGAGCUGGCCGAAACUGUCCUGUGGUUAUCAUGCUUGCAUUUUGAAUUUUUGUCGGUUAUUUGACUAUGAAAUGGAUGGAUAUAUGUUGUAUAUUUGUUGUACAAAGUGCCUUGCGAAAAUUAGUUCAUUUGGUUGCACAAAACUAUAGUUUUCGAAAAUGGAAGAAAUCUGGAAUUUAUGAUCAGGAGGUCCGGACAGUAGCUCUUUGUUCGAUCAUAACUUGUUGUAUAAAAGUUAAAAUAGAGUACCAUUUGCGGCAUUUAAAACUAGACAUUUAUAGCUUUCUAACGGUAUAAAAAUCACCUACUAGUUCGAACUGAGUGAACUGUAGUGAUUUAACAAAUUGGCUGUCCUAUUGUGACUCUCUGUCCGAGAGGAAUAGAGAAGCUUUAUAUUCUGGCUUAAUUUUCUAUUACUGGUGAACUGAUUUUGAAAUGAACCUUUCUGAUGAAAUGUUGCUUUUGAACCUAGUUUCCAACGCCAUGAACCAUUCCCAAUUUGAGUUUGUAUUGAGUGAGAUGUGGUCUGAUUUCAAAAGUGCAACAAAGCAUGAAACUGGUUUUGGGAUGUUUUGCUCGAAAAUUUUUGUGUCAAUUGCUUAUAAAAUGUUUCUGGAACCUUGGUUUCAAAAAUGGAGUGAUUUGGGAUUGAUUUCAUUGGACAAAAACCUUUGGAAAGAAAGAAAGAGUGAGUUGGCAGAUUUGCUUUGACAAUUUCAUAAACUUUAGUUGUUUUGUUAACUGUCUUCUCGUUUGAGUUUUUGCCUAUAAUUUGAUAGGGAGGAAGUCCACAUAUGGAAGUUUAAGUGUAACAAAUUUAGUAUAAAUUCAAUACCAUUUCAAUAUCCAAAUGAUGCCUCAAACAUUGCUCUUCAAAUUUGGAAAUUCACUGUUCGAGUAGUGAAAAUUAACCGAUUUUAGGCUAUUAUAUCUUGAUGAUCGAAACUCCGAAUUUAUUUCUGUUUGUUGGAUUUGAAAUCUUAUUUGAAACUCUUAUUGUGUUAUGAAUUUCAAAGACUGAUUCAUUUUCUAUGAAUUUUGGCGAAUUUCCAAAAAUGGCUGAAAAACCAAGACUGGUUCAAACUUGUCCUCUUGGAGCUGAAACUUUGAGUUGAAAAAUGAGUGCUUUUCGUUUAGAAUUUUGGAAAAGUAUCUUCUAGGAACUUUAAGUACUUUGGAUCUAGUUUCCAACGGAAUAAAGUUUUUCCACAUUUGGAUGUACCGAACUCAAGAUCUGAUUUUACCAAGUUUAUCACAUAAAACUGAAAAUUCAUGAUUUCUUGGAAAAUGAGCUUUUGAGAACUUUUCGUUGUCUUUUGAUAUCGAUCAUCCGUUUUAAACUCAUCUUCAUGGAGGAUGCAAGUUUCUCUUGUGAAUUUAAAUCCUCACUUUUGAAUCUCGAUUUUUGAGAUAUUAAAGUUCUUUUACAACAUUAUCUUAGUAUUGCGCACGUAUGCAUUCUUUCUUGUUUGGCAAGGGAUUUGUAAGUAUUUGUGAGUGAUAGAUAAUUGUCAUUUUUUCAGGCGCUCAAGAGGAUCUUGAAGAGAAUCUCGAAGCGACCACAAAAGACUUAUUUGCUCACUUACUCACUUUUUGACUUGGUGAGUGUCAAGUGUAUGGAGUGUUGCUACAUGCUUAAAUGUUCUCAUUAAUUGAGUAUUGUGAAAGUGCGGAGUCGAGUAUGUACUUUACCGCACACGUUCUCUUUUAAAUCAAUUAUAUAUUGAAUUAUAUGAAGUGAAUUUGCUAAGUGAAUAAAGUGAAGUGUUGCAAUAGUGAAUCAUACUAUGUUUGAAUCAAUGUCGAUUGGAGUGAAUCUCAUCGACUUAUAUUGAUAAUAGUGGGGGACGCCCAAACUCAUCGGCCGAUUUUACGAUUCGAGCCGGCAUGGUCUUGGUCAUGAAUUUUAGUGAGCCAUGAGAAAAAAAUUGUAUAAAUUUGAUCUAUUUGAGAUAUCUCAUUUGGCAUACUCGAGUAGUAUUGCCUUAUAUAAUAGAAGUGCAGGCCCGAAGCAGGGGGUGUGACAGUGAUCGGAAGUGCAAAGUAAAUGGGAUUCUACGGACCUAUAAUCUACCCGGUUGACGGAGUUAUUAGCUCGUGGAAAUAUUGGAUCGAGCAUUGGCAGAGCAAGUGGAAUAUAACUCUUGAGAGAUUCCGUAUCCUUAUCAAGUAUGUUUUAUUGUUAGUUGUGAACUACUUAAAUGUUAUAGCUAUAAUUCUCAUAUAAGUGCUAUCGUUAUUUGAACUAUGUGUUUUGCCUGUUUUUCUUGGCUUCACUGAGCAUUAGCCCGUCUCAUUAUAUUUGUUUUCCUUAACAGGAGCCGAAAUAGAAAGAAUUAUGGAGAAUUCGACUUGAUACACUUUUGAUUAGGGUUUUGAAUGUAAUUGAUUAGAUGACUUUUGAAAGUUGUGUAUUUGGGGAAAGUGAUGUACUUGGUAUCUUGUAAUGUAGGAAUUGAAUACUUAUUAAGGAAGCGACCUUUUCUUUGUCAUUUUGACUAUUAUUGUUGAUUGUUAUCCAUAAGUUUGAGUUCGUCUUGUAGUGAGUCCUAGCAAGAGUUAGGCAGGCGUCCUGCCGAUACCCUUAGGUUCACCCUUGGGAGAAGUGGGGGCAUCACAGUUGGUUUCAGAGUUUAGGUUUUAAGAUUUUUGUAGUGUAUCUUUGGCCAAUUGUUUAGGAUAUCGGACUGUGGGAUUUAAUUGUGUGUUAAGUGCAAUGUGUUUUUGGUGCUUGAUGUUUUAACGAGUACUAUUGAAGUGUUUGUGUUUAAUUAGAAGGAUGUUGAAUACUAAUGUUUUAUUUUUGUUGGAGUUAAAUCCUUAUACGUUUAUAAUUUAAUGUCUUGGGACUUAAUUAUCCAUCUUAACGAGGGGCGGUUACUAAAAAAAGAAUUUUCUCUCUCGGGUUUCCUGUUUUAGAAAUUUAGGGUUCUCUGGUUCCUCGUGCAUGGCAGCCGCGGCUGCCCCCUCAUCUCAGGGUGGGGGUCUGUCUUCUUCCCCAACGUUUAAGAAGAAGGCGUUUUCUGCUUUGUUCCAAGAUCGGUCGCCAUCGGAGGUGGUGAAGGUCCAGGCGGCUGUCUCUACCCAUCGUGGAGAGCCUGCGGUGGUCUUCAAUGCGGCAGAUAUUGCUGCUAUGGCGUCGCCGUUCCGUUUCACGUUGGUUGGGAAGUUUUCCAGGGGCCGUCCCCUUUUGCCUGAAUUGCGUAAGUUUUUCUCUACGCUUGAUCUAAAGGACUCAGUGUCUGUUGGUUUAUUAGACGCUAGACAUGUUUUGCUGCGAUUUAAUGGAGAGGCAGAUUUUCUUCGUGUAUGGGCAAGAAAUGUGUGGUAUGUUCAUGGGUGUCCUAUGCGGGUUUUCAAGUGGAGUUCGAAGUUUCAUGUUGAUAGGGAAUCGUCCCUAGUUCCUGUUUGGUUCAGAUUACCCAAGCUUCCUAUCCAUUUGUUUGCCAAGCCUUGUUUGUUUCACAUUGUCUCCUGCCUGGGGAACCCGUUGUUUGUUGAUGCGGCAACAUCGUCUUUUAUCCGUCCGAAUGUGGCGCGGGUGUGUGUGGAGGUGGAUCUGCUGAAGUCGCUUCCCUCUAGAGUUUGGGUAGACAUGGGGGAUAGAGAUGGAUUCUGGCAACCAUUGAUCCCUGAGAGCCUUCCAAAGUAUUGUGGUUUUUGCUAUCGUCAUGGGCAUGAGGAGGGCCUCUGCCAUGUGAAGUUCCCAGAGAUGCGAAUGUCGAAGGGGCCGACUCAGAAGGUCCAUGUUAGUGCUGUAGAAUUGGAUGAGGGGGGGAAGUUGAUUGCAUCUUCGAAGCCUCUGGCGGGUGCAGGGGAGUCUCUAGAUGCGGCUGAUGGCAGUGGGGCUGCUGUGUUGCCUGGGGUGGAGGAGCCCUCUGUGGUGUUGGAGGGAGCAGUUUCAGGGAUGGGCUCUGAUGUUCCGUUAUUCCCUGCAUCUGAAGGUGCGGAGCAGAUCACUUUGGCUCAAUCCCAACAACCUGGGCUUGCAGGUGCGGUUGCGACGCGGGCAUUAGAACGAACCAAGUUGUGCUCGGAUGCUCCGCUGUUGCCUGCGACUGAAGGUGCGAGUGCAAAGCAGAUCAUUUCUGCACAGCCUCCACAGCUUGGGCUUGAACGUACGGUUGUGACAAGGGGUGAGUUAGAAUCGGGUUUGGGGUCAGCUGCUGCACCAGUUUUGACAAUAGAUUUGGGAGUCCUGCCUGCCACUCCACCGUCGUCCCAGGUUCGGGUGGCGGAGCUGGUGGAGGAGGCCAUUGUUUCCGCUGCUGACAACCUUAUUCACAGGUUGGCUGAUCAAGUAAUCGAUAACUCUGAUGAGUCGUCUAUAGGGGCUGACCUGGAAUUGGGGGAGCUUCGGGGAGGUGAUCUUGAGCUGGCGGGUUCAGUGGAGCAGGUCAGGGUGGAGGUGAGGGAGCAGCAGGGGGCUAUGGUCCACCUCACCACCUUAGCUACUAACACCCUUCUGGCCAAUGAAAAACCCUCUAGGAACCCAUCCCACUGGCAAGGCAAACGCGCGAUCCCUGGAAAGUGGAUUUGAGCUAAACUUUGCAAUUCGGAACAGAUAGACACCCGAACCUGCACCCCAGAAACCUUGCACCCCUCAAACUUGGAUGCAUUCCUAGCACGCCAUAAGAACCAUAGAAUAAGGACCGGAAGAAUCCGGGACACCCAGCGGAGCGCCCUCCCUUUAACAGGAAACAUCCACCAAUCAGAACAUCGAGACCUAACAGUCACACCUCGUGCAGACACUCCUAAGGAGCGCUCAAAGAACCUCCAAGUCUCACCCGCCAAGAGACCAGUAGAGAACACAUGCUGCAACGUUUCACCUUGGGCCGGCAAGCAACAUUGACACUUAGAUGGACCAUGAAUCUGGAAUUUCUGCAGCACAUCAUCCACUGGCAGAUGGCCAUAUAGUAAACGCCACAUGAAGAAGGAAAAUAAUUUAAUGUCUUGCGGACUUUACUCUAAAGGUGAUUCCAUCUCUUUAAGUUGUUCUAGAGUUGAAGACUUGAAGCAACCUUGAUUUCAAAAGUUUCUUGAUAUUGGGGCACUAUUUUGUUCACAUAACACUAUAAGACUUUAAUGUUCGAGUUGUGUUGGAGGUGAGUCAAGAUUAUGAAUUUUAAAUGGCCUUCUGAUGAGUUUAAGGAUUGGACACCUUGCUUCAUCCACUAUUUUGCUUGUCGAAUUUCGGCAGAAAAUUUUAAUCAUUUGAAAAAUUUUGGAAUUCACUUUGAGUUUGAAAAUGAGACAUCUUUUGCAUUCCCUUUUGAUUUGACUUAUUAUCUUAGCCUGUAUAGGAACUUUCAUCUUGAAUUUAGUGAGGAAAGUUUGCAUUCAUUGGAAGUUUUAGGCUAAGAACUUAGAAAGUAGUUUAGGAUUUUGAAUGAAAUUUGGAAUUUAUAAUUAUUCGAAUGAUAUGGCCUAGUAUCGUGGAUUCUUUUAGUUUUGUCCCGAACUAGAAUUAUGAUUUUCCUUUUUUCGAUCUUGCCAAGGAUAGUAGGAGUGGUGCAUGCCGUGGUGCCUUUUGUAUUUUGCCUGCAUGUACUCCUAUAUUUUGAAACACUUAGUUGCCUAUAUCCUGUAUUUGAUAUAUUUGGCUUGUUUUGUGAUUUCCCGACUCGUACUAUGACUUUUGGUAUAUGUAAAGAAUCAUGCUUUUAUUCUAAAUAUUUUUACAACUUGUAUAUGCAUUAAGUUCUUAUAUGCCUAAUUAUUCAUUUUCUUACGCUUAUAGACUUGUACUAAGUAUAGAUCGGUGAGGACGAGAAAAGGGCCAUGAGCAUGGGUUUAGGCAACCCUGCACUUCUGAGAAAGAUGAGGAAUCACAGAAAGAAAGAUUGAUGGAUAGUCUUAUGUAAUUCAAUGUGAUCCUAGUGUUGGAUAUGAAUCGAAAAUGAAUGAGAAGAUUAGACCUACCAGUAUUAUAAUGGAUUGACCUAGUUGGGUACCUAAUGAGGUUCUCCCCUGUGAAGUUUUGAUAAUUGUUCUACACAUAUCUUGUGAUUGGUUCUGUGGACAUGUUUUAAACUUUUAUGAACGUUUGAACUCCCAAAGUAUUGCAUUGGUUAUUCAUGAGGUGAUUUGAACUCAAUUCCUAUUUGUUUUAACUGAAUAAAAGUAUUUUCAGACUCUGCUUGACUAUUACUAUAUAUAUAUCCACUUACCUGUUGUUCUUUUUCCACAAAUAUUUAUAUAUAUGUACAUACAUUUUGAACCCGUAUGAGAAUCGAAAAUCAGGCAGAGAUUAGGUUCGGAUAUUAUCUAAGGUGUAAGAAUGAAAAUUUAUUGUGAAUUAGAGAGUAAAGAUGAUCGAUGUGGCGACCCCACUUUCCCCUAAGGCGAACCAGAGGGUUGGCGGGCCGUCUGCCUAACUCUCGCCAGGACUCACGCAAGCAAGCUAGCAAAAAAAAUCCUUCCGAAGUAUAACCUAAUCUAUUACAACAUCGUUUCCCUCCAAAUAAGCCGGUUUCUAGAAUCACAUUAACUUCAGAGAUAACAGUGCCUUAAGAUAGCCAACGUCAAUUCUUAAAAUACCUUCCCGAAUACAACCCAAGAAACAAAACAUCAAUUCAAAUACAUCCUUACAAGCCAAGUAACAAAUUCAUACAAGCCAUAUACAAAUCCAGGGUUUACACCUUUCCAGCUUCAAGUGGCAACCUAAGGCAAAACUACAAUGUUUAACUCGAAUUACAUUCAUGAAAGUAAACAAUCUAGUACUACUUCCGAGCACCUUUGGUCUCAAAUCCUGUAAAAGAAAAUCACAACGUGGAAUGAGCUACACAGCCCAGUGAGGUUCCAAGACACUCUAACAGUUCAAACAAAUCAAGAAAGUUGUGCAUGUCAUAUGCAUGGUGCGAGGUUACACAAUGGCAGGUUAUCAUAAGGUGAUAAUCAUUACUCGGAUAAUUGCUACUUUGAAAACACAUGUAGUAGUAGUACUUUUGCUGGUAACUUUACUAUGAGUACAACUCAUAAAUUAUCUAAAAUCACUAACGUAUUUUUGAAAUGAAUGACCAUAUAAAUAUAUUUUCAUGAAUUUUUAGUCAAACAAAUAAUGGCUCGUCUGACUAGAAGAACAUUACAAGGAUUGCUUCAUCUCAGAGAUUAAUGCUCAUGAGGAGUCUUACCCGAGAAGUGUCAACUAGGAGAGCAAUAACAUUAUUAAUAGCAAAGCAAGCACAAAAGGAUACAGUACUCGGUCCACUUCCCGUCCUUAUAACUCCGAUCGGUAACUCCUUCGAUUGACUGGCCAUCACCUUAUCCCUCCAGUGGUAGUACUUGAGUAUAUCGAAACGGUUGUCCAGGGUUCCAACCUACCCGACCGAGCCCAGUCCUGGCUCGAGUAGGUCAGUAACCGAGGCAGGGCCCAAGUUCAGCUUAUAGCUUACAACAUGCACAGGUAACCAAGUAAUUCGACAAAAAGUAAAAUCCAUCAUUUGAAUAGGUCGAGUGAGGUAAAGUACACACUCGCCUAACAAUGAUGGACAACUUCAUAUAACAUGUGAUUCAUGAUAAUCAAGUAAUCAAGUGGAUACUUAGCACGUAAGCACGUAAGCAAUACAAGUUGAUUUCAUGGGAGCGCAUGUAAUUCACGGAUAUCGAAUAAUCAUAUAGAUUAGAAAUCAUGUGAGCAAAUAGUCAGGUAAUCAAGUAGUCAUGUGGGUUGGUAAACGGUUCACGGUUAACUGUUAACGGUUGACGGUUGAGUAAUGACGGUUAUUUGGCAGGCAUUUGCCAUAUUAAUAGGCCAUCAUUGGCCGUUAUCCCAUUUUUACCAUGUGAGAGUCGAGGAGAUUCACUCCAACGACGUAUGCAACCAUAGCAUACCAAGUCAUGUUAUUCGAGCAUUUUCAAGCAUGGUAUGGUAAAUAUUUAACACAUAGUACUUAACACUUAGAAAUCAUGAAAUGAGCAUGUCCUAGACUUAUUCCAUUACGUAUUCCUAUAUGGAACACUCACCUAGUCAAACAAGCGCAAUAGGUCUCAAACAAGCGUUUUAGGCGUCCGCUCCGAGUUCCUCUUGGAGAUCUCCUCGAUUGCCUGAGCAAACAAUAAUGCAAGUACCACUCAAUAUCGCUACGAAUUCUCUAGUUUUCGAUGAAGAUUGUACGCUAGUGCAAUCUAAGAAAUUAAUGCGGAGACGAGCCUAAGAAUUCGUGUAACUCGAGGUUCAAAAGUGGGGUUUUAAAACACAAGACAAAUCUGAUUUCCAUCUCUGGAUUCAAAUGUAAAACAACCAAAUGAUAUUGAAAGAAAUGAAGAGUUCGAAACCCCUUAGUUUCCUUUAAGUUAGAAAAUUCCAGAUUUAACAAGUAAUCUUUGAAAAAUCAUAUCUUACUCUCUACAACCCCAAAAUUGGAAAACUUGGUACUAUUGGAAACCUCUUUGAAAGUACUAAAAGUUCCUAGAAUACACUUUUCCAUGAUUCUAAAUGGAAGAUAGUCAAAAAAGGCAGAUUUAAGUUGGUUUUUGGCCAACUUUGAAAAUUCGGGAAAAUUCACUUGAUUAGAACUAGCCUUUUAAAUUUGAUACUCUUUUAGAGUCGUAAACCAAGUUUACAGUAAAACAAGCAGAAUGAGAAACGGAGUUUUGAGCACCAAGGUACGGUAGCUCAAAGUUACUAAAAGUUUCUUGUUAAACAAGGGUUUUCCAAAAUCAGGUCUCGAACUUUGGUAAUUUAUUUGACCCAUGAUACGGCUCAGAAUAACACCAUAAUUAGCAGUAUAAUACUACCAUAUAAGGGUUAUUCCUCUGUCAAAUUUCAUAGAAAAAUAUGCACGGAAAGUCACUUAACAAAAUCACUCAAGUUUCCAAAAUUUUAAGGCAAGGUUGCCUUGUGUAUGAAAAUUUCCUUUUCUAAACUUUUGACCAAGAGAAAAUCCUCUAAACAUGGUUCAUUUGUUGAGGCAAAAUCUAAAGAACAUUCAUGGUACCUUUGGUGGGUGUUUAACACCAAGAAAUUAAUUAUCAAGUCUAAACCAAGCCUUGCAUCAAAUCUGUCUAAAAAUCAGGGUUUUCAAGAGCAGGUUUCAUAUUUUGAUCACAGUCACUCAAAUUAACUCGGAAUUUGGCAUGGUUUAUGGCAUUGGAAAACAUAGUCAUAGAGCUAUAAUUUCACAGAAGAAAUCAUUUUGAAAUUCGGCACACAACUAGAUCGAAUUCGAGCCACAAGUUGUAGCCUCAGCAUUUUGUUCUUGUAAAACAGAGAAACAGAGUAGUCAUCUUUAAAUGGUUGGUUCGGCUCACACACAUGGAACCAGAACAUACAUUUUAUACCGUUGGAAAGGCUGGGAUAUCUAGUUUCAAAUGCCGCUGACGGCACUCGAUUUUGACAUUGGAGCACAGAGUUAUGGCCGAAAUACAAAAGCGGGUCAGAGUAUUACGAAAACAGUUUUCCAGAUUUACUGGCUUCACGAAAUUGAUCCCAUUGAUCAACCAAACCUCAAUAUUUUUCAAUGAAACUUUGUACACCAUAUAUUCAACAUAUAAACAUGAUAUAUAAGUCAUGAAACCCUCAAAAUUCUGCAAAAAGCGGCACGAUUGAAACAGGACCAACCUGAACAUUUUUGAACUACACAUCCCUUGAAGUCGAGACUAGCUAGGUAUCAUUAAUCUACCCAUUUAAGCACUAAACUAGCAUUAUAUCCCUCAUCAAUCAUUAAUCCAAGGGUGGGAGUUCAUAGAGCCCACCAUCAAAAUUUUCCGACAUGAAAUAAAACAAAUAACAUGUAAUUUUGGCAAAUAAUCCCACCACAAUAAAUCUGUCAUCGGCUAAACAGAAUUUCCAGCAGCUAAUUGGUCAUAAAUCCAACUUUUUACUCGGCUAAUACAUGAUAUUAAGUACUCAAAUCCGACAAGCAAAUACUUGACUAGCUAAUCAGAUCAUCCAAGUCAUUGUGGGAAUUCAUAGAGCCCACUCACCAAGUUUCCAUUAAAACUCAAAAGAGCCACCAUCGGCUAAGCUGGAAAAAAAAAAUUGCAGCAGCUAUGUUUCAACAUUUUUUGGUCAAUUUAUCCAACGGAUCAAGUACUUUACAACUGAAUAUCUUACAAGACUUAAGACACAUAUAUUUCAUGCAUUUCUAAACAUUGUUUGCUAAUGAAAAAAAUUCCAGAAACAACUGCAAAUUCUGGUUUCACUCCCUUGGCAAGUCACGUAAAUUUUCCAGCAUUUACUCAGUCAUAAACAAAAUUUUCCUUCGGUUAAAACCUUGUAUUUGGCACUUAAAUCUCACAUGCACAACUACUGAACUAAUUAGCUAGCAUUUCCAGUCCAGAUUCAGCUCGGUUGUUACCAAAAGUUCAUCAAUCAACCAGCAAGUUGUUCGGCCACUCUCGGAUGAGCUUGCAGGCAAGCCGAUUCUGUUUCAUCUCUUCUUUUCUAGCUUAAUCCGAACUAACUAACUUCAUGCAAGACUUAAUCACCUAGUUCUUAGUUAGUUAACAACAUUUAAAAGCUCAGAUUACUCCAAAGAAACAAGAUUAAAGCUGCAUUUCUGUUUCAGCUUCUCGGCAAAACUAUUUUCAUCAAAAAUCAGAUUUUCCUUUUCUUUGAUUUCCUCAUCCGGACAAUCCAACCUCACAUGCAAGUCCAUAUACAGCUUAAUCUACCUAUAAUCUCUUGGUUUCAGUCUAGAGAUUACCUCUACUGGAAGCUUACUCACGCGGCAGAAGCUGAAGUUGUCUUACUCUCCUCACGGCUAACUCACGCACGCGAUGGAUGAUUGGCUGCUGUCUUGGUUGCCAGUGGUUGCAGGUGUGGUGGUGUUGCGGUUGGAGAUGGAUUGCAGCUGGUUGAAGUGGAGGUGGAGAGUGCAGCAGCAGCUCACGCACUGUCUCUUCCCUCAAGCUCAUGGACAGAACAGAAGACUCGCAGCUCGCACGCUUCCUUUCUUUUCUCUCGGAUUGCAGAGUGCGGCUCAGUCUCUCCCUCUCUAUCUCAGUCGAUGUUAACGAGGUGAAGGUGGAGUGUGGUCUGAGGUGAAUUGUUGCAGAAGAGGUGGAAUGGAGUUGCGGUAGUGGUUUGUGGUAUAGAAAUGAAGAGGGAGAAAGGUGGUGCCGCGGUUUUGAGAAGGGGUUGAGUGUAGGAGUGGUAAAAGUUUUGCAUUGGCCGGUUAGGGUGGUGGAGUUAAAUGUUGUCCAGAAAUUUUGAUGGUUUUGCAUGGUAAUUUGUGAGGUAGUGGAGGGUAUUUUGGACUUUUCACUUUUCCUUCUAAUGACCACUUAAGCCCUUGAUUCGAGCAUAAUCUCACGAAUUAUCCCCAUGCGUGAUUUAAACUCCUAAUAGUGUACUAAUCUCGCGAGAGUUUCGAUUAUCGAAAUUUAUCGAUUACAAUUUAAUAUUAAGGUUCCUAGUAAUUCCUAACAUUAUUACCUAAUUAUUUAAACUAUAAAAAUCAAGUUUGACCUUAAUAUAUAAAUUUAACAUUCUUAAUAUUCGUUUAUCCUUUUAUAUCAAAACUUAUUAACUUAAUCAUUAUUAACGCUUAAGAUUAGCUAUCGGAAUUCAAAGAAAUUUAAUUGUUAAAUCAAUGAAAUAAUUUUCCUUCGAAAUAUGAAUUUAAUGUAACAAAACUAGGAAAUUUAACCACUUAUUCGUUAUAUGUAAUUUCUUGAAUCAAUUAUUUACUCCAAUCGCGUAUUUACUAUUUUCACUUAACGAGCUUACAGAAAUUAAAUUUCGAAACGAAUUGCUUUAAAAAUAUAACUAAACUAUGGAUACGUUUAAUUAAACCUAAAAAGCUUAGAAAAUAAUACUCAGAGAAAUCGGGUGAGUAAAUACUUAUUUUAGCCAGUAAAAUAAAUAAAAUAAGCAAAAUUUUCGGGUCCUCACAAUCGAGUUUUAUGUACCAUUAGAGUUAGUUCUUGGAUUAGAUGUGAAGGGUGGUAAAGGUGUUGGAUCGAAAUUUAUGCAUAUAUGAACCUGCAUGUUUACUUAUCUUUCUUAAAAGUAUUUUCCAAAAUAUACGUUUUACUCAAACCCAUCUCUUAACUCGAGACUUUGAGGGAAUUUUUGAAACACCCUCCAUGUAUAUGUUAUUAUAUUAUAUAUGUAUUUUAAUGUGUAUUUUAAUAUCCACGCGUUGAGUCGCAUGGUUAAUCUUCUUCAAUGUAUUUGAGGAAUUCGGAAUAUGUAUUGAUAAUUGUGGCAAAAACAUUAUUUGAAGUUUGUUACUAGGAAAAUUUAGUUUCGGACCAUGAAGAAAAGUUUGUAUCUUUAACUCUAAUUUUGAGAUUUUGAAUCACAUUCUACCACAUACAUAUCCAAAAUACAUUAAAGCUCUCGAUUAUAUCUCGCAUGUUAUGAUUGACUUGAUUUGGACAAAAAUUUGGUUGGUCGUUUGGGAAAAAAGAAACCUGGUCAUUACUAAAAUUGUUGAUUUUGAAAAUCGAAUGCCAGUAAAUGGUUUUGGACAAAUUGAGUCCAAAAAAUUUGGUAAGGCUAGUCUUCUGUUGAAAAUAUAUCCUUCUAUUCAAGUUUUGAACUACAAGAUUGAAUCAUUUAACUAGAGUUUUAUUUGACCUUGAAGCUAACUAUUUUUGUGUAAACCCUAGUUUCAUGAAUGGUAUAGAUAAAGUGUGAUCGCUUAUUCUAUGACUUGGAAGUUAGGACUUCUACGGGGGAAUCGGUGUCUAAUUGUUAGUGCAAAUUAUGGAAACAUUGAACUUUUGGCAGAUCUAGUGGACCUAGCAAAUAAGGGGUACGAUGUGAUAUUAGAAAUAGAUUGGCUAGAUAGAUGUGAAAAGUAAGCUGGCAUUGUUUGCUCUUGUAUCAGGAAUCCAAACUAGAAAAUCUAUACAUAUGGAAGCAUGAGCAUAUUUAGCUUUUCUUAUAAAUACACCCGGGGAUAAAAUGAAAUUGAAAAAAGUACCAGUGGUGAAAGAUCCAUUAAGAGAGUAACGUACGCUUUAUUUGAAAGAGGAUACAUUAGGGAGAGUGAAUUCCGUGGAGGGUGCCUAUGCUUUUUGUUUAAAAAAAAGAUGGAAAUUUAAAACUAUGCGUGAAUUUUUGAGACUUGAAUGAGGGAACCAUUAAGAAUAAAUACCCUUAUUGCCUCACAUAGAUGAAUUGUUUGACCAAUUAUAAGGAGUCAGGGUGUUUUCUAAGUUGGAUCUGAUGCAAGACUAUUAUUAGUUAAGGAUCUUAUAAUGAGUUAUACCUAAGAUUGCUUUUGCUUCAAGAUGUGGUUAUUUUGAGUUUGUAGUCAUGCCUUUUGAGUUGACUAAUGCACCGGCAGUUUUCAUAAACUUGAUACAUUGAGUUUUAAACUCUAUUUGGGUUAGAUUGUGGUAAUAGCGAAUACAUAUUUUUCGAGAUAAUAUUCGAUCCAAGAGUACAAUUAUCUUGAAAAAUUAAGAAUGAUCAAUAGUAGACUAAGAAAAGUUAAUUGAGCGAUUAAAGGUGAGUGAAUUAAAAAAUUUCACCUUAUCGCGUGCGAGUAGAAAGUUCGUGUGUUGCACGCACGUAGGAACGAUUAAGUGGAGAUUUGAGAAAGUUAUCCUAGACUCACAAGAGUGAGUAAAUACAUUGUUAAACGAAUUACAGUUAAAGAUUAGUGUACAAGUGAAACAAACAAGAGAGAAAAGUGGUUGUACGGGACACUAUCUGAACCCUAUUUAAAGUUGACUUUUGCAAAGCUUUUUGCCACAAUUUCUUCAAGCUUCCAAGAUAAUAUUCACACAACUCAAACCACUCACUCUCUCCUCUCUUUGGUCGGCCAAAACCGCAAAGGAAAAGGAAGAAAGAAAGCUUCUUCAUCUUACUCCAAAUCUUGUUCCACUUCCCUCACAAAUCUUCACCCAAAUCACAUACUACUUGGAGAUUAGUUCUAGUUUGGAGAAAGGCAUCAUCUUGUGGAAUUUCUUGGAGGUUUUGUGAUGAAAAAAAUUCUGGUGUCAUCUAGGGUUCAAGAGGUAACUUUUUACCUUCUUCAAUCUUUUUAAUUUCUUCAAGAACGAAGCUUAGUUUGCAUGGGUUUACAACCCUAAGCAAGAAAUAAGUUAGAGGACUUGAGAAAUUUCAAUUCUUGUUUUAAUCUCUACGCUAGCAGUCUUGAGGUGGAUUAUAGAUAGCUGACUUGAGAAUUAAAAUGCUCGAUUGUUGUGUUUAUGUGUUAUAUAAGAGAAUUAUAGUUAGAAUAUGGAGAGAAAGUUGGAAGAGGUGUGAGGUGUGAGCUAGCCGAAACUCUCUUAUGGUUAUCUUGCUUGUAUUUCAAAUUUUUGUUGGUUAUUUGACAAUGAAAUGGAUGGAUAUAUGUUGUAUAAUUGGUGUACAAAGUGCCUUGCGAAAAUUAUUUCAUUUGAUUGCACAAAACUAGAGUUUUCGAAAAUGGAAGAAAUCUGGAAUUUAUGAUCAGGAGGUCCGGACAGUAGCUCUUUUUCGAACAUAACUUGAUGUACAAAAGUCGAAAUAGAGUGCGGUUUGUGGCAUUUAAAACUAGACAUUUAUAGAUUUCUAACGAUAUAAAAAUCACCUACUAGUUCGAACUGAGUGAACCGUAGUAAUUUAACAAAAUUGACGGUCUUGUUGUGACUCUCUGUCCGAGAGGACAGGAGAAGCUGCAUUUUGUGGCUUAAUUUUCUAAUACUUGUAAACUGAUUUUGGAAAUCACACUUUCUGAUGAAAUGUAGAAUUUUGAACCUAGUUUCCAACGCCAUGAACCAUUCCCAAUUUGAGUUUGUAUUGAGUAAGAUAUGGUCUGAUUUCAAAAGUGCAACAAAGCAGGAAACUGGAAGCUUUUCCCUUUCUUGUUGGCUGAAUGGUCAAAUCUGUUUUGGGAUGUUUUGCCUCGAAAAUUUUUGCGUCAAUUGCUUAUCAAAUGUUUCUGUAACCUUGGUUUCAAAAAUGGAGUGAAUUGGGAUUGAUUUUAUUGGACAAAAACCUUUGGAAAGAAAGAAAGAGUGAGUUGGCAGAUUUGCUUUGAAAAUUUCACGAAAUUUAGUCAUUUUGUUAUCUGCCUUCCCGUUUGAGUUUUUGCCUAUAAUUUGAUAGGAAGAAAGUCAACAUAUGGAAGUUUAAGUGUACCAAAUUUGGUGUAAAUUCAAUACCAUUUCGAUAUCCAAAUGAUGCCUCAAACAUUGCUCUUCAAAUCUGGAAAUUCACUGUUCAAGUAGUGAAAAUUAACCGACUUUAGGCUAUUAUAUCUUGACACUCGAAACUCCGAAUUUAGUUCCAUUUGUUGUGUUUCAAACCUUGUUUGGAACUCUUAUUGUGUUACAAAUUUCAAAGAUUGAUUCGUUUUCUGUGAAUUUUUCCGAAUUUCCAAAAAUGGCUGAAAAACCAAGACUGGUUCAAACCUGUCCUCUUGGAACUGAAAUUUUGAGUUGAAAAAUGAGUGCCUUUUGUUUAGAAUCUUGGGAAAGCGUCUUCUAGGAACUUUUAAUAUUUUGGAUCUAUUUUCAACGGAAUAAAGUUUUUUCAUAUUUGGACAUAUCGAGCUCAAGAUCUUAUUUUACCAAGUUUAUCGCGCAAAGCUGAAAAUUCAUGAUUUCUUGGAAAAUGAGUUUUUGUGAACUUUUCGCUGUCUUUCGAUAUCGAUCAUCCAUUUUAAACUCAUCUUCAUGGAUAAUGCAAGUUUCUCUUGUGAAUUUAAAUUCUCACUUUUGAAUCUCGAUUUUCGAGAUAUUAAAGUUCUUUUAAGACAUUGUCUUAGUAUUGCGCAAGUGUAUAUUCUUCCUUAUUUAGCAAGGGGUUUGUAAGUAUUUGUGAGUGAUAGAUAAUUGUUAUUUCUUCAGGCGCUCAAGAGGAUCUUGAAGAGAAUCUCAGAGCCGAUCACUAAAGGUUUAUUUACUCACUUACUCACUUUUUGAUUUGGUGAGUGUCAAGUAUAUGGAGUGUUGCUACGUGCUUAAAUGUUCUCAUUAAUUGUGUAUUGUGAAAGUACGGAGUCGAGUGUGUACUUUAUCGCACUCGUUCUCUUUUAAGUGAAUUAUAUAUUGAAUUGUAUGAAGUGAAUUUGCUAAGUGAAUAAAGUGAAGUGUUGCAAUAGUGAAUCAUACUAUGUUUGAAUCAAUGUUGAUUGGAGUGAAUCUCAUCGACUUAUAUUAAUAAUAGUAGGGGGGCCCAAAUUCUUCGGCCAACCUUGUGACUCGAGUCAGCAUGGGCUUGGUCGUGAAACUUGGUGAGCUAUGAGAAAAAAUUGUAUAAACUUGAUCUAUUUGAAAGAUCUCGCUUGGCAUACUCUAGUAGUAUCGCCUUAUAUAAAAGAUGUGCGAGCUCGAUACAGGGGGUGUAAUGGUGAUCGGGAGUGCGAAAUAAGUGUGGUUCUACGGACCUAUAACCUACCCGGUUGACGGAGUGUUAGCUCGUGGAGGUACUGGAUCGAGCAUUGGCAGAGCAAAUAGAAUAUAGCUCCUGAGAGUUUCCGUAUCCUUAUCAAGUGUGUUUUAUUGUUAGUUGUGAACUACUUGAAUGUUAUAACUUUAAUUCUCAUAUAAGUGCUAUCGUUAUUUGAACUAUGUAUUUUGCCUGUUUUUCUUGGCCUCACUGAGCAUUAAUUCAUCCCAUUAUAUUUGUUUUUCUUAACAGGAGCCGAAAUAGAAAGAAUUAUGAAGAAUUCGACUUGAUGCACUUUUGAUUAGGGUUUUGAAUGUAAUUGAUUAGAUGACUUUUGAAAGUUGUAUAUUUGGGGAAAGUGAUAUACUUGGUAUCUUGUAAUGUAGUAAUUGAAUACUUAUUAAGAAAACGACCUUUUCUUUGUAGUUUCGAAUCUUAUUUUUGAUUGUUAUCCAUAAGUUUGAGUUCCUCUUGUAGUGAGUCCUGGCGAGAGUUAGGCAGGCAUCCUACCGAUACCCUUGGGUUCGCCCUUAGGAGAAGUGGGAGCGUCACAGUUAGUAUCAGAGUUUAGGUUUCGGAUAUUUAUAGUCUAUCUUAGGCUAAAAGUUUAGAAUACCGGACUGUGGGAUUUAAUUGUGUAUUAAGUGCAAUGUGAUUUGGUGCUUGAUGUUUUAACGAGUAAUAUUGAAGUGUUUGUGUUUAAUUAGAAGGAUGUUGAAUAUUAGUGUUUUUUUUUUGUUGGAGUUAAAUCCUUAUACGUUUGUGAUUUAAUGUCUUGCGGACUCUACUCUAAAGAUGAUUCCAUCUCUUUAAGUUGUUCUUGAGUUGAGGACUUGAAGCAACUUUGAUUUCAAAAGUUUCUUGAUGUUGUAGCACCAUUUUGCUCAUACAACACUAUAAGACUUUAAUCUUCGAGUUGUGUUGGAGGUGAGUCAAGAUUAUGAAUUUUAAAUGGCCUUCUGAUGAAUUUAAGGGUAGGACACCUUGCUUCUUCCACUAUUUUGCUUGCCGAAAUUCCAGCAGAAAAGUUGAAUCAUUUGAACAAUUUUAGAUUUCACUUUGACCUUGAAAAUGAGACAUCUUUUGCAUUCCCUUUUGGUUUGACUUAUUACCCUAUUCUGUAUAGGAACUGUCACCUUGAAUUUAGUGAGGAAAACUUGUAUUCAUUUGAAGUUUUAGACUAAGAAUUUAGAAAGUAAUUUAGGCUUUUAGAUGGAAUUUGGAAUUUAUAAUUGUUCGAAUGAUGUGGCCUGGUAUCGUAGAUUCUUUUAGUUUUGUCCCUAAUUAGGAUUAUGGUUUUCCUUCUUUUGAUCUUGCCUAGGAUAGUAGGGGUGGUGCAUGCCGUGGGGUCUUUUGUGUUUUGCUUGCAUGUACUCCUGUAUUUUGAGGCACUUAGUUGCCUAUAUCUUGUAUUUGAUAUAUCUGGCUUGUUUUGUGAUCUCCCAACUCAUACUAUGACUUUUGGUAUAUGUAAUGAAUCAUGCUUUAAUUCUAAAUAUUUUUGCAACUUAUAUACGCAUUAAGUUCUUAUAUGCCUAAUUAUUCCCUUUCUUACGCCUAUAAACUUAUAUUAAGUAUGGCUCGACGACCUCGCACUCCUGAGAAAGAUGAGGGAUCACAGAAAGAAAGAUUGAUGGAUGGCCUUAUGUAAUUCAAUAGGAUCCUAAUGUUGGAUAUGAAUCAGAAAUGAACGAGAAGAUUAGAUCUACCAAUAUUAUAAUGGAUUGACCUAGUUGGAUACCUAAUAAUGUUCUCCCCUGUGAAGUUUUAAUAAUUGUUCUACACGUAUCUUGUGAUUGGUCCUGUGGACAUGUUUUAAACUUUUAUGAAUGUUUGAACUUCCAAAAUAUUGCGUUGGCUAUUCGUGAGGUGACUUGACCUCAAUUCCUAUUUGUUUUAAUUGAAUAAAAGUAUUUUCAGAUUUUGUUCGACCAUUACUAUAUAUAUAUAUAUCCAUUUACCUGUUGUCCUUUUUCCACAAAUAUUUAUGUAUAUGUACGUACAUUUUGAACUUGUAUGAGAAUCGAAAAUCAGGCAAAGCUUAGGUUCGGAUCUUUUCUAAGGACUAAGAAAGAAUAUUUUUGUGAAUUAGAGAGUAAAGAUGACCGAGCUUUAUGUACCAUUAGAGUUAGCUCUUGGAUUAGAUGUGAAGGGUGGUAAAGGUGUUGGAUCGAAGUUUAUGCAUAUAUGAACCUGCAUGUUUACUUAUCUUUCUUAAAAACAUUUUUCAAAAUAUACGUUUUACUCAAACGCAGCUCUUAACUCGAGACUUUGAGGGAAUUUUUGAAACACCCUCCAUGUAUAUGUUAUUAUAUAUGUAUUUUAAUGUGUGUUUUAAUAUCCACGCGUUGAGUCGCAUGGUUAAUCUUCUUAAAUGUAUUUGAGGAAUUCAAAAUAUGUAUUGAUAAUUGUGGCAAAAACAUUAUUUGAAGUUUGUUACUAAGAAAAUUUAGUUUCGGACUAUGAAGAAAAGUUUGUAUCUUUAACUAUAAUUUUGAGAUUUUGAAUCGCAUUCUGCCACAUACAUAUCCAAAAAUACAUUAAAGCCCUCGAUUAUAUCUCGCAUGUUAUGAUUGAAUUGAUUUGGACAAAAAUUUGGUUGGUCAUUUGGGACAAAAAAAAACCUGGUCAUUAUUAAAAUUGUUGAUUUUGAAAAUCGAAUGCCAGUAAAUGGUUUUGGACAAAUUGAGUCCACAAAAUUUGGUAAGGCUAGUCUUCUUUUGAAAAUAUAUUCUUCUAUUCAAGUUUUGAACUACAAGAUUGAAUCAUUUGACUAGAGUUUUAUUUGACCUUGGAGCUAACUAUUCUUGUGUAAACCCUAGUUUCAUGAAUGGUAUAGAUAAAGUGUGAUCGCUUACCCUAUGACUUGGAAGUUAGGAUUCCUACGGGGGAAUCAGUGUCUAAUUAUUAGUGCAAAUUAUGGAAAGAGUGAAUCUUUGGCAGAUCUAGUGGACCUAACAAAUAAGGGUAUGAUGUAAUAUUAGAAAUAGAUUGGUUAGAUAGAUAUGAAAAGUAAGCUGGCAUUGCCUGCUCUUGUAUCAAGAAUCCAAGCUAGAAAAUCUAUACAUACGGACGCAUGAGAAUAUUUAGCUUUUCUUAUAAAUACACCCGGGGAUAAGAUGAAAUUGAAAAAUGUACCAGUGGUGAAAGAUCCAUUAGGAGAGCAAUGUACGCUUUAUUUAAAAGAGGAUUCAUUAUUUAAAGGAAUUACAGUUGAGGCUUAGUAUACAAGUGAAACAAACAAGAGAAAAGAGUGGUAGUACGGGGCACUAUUCGAACCUUAUUCAAAAUUGACUUUUGCAAAGCUUUUGGCCACAAUUUCUUCAAACUUCCAAGACAAGAUUCACACAACUCAAACCACUCUCUCUCUCUCCUCUCUUUGGUCGGCCGAAACAGCAAAGGAAAAGGAAGGAAGAAAGCUUCUUCAUCUUGUUCCAUUUCCCUCAUAAAUCUUCACCCAAAUCACAUACUACUUGGAGAUUAGUUCUAGAUUAGAGAAAGGCAUCAUCUUGUGGAAUUUUUUGGAGAUUUUGUGGUGAAAAAAAAAUUCUGGUAUCAUCUAGGGUUCAAGAGGUAACCCUUUACCUUCUUCAAUCUUUCUAAUUUCCUCAAGAAUGAAACUUUGUUUGCAUGGGUUUACAAUACUAAGCAUGAAAUAAGUUAGAGGACUUGAGGAAUUUCAAUUCUUGUUUUAAUCUCUAGGCUAGCGGUCUUGAGGUGGAUUGUAGGUAGCUGACUUGAGAAUUAAAAUGCUUGAUUGUUGUGUUUAUAUGUUAUAUAAGAGAUUUAUCGUUAGAAUAUGAAGAGAAAGUUGGAAGAGGCGUGAGAUGUGAGCUGGCCGAAACUGUCCUGUGGUUAUCUUGCUUGCAUUUCGAAUUUUUUUAGUUAUUUGACUAUGAAAUGGAUGGAUAUAUGUUGUAUAUUUGUUGUACAAAGUGCCUUGCGAAAAUUAGUUCAUUUGGUUGCACAAAACUAGAGUUUUCGAAAAUGGAAGAAAUCUGGAAUUUGUGAUCAGGAGGUCCGGACAGUAGCUCUUUGUUCGAUCACAACUUGUUGUAAAAAAGUUAAAAUAAAGUGCCAUUUGUGGCAUUUAAAACUAGACAUUUAUAGCUUUCUAAUGGUAUAAAAAUCACCUUCUAGUUAGAACUGAGUGAACCGUAGUGAUUUAACAAAGUUGACAGUCCUUUUGUGACCCUCUGUCCAAGAGGAAUGGAGAAGCUGCAUAUUGUGGCUUAAUUUUCUAUUACUUGUGAACUGAUUUUGGAAAUGACUCUUUCUGAUGAAAUGUAGAAUUUUGAACCUAGUUUCCAACACCACCAACCAUUCCCAAUUUGAGUUUGUAUUGACUGAGAUGUGGUCUGAUUUCGAAAGUACAACAAAGCUGGAAACUUGAAGCUUUUCCCUUUCUUGUUGGCCGAAGCUCGAAAAUUUUUGUGUCAAUUGCUUUUCAAUUGCUUAUCAAAUAUUUCUGGAACCUUGAUUUCAAAAAUGGAGUGAAUUGGGAUUGAUUUCAUUGGACAAAAACCUUUGGAAAGAAAUAAAGAGUGGGUUGGCUGAUUUGCCUAUAGAUAAAGUGUGAUCGCUUACCCUAUGACUUGGAAGUUAGGAUUCCUACGGGGGAAUCAGUGUCUAAUUAUUAGUGCAAAUUAUGGAAAGAGUGAAUCUUUGGCAGAUCUAGUGGACCUAACAAAUAAGGGUAUGAUGUAAUAUUAGAAAUAGAUUGGUUAGAUAGAUAUGAAAAGUAAGCUGGCAUUGCCUGCUCUUGUAUCAAGAAUCCAAGCUAGAAAAUCUAUACAUACGGACGCAUGAGAAUAUUUAGCUUUCUUAUAAAUACACCCGGGGAUAAGAUGAAAUUGAAAAUGUACCAGUGGUGAAAGAUCCAUUAGGAGAGCAAUGUACGCUUUAUUUAAAAGAGGAUUCAUUAUUUAAAGGAAUUACAGUUGAGGUAUACAAGUGAAAACAAACAAAGAAAAGAGUGGUAGUACGGGGCACUAUUCGAACCUUAUUCAAAAUUGACUUUUGCAAAGCUUUUGGCCACAAUUUCUUCAAACUUCCAAGACAAGAUUCACACAACUCAAACCACUCUCUCUCUCUCCUCUCUUUGGUCGGCCGAAACAGCAAAGGAAAAGGAAGGAAGAAAGCUUCUUCAUCUUGUUCCAUUUCCCUCAUAAAUCUUCACCCAAAUCACAUACUACUUGGAGAUUAGUUCUAGAUUAGAGAAAGGCAUCAUCUUGUGGAAUUUUUUGGAGAUUUUGUGGUGAAAAAAAAAUUCUGGUAUCAUCUAGGGUUCAAGAGGUAACCCUUUACCUUCUUCAAUCUUUCUAAUUUCCUCAAGAAUGAAACUUUGUUUGCAUGGGUUUACAAUACUAAGCAUGAAAUAAGUUAGAGGACUUGAGGAAUUUCAAUUCUUGUUUUAAUCUCUAGGCUAGCGGUCUUGAGGUGGAUUGUAGGUAGCUGACUUGAGAAUUAAAAUGCUUGAUUGUUGUGUUUAUAUGUUAUAUAAGAGAUUUAUCGUUAGAAUAUGAAGAGAAAGUUGGAAGAGGCGUGAGAUGUGAGCUGGCCGAAACUGUCCUGUGGUUAUCUUGCUUGCAUUUCGAAUUUUUUUAGUUAUUUGACUAUGAAAUGGAUAUAUGUUGUAUAUUUGUUGUACAAAGUGCCUUGCGAAAAUUAGUUCAUUUGGUUGCACAAAACUAGAGUUUUCGAAAAUGGAAGAAAUCUGGAAUUUGUGAUCAGGAGGUCCGGACAGUAGCUCUUUGUUCGAUCACAACUUGUUGUAAAAAAGUUAAAAUAAAGUGCCAUUUGUGGCAUUUAAAACUAGACAUUUAUAGCUUUCUAAUGGUAUAAAAAUCACCUUCUAGUUAGAACUGAGUGAACCGUAGUGAUUUAACAAAGUUGACAGUCCUUUUGUGACCCUCUGUCCAAGAGGAAUGGAGAAGCUGCAUAUUGUGGCUUAAUUUUCUAUUACUUGUGAACUGAUUUUGGAAAUGACUCUUUCUGAUGAAAUGUAGAAUUUUGAACCUAGUUUCCAACACCACCAACCAUUCCCAAUUUGAGUUUGUAUUGACUGAGAUGUGGUCUGAUUUCGAAAGUACAACAAAGCUGGAAACUUGAAGCUUUUCCCUUUCUUGUUGGCCGAAGCUCGAAAAUUUUUGUGUCAAUUGCUUUUCAAUUGCUUAUCAAAUAUUUCUGGAACCUUGAUUUCAAAAAUGGAGUGAAUUGGGAUUGAUUUCAUUGGACAAAAACCUUGGAAAGAAAUAAAAGAGUGGGUUGGCUGAUUUGCCUUGAAAAUUUCAUGAAUUUUAGUCAUUUUGUUAACUGCCUUCCCGUGUGAAUUUUUGCCUAUCAUUUGAUAGGGAGGAAGUUCACAUAUGAAAAUUUAAGUGUACCAAAUUUGGUAUAAAUUCAAUACCAUUUCGAUAUCCAAAUGAUGCCUCAAACAUUGCUCUUCAAAUCUGGAAAUUCGCUGUUCAAGUAGUGAAAAUUAACCGACUUUAGGCUAUUAUAUCUUGAUGUGCAAAACUCUGAAUUUAGUUCCGUUUGUUGUUUUUGAAACCUUUUUUGGAACUCUUAUUUUGUUACAAAUUUCAAAGACUGAUUCGUUUUCUGUGAAUUUUGCCAAAUUUCCAAAAAUGGCUGAAAAACCAAGACUGGUUCAAACCUGUCCUCUUCGAACUGAAACUUUGAGUUGAAAAAUGAGUGCUUUCUGUUUAGAAUCUUGGAAAAGUGUCUUCUAAGAACUUUUAGUACUUUGAAUCUAGUUUCCAAUGGUGUAAAGCUUUUCCAUAUUUGGACAUACCGAACUCAAGAUCUGAUUAUACCAAAUUUAUUGCGCAAAGCUGAAAAUUCAUGAUUUCUUGGAAAAUGAGUUUUUGAGAACUUUACGUUGUCUUUCAAUACCGAUCAUCCAUUUUAAACUCAUCUUCAUGGAGGAUUCAAGUUUCUCUUGUGAAUUUAAAUCUUCACUUUUGAAUCUCGAUUUUUGAGAUAUUAAAGUUCUUUUAAGACAUUGUCUUAGUAUUGCGCAAGUGUACAUUCUUCCUCGUUUGGCAAGGGGUUUCUAAGUAUUUGUGAGUGAUAGAUAACUGUUAUUUCUUCAGGCAUUCAAGAGGAUCUUGAAGAGAAUCUCGGAGCCGACCACUAAAGGUUUAUUUCCUCACUUACUCACUUUUUGACUUGGUGAGCGUCAAGUAUAUGGAGUGUUGCUGCAUGCUUAAAUGUUCUCAUUGAGUAUUGUGAAAGUGCGGAGUCGAGUGUGUACUUUACCGCACUCGUUCUCUUUGAGUGAAUUAUAUAUUGAAUUGUAUGAAGUGAAUUUACUAUGUGAAUAAAGUGAAGUGUUGCACUAGUGAAUCAUACUAUGUUUGAUUCAAUGUCGAUUGGAGUGAAUCUCAUCGACUUAUAUUGAUAUUAGUGGGGGACGCCCAAAUUCAUCAGCCGACCUUACGACUCGGGCCAACAUGGGCUUGGUCGUGAAGAUUGGUGAACCAUGAGAAAAAAUUGUAUAAGUUUGAUAUAUUUGAGAGAUUUCGUUUGAUAUACUCAAGUAGUAUCGCCUUAUAUAAAAGAAGUGCGGGCCCGGAGCAGGGGGUUUAACGGUGAUUGGUGAAGUGCAAAGUAAAUGGAGUUCUACGGACCUAUAACCUACCUGGUUGAUGGAGUGUCAGCUCGUGGAGAUACUGGAUCGAGCAUUGGUAGAGCAAGUGGAAUAUAGCUCCUGAGAGCUUCCGUAUCCUUAUCAAGUGUGUUUUAUUGUUAGUUGUGAACUACUUAAAUGUUAUAGUUUUAAUUCUCGUAUAAGUGCUAUCGUUAUUUGAACUAUGUGUUUUGCAUGUUUUUCUUGGCCUCACUGAGCAUUGACUCAUCCCAUUAGAUUUGUUUUUCUUUAACAGGGGCAGAAAUGGAAAGAAUUAUGGAGAAGCCAACUUGAUGCACUUUUGAUUAGAGUUUCGAAUGUAAUUGAUUAAAUGACUUUUGAAAGUUGCAUAUUUGGGAAAAGUGAUGUACCUGGUAUCUUGUAAUGUAGGAAUUGAAUACUUAUUAAGGAAGCAGCCUUUUCUUUGCAGUUUUGACUCUUACUGUUGAUUGUUAUCCAUAAGUUUGUGUUCGUCUUGUAGUGAGUCCUGACGAGAGUUAGGCAGACAUCCCGUCGAUACCCUUGGUUUCGCCUUUGGGAGAAGUGGAGGCGUCACAAUUUAUUAUUAGUCGAAAUGCAAGGUGCUAGAUAACAUAAGAAAUUCUAUAUGGAACUAGUUCUAGGCUUGACAAUGAUGUCUCACCUAAAGAGCUGCUAUUAUAAUUAAUUUCAUCCAUAUUCCACCUAAAUGCAUUGUUUCAAAGGCAACCCACGGAACCAUAUAGUACAAAUUAAACCUUGUCAAAUCUCUUAGGCCUACAAAUUACGUUGAUUUGGUAGACCCAUUGAUAAUUACCUCCUCUUUGGUCACAUUAAAAAAAAAAGCAAGUUUUAUCGCUUCGAAAUUUUAAAAUUGACUUAUGAUUAAGGAUCUAUCAACUACUGUCUUCGAAAAUGGUUCAUCACCUGCACUUCAUGAUGUUAUCCAAAUUUUAGAUUAUCCUCAAAAUAUUUAUUGAAAUUAUACUGGCCUUGCUACGUAGACGGAAGCAUAACAAUUAUUUUGAUUAAAAAAACUGUAUAUAUAUAACUUUUUAUCAUUAAAUUUUAUAAAUUCUUUUGGAGGCAAAAGUUAAACAUAUAUGCUUUCAAACUUUAAUGAGGGAAAACUAAAAUUUUAGAGAGUCGGUGACUAGAGGAAUGGCAAUGAGGUGGAUAUGAGGCUAGGAAACCCUCACCCAUCUCCCUCCUUGUGCUAUAAAAACUUCUCCUGGCUUUAGUGCUAUCCCCCACCCCAUCAGCCUACCCAGCCAGGGUGCCCUGAUGGGUGGUUCAAAAUAAAAUUUUAUUUUUUAUUUUGAUCUUAUGUUUUCAUAUAUAAUAUUAACAAAUAACUUUAUAAAUCAAUCUUUUGGACUUUUAACUAAUAUUCAACAUUACAUUAUGUUUAAAAUCUACUUUAAUCUUUUAAAAACAUUUCUCCGUAUUUGUUAGCAAAUCUAAACUAACAGCUGUUACUAUUAUUGUUACAAAAUUAUAAAUAAUAUAAUAUGUACAUAGAUAUUGGCAAAUAUAGCUGCAUAUUAAUUAAUUUAUUUAAUUUAUAGGCAAGGAUGGCGCGGGGAUGGUAGCCACAUCGUGGGGGAGAAAAAUCCCCACCACCCCACUCCUGCCCCACAGCUCUCUUCACUCCAUUUCUCUCUCCCAAAGGACGGGCAUCCAUUCCUAUCAUGACCUUCCCACCUCUUAAUUCUCAUGCCAUUGAUGGGCCAAUUUAGAGGGAAAGUGAAUAAAGUUGGCAUCUAUCUGCCCUAUGGUUUAAGUCGUUAUGGAAAGGAGGUGACCUCUUAAUUCUCUCAUGCCAUUUCCAGCUUUGAGUGAUGAAAUCAGGAAGAUGAAAAUUCUAGACAAAUUGUCGUGUCUCAAUCAAUGAACUCGAAGAUGGAUCAUGCAACGGCGUGAUUCUUGUAUGUUAUUGUCCAAUUAGCAAAAUUUUGAAAAAUCAUUGACGGUUGAGAUGAAAGUCAAGUAACAAGAGGUUUAAAACUUUUUGGAUUCUUCUAUUCACAGAACAUAAUAAAAGAUAGGUGCACUCUUCAAUUAUGCAUGCCAUCGUAUGUUUCAUUAGUCAACAUUAUUGUUUAUUAUUAAUCGAAUGCAACGUUCUAUAUUUGGAUUAUAAAAGAAGUUGUAUAUGGAACUAGAUUAUAGGCUGACAAUGAUGUCUUAUCUAAUUAAAAAGCUGCUAUUCCAAUUAAUUUCAUCCAUAUUUCACCUAAACGCACUGUUUUAAGGGUAGCCUAUGGUACCAACUAGGUAUGUCAAUGGAUCGGAUUUUAUCCAAAUCAAAUCCAAACCCAGUAUAUCUGAGUAGGGUUUAGGUUUAAUUUAUUAACCCAGACCCUAACCAAAUCUAGAUUCCGUAAGAGAAUCAUGAAUUGGGUGGAGUAUGAUUUUCUAUGAUUUAGAUCCAAAUUCAAAUCCAAAUUAGACCCUACCAAUACCCAUGCAAUAUUCUAUGUGUGUGUAUGUAUCAGUAAAUUCGGAAAAUAACCUAAUAUUCUAUGUCAUUAUAAUUAGUAAAAACAUUUUCAAGAAAAAUGAAAAAAUGAAAGCAAAUAAAUAAAAGAUUGAAUAUAGACACAAAUGAAACUUUGAAAACAAAUAGUUUUAGUUGAUAAUAAUUCUUUCUUUGAGUUCAUAAUAUUGUGUUCAACCAUCAUGAAUGUUGAUUUUAUUAUUUCAAAAUAAAAAUUCGAUGAUUAUUUAUGUUAUUUUUUUAACUCUAUAUUUUUCAAAUAUUUUUACUUUGGUUCCUCAUUGUAUGUUCAAAAAGUAUUCAACGAAUACCCGUCGAAUACCUAAACCUAUGAGGGUUCGAGUUUGGAGUUUACUUUUUCAAACCCAUAAGGGUUGGGCAUGGGUUUGGGUCUAACUAAAUUUAAUAAGUAUGAAUGCAGAUCAAGGGAAUCUAAAUCAAACCCUAUCCAUUAAAUACCUAUAAAAUACCUAUACUAUACAAUAUAAAUUAAACCUUGUCAAAUCCCUUGGACCCACAAAUUAUGUUGACUUGGUAAACCUUGGAUAAUUACCUCAUCUUUUUUUUAUAUAAAAUAUCAUAAUUUUAUUGAAAUUUGCAUUAAUGAUAGAAAUUACAUCAUUAAACAUACACAGAUAUCAAAAAACAGGAUAAUAUGGUGAGCCCUAUCGAAUAGAUCCAAAAAAUUCCAAAUACGUUAAUCAAAAUCUAAAAAACUCAUCUUGGGCACAUGAAGAAAGCAAGUUUGUCGUUCCAAACUUCAAAAACUGACUUUUAAGAGUCUAUUAGCUAUUGUCUUGAAAAUGGUUCAUCACCUUCACUUCAUGAUGUUUAUCCAAAUUUUAGAUUAUCCUUAAAUUUUUUAUUGAAAUUAUACUGGCCUUGCUAUGUUACCUAUGUAGAAGGGAAGCAUAACAAUUACUUUGAUCAAAAAACAGUAUAUACAAAUAACAUUUAAUUUUAUAAUAAUAUUUUAUAGAAUUUUUUUUGGAGGUAGAAGUUAACAUUUACUUCAAACCUUAUGUGAGGGAAAACUAAAAUUUCUUAGGUUUUAAAGAGUUGGUGACUAGGAAUGACAACAAGAUAGAUUUGGAACUAGAGAACCCUCCCGUCUCCCCUCCUGUGCUUUAAAAAUUUCCCCUUGCCCUAAGCUAUCCCCCUGCCCCCACCCACUACCCAAUAAGGUGCCCCAAUGGGUGGUUCAAAAUAAACUUCUAUUUUUCAUAAUUUUUCAUAUAUAAUAUCAACAAAUAACUAUAUAAAUCAAUCUUUUGAACUUUUAACUAAAAUUCAACAUGAAAUUAAGUUUAAAAUAUACUUUAAUCAUUUAAAAAUAUUUCUCCAUAUUUAUUAGCAUAACUAAAGUAAUAUCUGCUACUAUUAUUAUCUUAUUGCAAACAUGCAAUACACAAAAAAAAAAUUCAGUAAACUAAAAAUAACAAAAUCAUCAUUUUACCACACAAAUAAUGAUAUCAUGAGUUUUCAAAUUAUAAUGUAUAUGUCUAUAUGUGUAUGUGUGUCUAUAUAUAUAUAUCUAUACAUAUAUAGAGGUGGGGAUAGUACCGAUACAAAUCCCACCACCCCUACUAUAUAUAAUAUGUACAUAGAUAUUGACAAAUAUAGUUACGUAUUAAUUAAGGAUUAAUUUUUCUUACACUGACAGUGUAUACACUAUCAACGUUGGAUGAAUGACAACUAUGUAAAAUUUAAAUUUAAAAUUCAACUUUUACACACAUGUCAUGAAUCAAAUGGUGAUAGUCUAUACACUGUCAGUGUAUAUAAGAUAUACUCAUUAAUUAAUUAAUUUAAUUUAUAGGUGGGGAUGGUACUGAGACAAAUUCCCGCAACCCCUACUCCUACUCCGCAUUUCUCUCUGCCCUAUUUAUAUACCUACGGGGCGGGCAUACUUACCGAUCAUGACCCUCUCCAUCUCUUAAUUCCCGUGCCAUUAGAAGGGCCAAUUUAGGGUAAAUUCUAUAGUAUAAUCGGAUAAUUCAAGACAGGUGUGGAAAGUAAAGCAUAUGGCAAAGAAGGCAGCACGUUGCAACCUGACAUAUACGGACCAAGAAGGGAAUAUUUCUACAAAAGCAAGUGGUAACCUAUAACCGGGACUUGGAAAUGUUGCGUACUGCAGAAGCUAGAAAUGUGUUAGGGUGUCACACAAUUAACAUAAAUAUAAAGAGCCUAAGAAUAAAACACCGAAAAGGAAGCAUAAGCAGUACUAAACACAGCCAUGCUUGGCUUUGAAACAACAUAUGAUCAUUAAUGAAUAAGGAGUUGAGAGCUUUAAGAAGUGAGACUUAAGAAAAUAAAUAUUUGAAAUAUUAAGUUUUUUAAUUAUCUAAUUUAUUUUGAUUAGUCAUUUGGAGGACUUCUAUAGCUGAAGUACAGAAUCCUUUUUGGACUUUUAAUAAAUUUGAGUUAUUUUUCUUUUGAUUUCUCACUUUUCUAACAACUUUUAUCUAAUCUACUAAAUUUGAAUUAUUAAAAUUGAUUUUAAUCGCUAUAUUAGUAAAAUAUUAACAUUUGUGAAAACUGGGUUUGUGGGAAGACAGAUUGUUGCCCGUUUCACAUUUAAUUGAAUACAAAUAUCUCUACUUUACAUAAAGCGUCCAAGGCUGAGGAACAGUGAAUUCCAAUUGAUUCUCCCGAUUAUUGGUAUUACAUCAACAAAAUACUAUCUAUUUAUGGGCAUUUUACUCUGAAUCAUUACAUUUAUGUAAAAUACAUAAAUAUUUGUAACUAAAAUUGAAAAACUGUUACACUAAUAUUUUUACGAAAGGAAAAUUGAUUGUCCUGUAUUUAACAUAAACUAAUUUUUGUGAAAAUAAAAAACAUAUUGCCCAUAACAUACCCGCUCUUUAUGGUUUUUUGCAUUCCAUCAACAAAAUACUAGCUAUUUAUGGGCAUUUACUCUGAAUCAUUAUAUUUAUAUAAAAUAAAUAUAUGCUUGUAACUAAAAUUGAACAAGUGUUACACUAAUAUUUUUACGAAAGGAAAACUAGUAAAUUUUGUAUUUAACAAAUUUUAAAUAUGUGAAAGUAAAAAAGUUUUGCCCAUAACAUACCAGCUCUUUAUGAGUUUUUUGCAUUACACAUCAACAAAAUACUAACUAUUUAUGGAUAUUUAACUCUGAAUCAUUACAUUUAUGUAAAAUACAUAAAUGUUUGUAACUAAAAUUGAAAAAGUAUUAUACUUAUACUUUUACGAAAGGAAAACUAGUAGAUUUUGCAUUUAACAAAUUUUAAAUAUGUGAAAGUAAAAAAGAUUGCGGCCCAUAACAUUCCAGCUCUUUAUGGAUUUUUUGCAUUACAUCAACAAAAUAUUACCUAUUUAUGGGCAUUUUACUCUGAAUCACUACAUUUAUGUAGAAUACAUAAAUGUUUGUAACUAAAAUUGAAAAAGUGAUACACUUAUAUUUUUACAAAAGAGAAACUGGUAAAAUUUGUAUUUAACAUAAAUUAAAUAUGUUAAAGCAAUAUUAAAGGUGAUUUUAUUAGUUACUUAAUUUGUUGGUAAGAAACAAGGUUUCUUUUGCAAAAUUUGUUCAUAUAGAUUUUUCCAAAUAAUUAGGAUAUAAAGGUAAAUUUUCACAAUCUUUUGUUAGCAAUAGACCCCAAUUUCCUCCUAGGCAGUGACGAAGCCAAGAUUUUUUCCUUGGAGGGAGGGCUAAAAUGAUUGACAAAUAAAAUUAUUUGAAUAUGUUAUGUUCAAAAUGAUUUUCAUCUAUUUAAAUAUAUGGCAUUCUAAAUAUCAAAUAUUAACUUUAAUUAUAAAGGUAUGUCUAUUUAAUAAAUAUAUAGUAUAGUCAUAACUAAAAUUAAGACAAGAAAUAACAUUUGAUUAAAUAUCUUAUAGGAAAAAAUGCACUUUUCAUCCUCAAAGUUUGGGUGGUUGGCCAAUUUCAUCCUCAAAGUUUCACCCCAAACAUAUUGCAUCCUCAAAUUUUGUAAUUUUGGCCAAUUAAGGACAAUUGACGGAAAAUGAAGAAUUGAUCGUUAGAACCAACGAUUUUAACAACAAAAAAUGGGUAAAACCGAAUAGAGCCAUUUUUAACGAAACAAUUCUAAAGUUUUAACCCAAAAUUUUUUUUACCAAUCUCUAGAGUUUUAACGACCGUUAUACAACUUUCAAAACAAAUAAAUUCAUUCUAAAUUUUUAUUUGGGAUUAUUUCAUAAACCAAAUCGUGGUCACUUUGUGUAAAGUAUCACUUUCCCAUAAAAGACUAGCUCUUUAUGGCUUUCCUCCAUUAUAAGAACAGGGUACCCAUUUUUUUUAUAACUAAAUUUAUUUAUCGAAUAAAAAUAAAAAUAAAUUCAUUUUCUAAUAAAAGACCAGCUCUUUAUGGCUUUCCUCCAUUAUAAGAAUAGAGUACCCCAUUUUCUCAUAAAAAAAUAUAUUUAUCAGAUAAAAUAAAAAUAAAUCUAUUUUUCAAUAAAAGACUAGUUCUUUAUGGCUUUCCUCCAGUAUAAGAACAGAGUACCCAUUUUCUCAUAAAUAAAUUUAUUUAUCGGAUAAAAUAAAAAUAAACCCGUUUUUCAAUAAAAGACCAACUCUUUAUAACUUUUCUCCAUUUUAAGAACAGAGUACCUAUUUUUUCAUAAACAAAUUUAUUUAUCAGAUAAAAUAAAAAUAAACCCUUUUUUUAAUAAAACACCAGUUUUUAUGACUUUCUUCCAUUAUAAGAACAGAGUACCCAUUUUGAAAGCAAAAAGGAAUUUGUUUAUCGGAUAAAAUAAAAAUAAACUCAUUUUUCAAUAAAACACCAACUCUUUAUGACUUUUCUCCAUUAUAAGAAAAGAGUGCCCAUUUUGUCAUAAACAAGUAACUUCUUUAAUUAGAAACCAUCGACCCCUUACCAAAGACGAUCAAAUGGAACUAAAUGAUUUUCUUGCAAGAAAGUUGCCAAAAGCAGCUUUGUGACUGUAGUUGCCACUUUUUUUUCAACCAUUUUUUUAGCAAGAGGUAUCAUUAAUGUCAAUAUUGAGAUAUAGCAAAAAUAUUAUACGAAAUAACAAACCAAUUUGUCAUUACAAAUACAAAACGAGCAACAAUAUAUUACAACCAAUACUAUCAACAGUACAAAGCACAAAGAUACUCAAAUCAAAUCCUAAUUAGGCUUUAAUAUGUACAACCAAAAUUGCUAGGGAUAACAAAUGCUAAGAUAGACCCUGUGCCGAUAUACAAUGAGUAUCAUGUUUGCAUUAAUUGGCAAAGUCCAUAAUGGAAGUAGCUUGUAAGAGCUUCAUCGCCAAGUUUACUACAAUCCACAUCAACCUACAGAGUCCAAUGGAAAAAAAAUUAUUAAACAGAAAUUUACAUUGGUAGUUAGAUAAAUUAAACCUGCAUUAGCCUACAUAUAUCAACUAAGACAUUGAUCCUCAUAUUGUUGCAUGAAAAGAAAUGAAAAUGAGGGACUUUAAAAGAAAUGCUAAGGAUCUCUUUUAUUAACCACAAGUACAAAAUGUAAACUGAAUUUCAAACUACAAGUUGGUAGCAUGUACUUAAGAUGAAGAAAUCAUUAUGACCCCAAUUGACAUGAAACCAAUUGUAAAGUAACGUCAAGGCUGUUUCCUUUAACACAAAAAUAGUAAAUGCAUUCACCCAUUGUAGCUCAUUCAAAAUUGAGAAGUAGCUAAGCAAGCGCAACAUUCGGACUUGGAAAGCAUGAAAUGAACUUGGAAAAAGGAAUUAGAUUUUACUGCCAACAAGGCUUCCAAGGUGCAAAUAGCCAAUGAGAUCUUUUUUUUUCUAAUCCUUAUUAUUUUUGUCCAGUAUGUUCACUUAAAAAAAACUAUAUUCUAUUUACUAGAUCUUUAGUUAAGAAAUAAACAAAAAAUUAAAUCAUCAAAAAGCAAAAAGAUCAAAGGCAUUAAAACUUGCACAAACAUUCAGGAGGAGGAGAAGUCAUCACCUAAGAGAAUCACAUGCAACGCAAUGAAAGCAUUAGAAUUAGCCCAAAGGAAAGGAAAAAAUAUGCUUCACGAAUGGUCCUACAACACCGAAACACAAAACAAUAGAUAAUGAUGAACCACCACAAACCAGUCCAAAGACAAGCAAAAUCACCUACACCAUCAAUCCUAAUCACCAACCGGAGUAGAAAAUCAUCCAUAAUUUCAGUUAAGUCACCGAAUAAAUAAGGCUUAAAUCUUAGAAUACGUCAUAAUCAGUGUUUAGCAUUCAAAAAUUGUGUAAGAUACAGGGGGUUUGGGACAAAAGGGGACAAUUAGGGCUGGGCAACGAGAGGUACGGAGGAAUGGAAGCGAGAGUGGUAAAGAGAGGAGAUUGAGCAAUACGACAAAGCAGGGGAAAAAUCAAAUCGUGGAAGGAAGAAUUCUAGUAUGAAAAUAUGUUGGAGACUACCUGAAAUCUUAGAUCUGAAAUUUUGACGGGCCGUUUUCAUUUUGCCUUCCAGUAAGACCCAUUUCUCUACUCCAACUGAGAUGCCUAUUCACUCUAAUCCACUGAAGUAGAAGCCUACAAUUUCAAAAAGUUUAUCUUGCGAUUGUUAAAUUGACCAAAAUUCAAGAAAAAAGCAAUUGACAAAACAGAGACGAAAAUAACAUAUCUGCUUAAAAAACCUACACCAUCGCUUUUCCUUGAAGUUUGCCAUUGCAUCGGAAGGGUCUUUAAAGUGUGUCCAUGAUUGUAUAAAUUCAGAUCUGGAUGCUAGAGAGGAAGAGGGGAACCAUAUGUCUAUGGUAAACUGAAAUUGAUAGAGAGGGAAAGAGAGAUAGAAGGAGAAAGGUGCAGGGGAGGUUGUGAUUGAACUUUCGAGGGCUCUGAUCUGAGAACAAUAUUUGGGAAAGUAGCCUUGCAAGUAUGGAAGGUUUGGAAUUCAUGUGGUGCUACGCUUAACAAGUGCUGUGCCAGGAAUGGUUAAAAAAUUUUCAAUGUGCGGCUCUGCUAAAAAUUGGAAAGGAGCAAAAUUUUAAAAUUUUCACAAAAAAGCACCCAUGAUUUCUCACCAAUAACAUAGAAACUUUAGUCCACUAGAAUCAGUAUUUGGAGGGAAGCUUUCCUGCACUCCUUUUGGCGAGAAUUUUAAGCGAGAAAAGUCCUUGCCCUCGCAGAGUAUAUGAUGGCUCUAAUUUUUGGUGAGGUAUUGUCCUUUUUCUUGCUAUAAGCCUCUUAAUAGCGUCAAGCUUUCUACUUCUUGCUAAAUUGUUGUCGCUAAUACCCUUUUUGUUAUAGUGAACGGAGGAAAGUCAUAAAGAACUAGUGUUCUAUUGAAAAAUAUAUUUAUUUUUUCAUCCGAUAAAUAAAUUUAUUUAUGAAGAAAUGGGUACUCUGUUCUUAUAAUAGAGGAAAACUAUAAAGAGCUGGUGUUUUAUUGAAAAACGGGUUCAUUUUUAUUUUAUUCAAUAAAUAAUAUUUUUUUUUAGAAAAUGGGUACUAUAUUCUUAUAAUGGAGGAAAGUCAUAAAGAACUGAUUUUUAUUGAAAAAAGAGUAUAUUUUUAUUUUAUCCGAUAAACAAAUUUGUUUAUGGCAAAAUGGAUACUCUUUUCUUAUAAGGGAGGAAAGCCAUAAAGAGCUGAUGUUUUAUUGAGAAAUGGGUUUAUUUUUAUUUUUUCGAUAAAUAAUUUUUUAUUCGAUAAAUAAAUUUGUUUAUGGCAAAAUGGGUACACUGUUCUUAUAAUAGAGGAAAGGCAUAAAAAGUUAGGAUUUUAUUGAAAAACGGGUUUAUUUUUAUUUUAUCGAUAAAUAAUUUUUUUUAGGAAAAGGGAUACUAUGUUCUUAUAAUGGAGAAAGCUAUAAAGAGUUGAUUUUUUAUUGAAAAGGUUUAUUACAAUUUUAUUCAGCCAACUAUGACCUAUUUUCCCACUAACCUAAGUUAGACGAACUAAAUCAUUGAGUUCGUUAACCACAAUCAAAAUUAAUAUAGAAACAGCUGACUCAAAUCAGUCAAUCCUUUAUGGCUUAUACCAAAUCAAUACUAGGAAGCUUAUUUGAAAUAACAAUAAAAUAUUUUAUAAAUGAUUAAAACUUAGUACAUUAGUUAGUAAGUACUCGUAACAUACUUGUAUAAUGCAUGAUUAUAUGUAUAAUUUAAUAUUCUUUUGUACUUAUAUAUUUUCAAAUAUUCUGUGAAAAAUAUUUUGACCUUUCACAUAACCUUAUAAAUAAUAAAAUUUUAUCGUAUUAUAAAACAAUAAUUUUAUCUUAUUAUAUUCAUAGGUGUUAAAUUAUAAAAAUUGUGAUAUAGAAACAAGUGAUAUUCUACAUGUAACUAGGAAGAUUUGUUGUUAUUGUUAUCCAAACUUUCAAACUUUUCAAAAAUGUAAAAUGAUUACAAACUUAUGAUAAGACAAAAUUUUAUUACAUAUUUUACAAGUUUACUUUUCAUAGUAUUUUAAAAUAUAUAAAUACAAAAAAAUGUUAAAUUAUACCUAUAAUCAUAUUAUACAAGUAUAUUGUGAGUACUUACUAACUAAGGUUUAUCCCCACAUUUGUAUAGUUCGUUGUGACAACCAGGUUUAUCCCCAUAUUUGUUUGAGUUUUGAUUACAAUGGAUAUAACCUAUUCCCUCCAAACCCCAAAUUUUGAAUUACAACAUUCAACCAAAACAUGCUCAAACUCUCAGGCUCGGUCAUACAAGGACAGCUAGUGUGAAUAUCCGUGCUACGCACGGUGCUUAUAUAUUAAAAUAAAUUAAAAGAUUAUACCAUUUUAAUUUGAAAAAAGUUAAAAAAAUUAUACCAACAUAAUUAAAAUUUAAGAUUUGUCUAACAAUAGUUCAAAGUAUGACAAAAACUGUAAAUCAUUCAAGAAUUGUGUUUUUGGGGAAGAUGCAUCUUAAAAUAAUAAUAAUAUUUUAUAUUAGAAAAUGAAUGAUAUAUGGAUAGAAAUAAAUAUAAUUGCAUUUUUUAUUUUGAAAUGAAAUACUUACCAACAUUAUGCAUUCGAUUUGAUAAUCUUGUACAAAGGUGCGAACAUUUUUUAUACCAAUCAAUUUAGUAUGAAAAUUAAUAUUGGUGGUUUAAUUAAUUCUAUUGAAUUUUGAAGAAUUCGUACUACAAAAAAAGUUCAGCAAGACUUGUAUUUUUUUGAAGUGAUUUGCUGAAUCUUUUUAAAAUAUUUCAUUGGGAUCACCAUGGUGUGAGAUUCGCUUUGUGAUCAAUUAUUAUUUUUCUUUGUAGUUUUGCAGGUUUGAAAUUAAGAUGCCAUUGAAAUCAAUAAUGGAACCAAUGGGGGCUAAUGGAGGUCAUAGCCCUCCUCCCAAGUUUUAAAAAUUUUAAUUCAUCUUAUAUAAAUAUUUGUGUAAAAUAAAACUGGCCCUCCAAAUUUAUUAUAAUUUUAGUUAAUAUUAUGAGUAUAUAUAUAAGUAUAUAUGUAUGCGUGUGUGCGUGAAAUAACUAUAUUUGAGUGGGAUCACCAUAGUGUAAAAUUCAUUUUGUGAUCAGUUAUUUUUUCUUUUGUAAUCUUGCAAGUUUGGAACUAAGACACUAUUGAAAUUUGUUUGGAUAGAGUGUUAUUUAAAAUAUUAUUUGAAAUAAUUACGAUAGCACUUUUUGUGAUAUGAUCUAUGUGAGAUAAAAAGAUGGGUUGAAAAAUGUGUUUAUGAUGUAAGCAAAAUAUUAUUUGGAGAAAUCUGCUAUCCAAACAUUCCCAAACUAAUAGGGGCUAAUCGGGGCUAUAGGUCCCUUCUUCCCAAAGUUUUAAAAAUUUUAAUUCAUAUUGCAUAAAUAUUUGUGUAAAAAAAAGUUAGCCCUUCUAAUUUUUUAUAAUUUAAGUUUAUAUUAUGAGAAUAUAUAUAUAUAUAUGCGUGUGUGUGUAUGUGUGUGUGUGAAUUAACUACCUUUGAAUUAAUUUUUUAUUAAAAAUUUUAUUUAUUUUUAAUCCCUUUAUAAUUUGUGAAUGAUUGUGAGAGUAAAAUAUAUUAUGACAAUAAGAUAUGUUGAAUUGUGAAAAUUGUAAUUUAAACAGGCUUCUAAAUUUUGGAUAUUUGACUUUCGUAGUUGCGAAUUUCUUAAAUUAACGGUUAGUUAUUACUAUAAGUGAUAUUAUAAGUGUCAGUAAUAAAUGUGAGAUGUGAAUUGGAAUUUGUAGAUAUCAUUUUACAGGGAUGGUUAUUAUCCGUUAGUUAAAGUUUAGGAGUUUGAAUUUUAUGGGAUAGUAGAAAAAACGCGAGGGAAAUGUGGAAAAAAAAUAUGAGUAUGAUUAUAGGAUUUGUAGGGGCGGUUACACGAUUAUUUAAGAGAUAAAUAUUUUUUAAUUAUAAAAAUGUAAAAUUCUAUUAAAAUAGCAUUCAGACUUUUGACAAUUUUGGAAGCUCCUUAUCCAAAACCCCUCAGCAAUACAUAUAGAUAUAGAUACUAAAUGAUAGUUAUGGUAGCGAAAUAGUUUUUACCUAGUAUAACAUGUUGUUGCACUUUUAGCGAUCAUUUGAUUUAUUGUUGGACCUAUUCACCUAAAUAGAAUAACACCUAAAAUUAUGGAAGUAAGUUUCCUAUCUAAAAUAGUAAGUUAAGCGUAAUAGAUUAGUAACUUUUAUACCUCAAAAGGUAAAUUUGAAUAAAUAUUAAACUUAAUUUUUAAAUAAAUAGAUUACUACUUUAUAUGCCAAACUUACUUUAAAAGAGUAAUUUUAGUUCAAAUAACAGUAAGUUUUUAUACAUAAAUACUAAUUCUUACUAAUAACAUGGCAAUAAAAAAUGAUUAAGGAUCAAAAUUUACCAUGUUUUGGAAUGCACGUACAAUUUUUACGUUAAACUUAUCUCAAAGUAGUAUUAGGAAGUUUAUUUGAAAUAAUGAUAAGAUGUUUUAUUAAUGAUUAAAACUUAGUACUUUAGUUAGUAAGUACUCAUAAUAUACCUGUAUAAUAAAUGAUUAUGGGUAUAAUUUAACAAACCAGAUUUACAGGUUUUAUUUAAAAUAAAGUAAUAAUUUAUUCAUUAUAAAUUUAACACCUGAGGUUGGAAUCCAUAAUUUAUUCAUUAUAAAUUUAAUGCUUAAAUUUAUUAAUUCUUCAUUUUAUAUGUACAGUGUUUAACUUCUCGCCAAGCUUCGCGCCUUUUUGCCUGCCCUUACUUUUGCGUAGGACCCUCUCACUUUGCACGUUGCUUAAGUUAGGCACUCAACAUCUUACUUUUGUGUGCGACCCUCUCACUUUUCAAGUUGCUUAAUUUAUGCACUCCGCAUUUCACAUUUACAGUUACAAUCCCCUUCAACGCAGGUUGCAGGUCACAACAACCCUUUACACGUGCACAUCCAAGACACUCUCCUACCGUUUGUGGCCACAAUACUCAGCCCCGCCUUUCCACACCUCUUUUUUGACUAAUAAACAUACCGCAGCAACAUCCCCAAUUUAGAAUGAAAGUGAAUAAAGUUGGCAUCUAUGCUGCCCUAUGGUUAGGUGACCUAUAGCAUUGAAUGGUUUCAUUUCUAGCUUUGAAUAAUGAAACCGUGAAGAUGAAGUUGGAAACUUUAUGGUAGGAAGCCUUUGACCAUUCCUACCGUAGACAGCCACUCAGAGUAUGACACGUGUUGAGUUUGAUGGAGUGUAAACGGAGACGUUAAAUUAUGGAAGAGUACUGAAGAGCAACAUUAAAUUUUAGUCUGCGGCUACAAGCAAAAAACAAACGUUCGGACUUCCGUUUUCCAAUGUAGUAGGUUGGGCCAGGGAAGGUAAUUGCAGGUCAGAGCCACCAGGCAUUUAUGCAUUUGCAAAUGUACCGUUAGCAACGAAAAAAUACUGCAAAUGCCUUCGACAAAAAUAUGCGUAAAGAGGUACUGAAGUUUUAACAAUUAAUAAAUGUAAAUGUCACGCGUGUCGGGAUUAAUAACUUGAAAGAAGGAAAAGUGGAGCAGAGGUAAGCGUAGUAAUUCCACAGCAACGCAAAACACAAAGAGAUUGAAGCCUUCAUUAUAUUUAUAUACAUAUAUAAUUUAGUACUCAAGUGUUCAGCUUAAGCAUCCGGGAAAAUGGUCCCAUAACUAUCGUUACGGUAAACAAAACAGUUUUAGACAUGAUAUAAUAGGUUCUAAAAAUUUUAGCGACCAUUUGAUUACCCGUUAGACCUAUCCACUUAAAUAGGAUUAUGGGUAAAAAUAAGGAAGUAAAUUUCUCAUCUAAAAUAGUAAAUUAACGUAAUAAAUUAGUAACUUUUGCAGUCCAAAAGGUAAAUUGUAAGUAAUAUGAAACAUACUUUUUAAAGAGAUAAAUUAAAUAGUAUAUCCCAAAUAUACUUUUGAGGGAGUAAGUUUAUUUGAAGUAAAAGUAUGUUUUUAUACAUAAAUAGUGAUUUUUACUUAUAACAUAGUAAAUUUGAUUAAUGACAAAAACAUGCUAAUUUAUGGCCAAAAUAUUGUAUAAUGCUUAAAAAACUUAUACGAAGCCCAUAUUUUAGUGUUAUUUGAAAUAACACUAAAAUGUAUUGUUAAUGAUUAAAACUGAGUACGUUACUUAGUAAGUACUGUUAAUAUACUUGUAUACAUACUUGAUCGUAUGUGAAUAAACAAGUAUUUUUAAAUUUAUAGGGAAAUUAAUUUUUUCUUUUGCAGUUUAAAAAAAAGUAAGCGAAAAUCUUUUUUCUCGGAGCACAAAAAUCACAAGUCAAAGUAGUUGGUCUAAAAGGGAAAGAAACAUUCUGAAUAUCAUUGUUACAGUACUAAGUAAAUUAGAUGUAAAAUGCUCGUUAAAAGCAGGUGCGUUGACAUAUAAUAAAGGAAAGCCAUAAAGAGCAGGCCAUUUACGGGAAAAGUUAUCAUUCAUAAAAAUAGCAACGCUUCAUGGUUUUCUUAUCAGUCUUGCAACGUAUGAGCAAAGUGGCAAUAAUUAAAAUAGUAUUUUUUUCGAUUUAUACAUAUUUCAUUAAUUUUUUUUGCAUUUAAAAAAAUGAAUGAAAAUGUUUUAUGAGAAAGCACAUAAGUCAAAAGGAAUGGUCUAAAAGGGAAAAGAAUAGCAGAUACGUACAGUACUUGUAGUUCAUGUUCGAAGGACUAUAGGGCUGUUUUUGAAAAAUAUCCCGAAAAAUAUGUAAUCCAAACGGAACCGAUUCUUCACUAUUUAAAAUGUCAAAUCUGUGAUUGUGUUUUAACUGUUAUCCAUUGGUAUCCUAAAGUAUCAUUUUCCCAUCAAAUGCCACCUCUUUAAAGAUGUUUUCCCAUAAACAAAUUUAUUUAGCGAUAAAAUAUAUAAAAAUUCGUUUUUCAAUAAAACACUAGCUCUUUAUGGCUUUUUCCAUUAUAAGAACAGAGUACCAUUUUUCAUAAACAAAUUUAUUUAUCGGCUGAAAUAAAAAUAAAUUCAUUUUUCAAUAAAACACUAACUCUUUAAAGAAAGCCAUAAAGAGGUAGUGUUUUAUUGGAAAACGGAUUUAUUUUUAUUUUAUCCGAUAAAUACAUUUUUCUAUGCAAAAAUGGGUACUCUGUUCUUAUAAUGCAGGAAAGCCAUAAAGAGCUAGUAUAUUAUUGGAAAACGGGUUUAUUUUUAUUUUAUCCGAUAAAUAAAUUUUUUAAUGAAAAAAUGGGUACUCUGUUCUUAUAAUUGAGGGAAGCUAUAAAGAGCUAGUGUUUUAUUGCAAAACCGGUUUAUUUUUAUUUUAUCCAAUAAAUAAAUUUUUUACAGGAAAAUGGGUGUUAAAGAGGUGAUAUUUGAUGGAAACAUGAUACUUUAGGAUACCAAUGGAUAACAGUUAAAACACAAUCACAUAUUUGGUAUUUUAAAUAAUAAAGAAUCGGUUCCGCUUGGAUUACAUAUUUUUUGGGGUAUUUUUUAAAAACAGCACUGUAGUACAUAUCUGCUAUUCCUUUCCCUUUUAGACCAAUUCUUUUGACUUAUGUGCUUUCUGAUAAAAAAUUUUCAUUAUUUUUUUUAAAUGCAAGAAACAAUUUAAUUAUGUAUAAAUCGAAAAAUUUACUAUUUCAACUAUUGGUACUUUGCUCAUUCUUUGGAGGUCUGGUAAGAAAGCCUUGAAGAGCUGGUAUUUUUAUUAAUGAGAAUUUUUUCCAUAAAUGGCCUGCUUUUUAUGACUUUCCUUUAUUAUAUGUCAAAGUACCAGCUUUUAACUAGCAUUUUACAUCUAUUUGUUUAGUACUUUAAACAAUGAUAUUCAAUUGUAUCUUUCCCAUUCAGACCAACUAUUUUGACUUGUGGAUUUUUGUACUCUACGUAAAAAAAAUUUCGCUUACUUUUUUUUUUAAACUGCAACACAAAAAUUUAAUUAUGUAUAAAUUUCAAAAAUAUUAAUUUAUUCACAUAUGAUCAAGUAUUUAUACAAGUAUAUAAACAGUACUUACCAAGUAAGGUGCUCAGUUUUAAUAAUUAAUAAAACAUUUUAGUGUUAUUUCAAAUAACAAUAAAAUAUGGGCUUGGCAAAAGUUUUUUAAGCAUAAUAGAAUAUUUUUGCCACAAAUUAGCAUGUUUUUGUCAUUAAUCAAAUUUACUAUGUUAUAAGUAAAAAUGAUUAUUUAUGUAUAAAAACAUACUAUUACUUUGAAUAAACUUACUCCCUCAAAACUAUAUUCAGGAUAAAAAUUGUAAUUUAUCUCUUUAAAAAGUAUGUUUCAUAAUACUUUCAAUUCACCUUUUGGGCUGCAAAAGUUACUAAUUUAUUACGUUAACUUUCUAUUUUAGAUGACAAACUUACUUCCUUAUUUUUACACAUAAUCUUAUUUAAGUGGAUAAGUCCAACAGGUAAUCAAAUGGCUGCUAAAAUUAUUAUAACCUAUUAUAUCAUGUCUAAAACUAUUUUUUUUACCAUAACGAUAGUUACUACUCCAUUUUCCCACAUGCUUAAGCUCAACACUUGGUACUAAAUUUAUAUAUGUAUAUAAAUUUAAUGAAGGCUUGAAUCCUUUCGUUUACCUCCACCUUUCCUUCUUCCAAAUUAUUAUCCCCCACGCAUGUGCGAUAAUCAUUUAUUAUUUCUUAAAAUUUUGGUACCUUCUUUACCCACAUUUUUUUCCAAGGCAUUUGCAGCAUUUUUCCAUUGGUAAUGGGUACAUUUGCAAAUACAUAAAUGCCUCUGGUUUUAACCUGCAAUAACACUUCCUGGCCCAACUCGUACGGAAGUCAGUGUGCUUUUUGGUUGUAUCCACAAAUGAUUCUAUCUAAUUUCCUCUCCAUGUGCUAUGCAACAAUUUAACGUCUCCGUUUGGAUUGUAUGCACCCCAACACGUGUCGCUCUCUGCCGGCCUUUCUAUCAUAGGUAGGUUCCUACCAUAAAGGUAUCCGAUGAAGUCUCAAGGACGAUUGUCGUGCCUCAGUCAAUCACCUCAAUGAUGGAUCACGCAACGGAGUGAUACUUGGUACAUAAUUGUCUAAUCGGCAAAUCUUUGCAAAUCGUUGAUGGUUGAGAUGUAGUCAAGUAACAAGGUUUAAAACUUUAAGAAUUGUUCUAUUCAGUACACACGACAAAAGAUGGAUCUAUUUUCCACUUAUUUGAACAAGAUUUUAUAAUUCAAAAAAUAAAUAAUAAUAAUUGAAAUUUAUAGUGAGCCCAUCCUAUCUAUUUUAUAUGCUUAUUCUGUGCUAUACUUUUAAGGACAUAAUAGAAAACCCCAAAAUUUGAAUUUAAUACAAAGAGUACUUAUGGAAUAGCAAUAUAUUCAGAGAUUUAUAAUUGUGCCUAAAAUAAGUACUAGAGGAAAAAGGUAAAAUAGCAAAGAGUUUUUUUUUUUUGGGUUCCCCUUAUCAAGAUCUGGCAUAAAGAGUGACUUCUAAUACGUCGUUGAUAGCACAUACAAUUAUUCAUCAUUUUCUUUCAUAUUUAAAAAUAGAUUAAUUUUCUAUACAUUAAUAAUAUAUACAGUAUUAAAUCUGAAUGCAUACUAUUUGUUUUAAAUUUAAAUUUAUAUUAGUUGUCAUGCAUUCGAAUCUAAUAGCAUAUACAGAGUAUACAGGAUUAAUUCUUAAACAAUUAUACAUAUUGUGGUGAAUCAAAAUUGGGGAAGGCGAUGAAGAGGGGACACCAUAUCAACAAUGUACAUAAGUUUCAAAGAGAAAAAUCAUAAAAGGACUAAGAGCCUAAAAGUCUUCGAUUUGGAUCCUCAUUGCGUCAAUGAAUGAUUUCCCAUCUAGUUCACGGGAAAAAAACGCUUUGAAAUAGUCAGUCAUACUAAUUCUUUUGAAAAUUGCUGGAUUUUCAGGGGUGAUAAGACUUGGCGCUGGACCCAUGUCACCAUCCAGUUUUGAGGAAAGGAACGUUGCAAUGGAAAGCCUUUCGUUGUGUAAAUUCACAGUUGCCCGUUGCUCAACACUCUUGUAAAUCCCAUUUGUCACAAUCUGCAUCUCAGUUAAAAAACGUCACAUUAUUGCCAACUGUGUACUAUGUAGCAUACAUUCUCAGAAAAGUUCAAUUAGGCUCAAUAAUAGGAUAUGGUUAAUAGGGUAAUCUUGUGAGUCCACCUAUAACUACUGUUAAGCCCCAAAAACAUUGGAGAUAGAAUUUAGAAGCUAUACCUUGCAGGACAUGAUUUGUAAGUAACUCGUGUAAUUAGCAUUGACAUCAAGACAAAAUGUAAAUUCCUUUCUGAAAAUCAAAACAAAUUUGUUGGGGAAAAGAGCAAGUACUUUUUUCAAAACGAUAAAAGGAAAGUAGUUUGAAUUUUACCACUCGUACAUCACAGGUAAGCAAUAAUUUGGAGGGUGGGGUGUAAGGGCAUGUACAAUACUAAUUUUGAAGUUAUUAGGCCCAAGUUUUUUCAAUAUAAGAUCUUUUCAUCCAUAUAUUUUAGGCUUUUUUUGACUUUAUAAAGAUACGUGUUCUAUUAAAGUAGUCAAUAUUCUACCAAUAAACAACAUUCGUUUAACUCGGACAAAGUAGCCAAAGUUAGAAGUUUAGGCACAAAUUUGUCAAAAGUUAAAUUUUGGGAUGAAAGCUACACUUUGACCUUGCCUCAUUUUCUGGGCGGUGCAAGUUGAUAAUUAGUCUUACACAUCAACCUAGUGUAGGCAUACUAAUCAUAAUCGGAAAGAUUAUCUCUUGAAUCCUAUUAAAAUAUGGGAAAGACAUUCUAGUUUCCAUAUAUGUUCAUAAUUGUAGAAACCAAUUUGAAAAUAUCUCAUAAGGGAGGCCAAAAACUAGAUAGAUGUUGUAAUUAUAUAAACAGAAAAGCAAUUUGAAGAGAUUGUUCAUAUUCACAUUGCAUCUUGGGAGAAAGGAUUUUGAGCAUGAUUACCU
rnacentral:lncRNA from 1 species